GCGCCCGGCUCCGCUCCCCCCGCCGCCGCUCCCGCUCCCUCUGCCCGCCCGCUCUCGCUCUCGCUCUCCCUCUCGCUGUGGUUUUUGUAAGGUAGGUUGCAGCGCGUGUGUGUGUACACAACAUCGAGAGCAGGAAAAUGGACUCAUUAGGGAGGCAGGCGGUCGGGAGCGCUCGCGCUGUAGUGCCGGGGAGACGGAGGCUAUGAGGAGGCAAACUGAGGACGGGGGAACAAGCAGCAUAAAGAAGAAGUGUUGAGAGCUGCUCUCAGCCCUUUUGGAGUCCGAAGUCAAAAGGGAACUAGGGGGCUUGACACAUCCCUUGCAUCUUCCAUUUACUCUGACCACAGUCCCUCCCUGUUCUCUCAAGUGGAGCUAAGCCCUGCUUCCCUCCCUCUUGAUUCCCAGACAGCUACAUGUAACGUGGCACAGGCUUCAGUGAGGCUGCUACUUCGGUGAGGACUGCAGGACUUGGCCCAACAGGUAUUAACCCGUAUCAAUCCUCCGGGGACCUUUCUUUGCCUGGUGUCUACCUGUUAGGAGGACUGCUGGGGGCAGGAAGCGAAGCGAAUAGGACAGGCUAUUGGAGAACCUGCUGUGGCAUCAACUGCCCAUCGCUGGCUGGGAACUGUGAGCUGACAUUUGAGAGAACGUGCUUUAUAUGAGAAAGUGAUGAGUGAAUAGAAAUUAAAACAAAAGGAUUGAAAACAGGGCUGUAAUCAAUCUAGCCCAGUGUCUCAAUAAACCAGGGAUGUUGUUUUGCACAACGAAUUUGGGGCAGAUCUCACAGCAAGUGCCACAAUGCCAGGGUCUUCCCCCUCUUUCCCUCCCCUUCCAUUAUAUCUACAUUUGGAAGGUGGAUGGUGCUGACUCAUAAAUUAAAUUGGAGUAAUACAUACAGUGUAUAUAUAUUUCUGUCACUUUGUCUCAAAUUAAACACGAACCUUCUCCCCUGACAAGAUGAUAGAAAAGUUAAUUGCUCGCCCUGGCUUUAAAUUGGAAUUUGAAUUUGCAAAAUGCUAAAGGUUUAUGAGAUCUAAAUCAUGAGGAGCUUAAAUUACAUUCCUGUGAUAAAAUAUUAAUAAAUCAAUUAAAACAUAAGCCGAGUAUAAUAUUACUUUUUUUGUAGGAACCUCGAACACAAUAAUUCAUUAGAGUGUGCAGUAACAAUUAUUGUAUCUUUUUUAAUUUUCUUUUUUAUUAGGUUUUUUUUUUUUUUUAAACGGGGGAAACAUCAGAUGGGAAAGCACCACACAAUGGUGGAAUAUUACCCUGAUACCACAUCUAGUCAUCUCCUAGUAACAAUGCACGUACUUACAGAAGCAUCGAAGCACCCCUCACUGCAUACGUUAUAUUGUGGCUCCCACAUAACAAGAUGUGUUCUCUAAAAGUCAGGGGCUAUUUCCCCCCUUUGCAGCUUGGAAAAGAAGGGUGGCUGUAUAGAAAAAAGGGAAGUGAUCAUACUGCUCCUGCUUUUUACCUUUUUCUUUUUCCAGACUCUCCCAUUCCAAUUUUGUUAUUCUCUUCCUAUUUUCCUUUCCCUUUCUGGGCCUGAGAUCGGUAAGAUUUCAGUGUAAAAAAAACCUCAAAAAAAUGCACAGGCCUUUCUGUAAAGCUGGCCUGAGUUUUGUGCAGGGGAAGCCUAGGCUGCGACGGAUUUUGUUACUGGCUUUUCAGUUACGUUACGAACAGCUCUCACAGCUCUAAUCUUUACAUAACCCAUUUCUGCGUACUAUAUAAAGAGCACUUCAGGCACAGUAUGAAACUUAGUUAUUAUUUGAGGAAGGAGGUGUUAUGCUAGCUCAGCAUGCAUUUCUUAUAUGCAAACAUUAAUACACAAGGAAUGCAAUUAUUAUAUAUACCUGCACACCUCUAGUGCCUGUCAAGGUGCGGGUUCCUUAGUCAAGUGCUUUUUACCUUCUGAGAAAUGACUGGACUGCAUGGUUUAUACAGCUCCGCUUGGUAAAGGGUCUAAUUGCUAUCAUUACAUUAUUUGUGUUGCAUUCUUGAAAUGUUAUUUAGUACAAAUUACAUGCCAGUGCCAAAUUGGCAGCUCAGCAGACUGAUGCCUGCUGCAUACAUCCAUAGCAUAGGUGUUGUGGACCCUGCCUGCCCUGUGCCCAGGCAUUGUUAGUGCUGGCAAACUGACCACGUAGCCCCCUGGUUUUGCUGGUGUAGGCUACUGGACCUCUCCUUGGUGUGCUUUCUCCUCCCUCUGUGUGGAGGCAGAAGGGUUUCUGACUAGACAAGAGGGAUUGAGCAGAAGCCCAUGUUGGGCUCUGCUCUCAGGGUGAGCAGCCUGUGGAGGAUGCCUGUGGAGGAGGCCUACGGAUGAGAAGGAAGGAGUGCAUAGCUGCUGUCCCCCUCUGCCUGCUAGCAGCCUGCAGCCAUCUCGCUUCCAGCAGCGGGGCAGCUGCUGUUGGCCAGCUGAAGGCAGUUAGGGCUGGAGUCAGCUGGGGAACGCAGCCAGAGGAGGUCCAGGAGCAGGUGGCUGUUGCUCCUGGCCACCUGUCCAAGGAAUGCUUUCUGGUGCUGCCCUGAAGCCCUGCAGGCACUGGUUUGCCCAAGGCAUGGGAUUCUGCACGACACUCAGGGCCAUCCCUGUGGUGAGAAGGGAACUGGGGGUUCUGGAGCCUACCUUACCAUGCUCCUGCUUGUCCUUGCCUGGGGGUGGCUUCGUCUGAUAAUUAACCUUGAGUUUCUACAGACUUCUCCAUUUGCCAUCCCCCUGCUGACGAGGCCACUUGGGGUCCAUUGUAAUGACACAGGCUAUAAUAAAACUUUGUGUUUCUAAAGACAUGUACUGUGUCACUACUGCUAAGCUCUUCAUCAGUAUUAAAGACCCACGUGUUAGUUUUCAUAUCCAUUGCUUUUCACUAUCCUCUUUUUAAGAAGGGGACAAGGGAAAAGCCGCUUCCCACCAGCUCUCAGGGCAGCACAGUAGGCUGGUGGUGAAGAUCCCAUUAGCCUGUAUGUUUCCCAGCAGGCCACUCUCUGAACCUCACCAGAAUCAGAGGAAUGCCAAAGAUAACUUGUCCUGUCCAUGGGAAAGUAGAAGGCGAUUGUUUAAGCUUGUUUUGCGUAGAUUGUGGAACAGCUAUUAGGUGUGAUUAGGUCUUCCACUUAAGUCACAAAGCUACAACGGAAGGCUUCCUAUCACCAGGAUGGUCUGAUCUUUAUUAUGAUUUCUUUAGCAGUAAACUAUUGAGAUCUCACCUGGUCAUGACUCACCGCAUUUGACAAUUACAUUUACUCAAUAGUUUCCAUACUUUACAACUACUGGCUUAGAGUGUGGUUGAAUCUUUGUGAGCAUUUCUGUAAAUAUUAUUUUUUUUUAAUUGAUUAGUGGAAGUUGAUGUGGGCGUAGAGAGAUGUUGCAGACUUUUCUUGCGUACAGAGAUGAUUUCCAACAGUAGCUAAUGAAACUUCUAAUGCCAACUUCUUUGUCGGUGAUAUCUUUCCGCUCAUGUGAAAGGACUUGCACUGGGACAGUGCUUUCUUGUGUCAUGCCAUCCUUGCUGGGGAGGAAACAGACCGGAUGCUUGAAAGGGUGAAUCGAUGCUUAUGUAUCAGCUCCUAAAAUGGAAAGGAGGGGCAUGACCUGGUCAGUGACGAUGCAGAUGAUGGACUAUACAUCUUUGUCCCGUCACAAUUUAUUUUUUGCUUCUGCCUUGGGAAGACUUCCAUCCUACUGGAUGGCAGCUCUUGUCAGUUUCCAUGUCUGCUGGGGGCACCGAGGUUCUCGCAGACUAUGGUAAACACGAUUUGGCUCCCGAGCGCUCAUAAUCAGGCUUACUUGUGCUGAGACAGAGAUUGCUCUAUUGCAGUGCCAGGCCUCCAGCAAUACCAACUGUUAAAUAAUAAACAGGCCCUGCUUGUUGGCAGCGCCUGCCUGCUCUGCUGCCCCCGCCAAACGCUGGGCUUGUUUCUGGGUCUACCUGCCCACCUGCCUCCUGAAGCGCAGCCCUGGUGUUUGGUGGAGAUGGAAGCGGUGCAGAGACAUCAGUCUGUGUCUAAUCUGCUUACUUUAUUAUUCUUCUAGGACAUCGGGUGAUAUAGCAAACAUGUAGUGCUUUGGCAGCACUAACAAUGGCUUUGCUGUCAUUCUAGAUAAUAUUUCAGACUUCUACCUGAUGCAUGGGAUGUUUUUCUUCUCUCUGUUCAUCCGCCUGUUCUUUAUGUUCUUUUUUUCUGUUCUUUUUUUUUGUGGGGGGGGGGAGGGGGGGGGAGGGAUAUUGGGGCUGCUGGGAAGAACUAAUUGCUCCUUAAUCAGCUUUGUUUUUUCCUGUGAAUCAAAAAUAAAGUGGCUUGUUCUCCUGGUGACAGAAUGGCGUUGAUCAUUUUACUACAUUGAGAGAUAUUACCUAACCCUUUUCCUGUUCUUUAUGAUUAGAAUGGGCACUGGAAUGAAGAACUUAUUUUUUUCCUUUGUGACUUAAGGGACUCCAUUAUGAAGAACAGUCUGCCAAUGGGGAGAAAAAAAUAUCGUGUCAAAUAAGCCUGUAUUUUUCUAUUUUGGGGGGGUUUGUAGUUUUCCUUUAAUUUCAGUCUUACUGUGUACACGGUGCACGUGGAAAACGGAGUGUCCUAUUUUAUGCAGAAGAGAAGUUUGAGAGCUUGAAGAUAAGUUAGGAAAAAUAUUAUGAUAUUGUGAAGAGGAAGAGAUUAUAUUGCAGAGUUAAAAUAUAACUGCAUGAAUAGAUUAGAAUGUACAUAUUAAUUUCCCCUUCGUUCUCUAAAACCUUGAGUGGAACACAAGCCAGAAUUUUCACUUGGUGGGAUAAUGAUUUUUUUUUUUUAAAUCCAUAUAUGAAAUGAAUUUUAAACAUAAUAUUAUUUUCCCUUUCAUAUAAUUAAAAAUGCCCAUAUUUUGAGUCAGCUGAAAACUUUUAAUGUUUUUGCACACAUAGCCCAUUCUCUGAGGGAAUUUUCUGAACUGUGGAUUAACCAUAUUUCCUUUUUUUUUUUUCUCAACAAAUUUUGUGCUAUGAAAACUGGUGUUUCCUAAAAGUCUGGAGGGAAUUCUAUCAUAUAAUUUCCUGUCAGCUCUAUUUGAAACUCCACCCUUCUAUGAUAAUUGUGGCAGGUGGCAAAUAGAGAGAAGCAAAUGUAAUUAGUAACCAGACCUGGGAGCACUGCCCUGUCACUAGAUUUUCCUAGCAGUGCUUUGCCAUUAACAGGUCUCAGAACCCUUCAAAGCCUUUGCAUUAUCUAUGUUGAGUUUAAAAUGAGAAAUGCAAGAGGGUGAGGUCUAUGGAUCACCAAUGUUGAUCUCUCUUAAAAUAGGCAGUGUUUUAUAUCCAUAUUGAUUUUGGAUAUUGAAAAUGUAUAUCUAUAUAUAGAGAUAUAUAAAAUAGGUAAAUAAAUAUAAAUAGCUAUCAAAGGUCAAUCACUGAGUCACCUUAAAUACUCAAGCAUAAGGUGGAAAAACUCAAGUUUAAUGGAAUUUUCAAAAUACCUAAGUGUAUCCUUGUCUUACUGCGGUACAUUUGAGCAUUUCUGAUUUAUUUUUUAAGAUUAUUAUUAUAUGGGUUUUUUUGUUUGUUUUUUAAUAAUUCCUGGAGCUUUUGGCUGUUUGAUGUGAUCUGCGUUGAAACUUCAGCAAAGUCUUCUACUAUGUGUCAUUUACUUGAGUAGGAGCAGGUCUUCAUGGAUGGUCGUUUGAUUUAUUCUUAAUGGGAGUACGUUGGGAGUUCAGUGCUUCUGAACAUCUUCAGAAUAUGGGAGAAAGAGUAGAUAAUGAAAUUCUUGGUUGAGUUUUUUUUUCUGAAAUGUGUAAAAUUUACAUAGUUUGAGACUUCUUUUUUUUCCAUAAAAAUGUUGAAGCAAUGCCAACAGAUAAUUUUUAGGAGGCUAAAGCAGGGCAGCUACAGGUAUGCAGGGAGAGGCACUCAGGAGAUUAAUGAAGCGCCUUUGCAGCUGCUAUUGUAGAAGCUGGAAACCUUGUUUCAUUAAGCAGAAAAAUAAACUACAGAAACAGAAGACUCCCUCUCCUUCUUUCUGAAAGUGCUUCCUUUCUUAAAAUGCACAUUUUACUCCAGUGGGAAGAGUCUUUUCUUACUGCUGACACACUCCUUAAAUCAUAUUGUUUUCAGGCAGUAGAUAAGAGUGAGUAGAUGAGUGACAUUUGCUUGUAACUGUAACUAAAACAUAGUUUUAGUGACAUCAAAAAAAAAAAAAAUUGCAUUUAUAAGCUGAAUCAUUUACUGCAGGUAGAUGGAAAAUUCAAAACUGGAGUUAGCAACAGAAUCUCUCUUAUUUCUUGCAGUGCCAUCUUGGAGUGGGAUUUAUUUAGCAAAAAUGUAUUUCAUCCGAAGAGGUGUCUGCUGAGUAACUGGUCAAGAGAAUUGCUUCCACUAAAUGUAGGCUGCAGGGAGCCAUAGAAGAGGUUCAGUAGGUGGUGCUGUUCCCUUGAAGCCAGUUCUGAUGCUGUGCCCGGCAGAAUGUGUAAGGGACUGCCUGAAGUUACAUUGUAGAUGCUGAAAUCACUGCACCUUAAAAACAAAAAGAUUAAGCUGCACUGCAUUCUUGUAAGUAAAAGCUUUUCCGGUACCUUUUGUCAGUAUUUUUCCUCACUACACAUCCAAAGUGUUAGCACAGUAACUGCUCUUGGAUAAAGGUCAAAGUCCCCUUGAAUAGGAUUUAGAAGUUCAAAGGAUGUUUUAUUUAAAAAUUAGAACUAAACUUGAAUCUUUCAGAUCUUUAAUUUCAGACCCCUGAAUAGAUCUUUCUUUUUCGCUUUGAUUUGAUUAUUAUUAGGAAUAGUGUGUGUCUGUUGACGUACGGCUCCUGUGGCUUUGUCAGCAAGGAUUUCUGCACUUUGGAGUAGAAAUAAUAGAAAAUAGCAGAAGGUUCCUCAUAGCAUAAAAUACAGUUUGCUCUCUUUUUUUGUUGUCGUAAUAAAAUGUUGUCCCUUGUAUAAGAGAAAGAUGGAACGUCUUUCUAAUGACAUCACAGGAGGCUUCGGCUGCUUUAGGACAUGGAUGAAGGCAGAGAUGCCUUAUUCAUCUGUGCUGCGAUACAACAAAACAGUCAAAAUAAUGUCUUGUGUCUCUCAGUAAGAAAGCAGCCUCUUUCUAAGGGCUUAGUUAUUCCAUAAAUGCAAGGCACAUCGUACAUCUACCCUUAUUUAGAAUGUGUUCACUGAAUAUGUUUGGGUAAAUAAUUAAGAUUUGGAACUUCUGUGGGUGAAGAACAAGUGAGUAAAAGAGGACUUGGAAGUGCUGUAGAUUCAGAUACUCCAAAUAUAACAAAAUAAUAUAUGAGUAAAAAUCCAAGAGUUUGAAGAUAGAAAGAAUUGAUUUUUUAGUUUGACAGCACAAAGCUGUGGAGUAUGACAAAGCAAAGUCAGUUUGUUUUCUUCUUUGAGAUCAAAAUGUACAGUCUGUAAUGAAAUCCAGCGUCUCUUUCCAAAGUGAUUAUUUCGUACUUUCAGUAUUAAAAUAUUUUAACUAUUGUUUGUUGUUUUUUUUUUAACUCUCUGUCCCCCCAACUUUUUUUUCCUUCAAAUUGUGUUUUAACGAUUUAGUUUAAACUAGCUGAAGGGUACAGUACACUGUGGGCAGCUAAUGCAUGCCCCUUCCAGUGUGGAACACCAAGCAUGACUCAGGCAGGCAGAUUGUGCCAUGCUGGCUCAGCUCCAUUGUGUUUUUACAUUACUGGGAAGGGCCGUGCCAUUGUGUUGCUUAAAUAUUGUGCAUUAACUGCAGGCUGUGGCUAGUGAAUUGUAUUUAACAUUUUCUCCUCAUCAUGGCUGAAUAUCUGCCAUGAGCAGCUUCCCUGGCCAUGAGAGGUUAACCUUGCAAUUUGAGGGAUGACCUGAAGUGGUGAACUUGUUGGGUCCAGCAACAAUUCAAAGGGAGGUGUUAGGAGCAAGGGGGAAAGUUAGUGGACAUUUGUAAAUCUCAGAGUACUGAGUAUCAAAGUUGUCUGUCUUUUUUUUGUGUGUGUGUGUGAAUAACCAGGAGAAAUUUUAUUGGAAACCAAUAGUAAUUCUCUUUCCAUAAUGCAACAGCAGAGUGAGAACUGAAUUAAAGCAUGUUGUUUGAAUCCUUGGAAUCCAGAUAGUCAGUAAGUCCUGGAUGCAAAUGCCCUAAUGCAAAAUAUCAGGUAGCGAUAUAUGGACCUCAUGGAUGACACUGGAAUGGGCUUUUUCAGUGAAGGAAGAAAUGGGAAUCUAAGAGGAGGAAUAAGUACACAAGUGCAGAACUCACAUGCAGGAAAAUAAAAAAAAAAACAUGUAAAGGGUGGCAAGCAAAUCAAGGCAGAAAUACUGUAUAGCUUGCUCCAGAUAAGAGUAAAUCAAGGGCUGAACUGGAAAUGGAGCAGGGGAUCGUGACUCCAUCUCUUUUCUGUUCAAUUUUUCUUUAUGUUCCCCGAGGUAGAGAUCCAAGCAUCUAAUCUUUGAAUUUCUUGUUUCAUUUGUUUUAUUUCCCCAAUAAUACCCCAUCUGUAAACUCCUAGCUGCUCUUAAAUUGCGUAGCCCUGGCAUACGGCCUGUAAUAGAGACAAAUAAGUUGGGGGAACGUGUUAUGUAUGCAGAUGUAUACUGUAAAAUGAGACUGUGAUUCUUACUAUACCUUGUGUUCAUGUAACUAUAGGAGCACGCUUGUUAUAGACAAUAAUAUGCUUUAAGAAUUUAUUUUCUUUCAGAUGUGUGUUUACUGUAAUCAGGUGUCUCUAAGUCUGAGAUCUUUAAUGACGUAAACUUUCAAGUAUGACUUUCUUGUGUUAACCUGAAAACAGUAAAAAGAAAGAAAGCAAGCUAUGCUUUGCUAGUUUUCUGUUAGAGAUCAGGAUUGUUUUAGUUGAAGGGUGGAACCUUGUUUUAGGUAGAGAUAACCUUAAAAUAAGUCAUUAAUAGAAAAAGGGGCCAAAUUUUCAGCUGUUAUAAAAAUAUACUUGGCUUAAUAAAUGGUGCUACAGGAAAAUACAGAUUCACAACACGUGAACAUCUGGCAGGCAGCUGCUCAAGAACGCAGCCUUGAAAAUGUAGUGCAGGCAUGCUCUUAAUGGGAAAGGUCUGUGGGCUUGAUUCUUUUUAUGUUGGGUGGUCAGAUCAGCUUUGUACUAAAAUUAUGUGGAUUAAUAGGCAAGUAGAUCCACUGAGAACCAUGAGUCUACUCAAAUACUUAACUUUAAAGAUGUUCUUAAGUACUUCACUAUUUGCAAUUAGCCCAAAAUAGGAUUAAGUCCAGUAAGAGAAGUUAGUUACCUCUGCUGACGUUCAACAUGUAUUUGAUUUUAGAACUGGACAGUGGGGAAAGCACAUUUUCUGUGGAAGAAAAUAAAUUCUGUACUCACAACCUGAAGACUUAUACAAGAGAUGCACUGAAUGUGCUUUGAAAGUAAUGGUUUUAGUUACAGCUGUCUGACUCUAGGUGCCAUUGGCUGAGGCCAACAGGAACAUACAACACGUUAAAAAAAAAAAAAACAACGUUUUUUUCAAUUUCAAUCUUACAUGCCCUUGUGGUCUGAUUACUGACCAAGAGGUCUGGAGUUUGAAUUUUGGUUAAUGCUGGCCAAUUGAGUGGCUCUGGACAAAUCAUUUAACUUCUCUGCAUCUUGUUUAGCAGAUCAGUUUUUCAAUCUGGUUACAACUUCAAUACUGAUACAGCUCUGCGAACAUUUUUGAGUUUGUUUUUGCAAAGCUCUUAGAGGAAAAAUAGUAACCAUUGUUAUCAUUAAUAAGUGUACUUUGUAGACAAAACACGAGGGACAGAGAUACAGUCACUCACAGAGGUGAUCUUUCACAACUCACUUGUGCCUUUGUUUAAUUCCAUCACUCAAAGGUAUCAAGGCCAACUCCAAUUUAUAGAAGUAUUUCUCAUGUCACUCUCCCCACUGUUGAGUAUUUUAUUGUUUGUGUUCUCUCUCCAUCUGUUUUUUUGCUACUUUCCUCCAUGCUGAAUUAACCUUGCAUACCAAACCUUAUUCCCCCCCCCCCCCCUUUUUUUUUUGUAUUAUGCAGCAGAGACAUUCAUAUAGCCUCAAAAUUACAGAGAACAAAUUCAUUUUGUCUACUGAUUGUUUACUGAUGAUGUAUGGAACAGACAGAAGACAGUUUGAAUUUUCAUAAGUUCAAUUGAGCUUGCAGGCUUAAGGAAAGGAACAGGCAGAACCCAAGCCAAUGUGACACAGUAAGCUGGCAUCCCAGAGUGCAUGCAGCAUGUGCAGCGUCAGGAUGUCAAGGCUAUACAGGGCUUCGUCCGUCAAAGCAGUGCUUUUAAAUGAAGGAAGAAUUUUGAAGCAACAAACAAGCUACCCCACCAUGUUCUUCACAACACAGGGGUCCUCGUGUUUCCUGAUGGAUACGGGAUCUGUCCUUUCCUCCUAUACUUUGCUGUUUUAACUAGAAUUGUGUGUCUAAUGUGAGUGUUGUUGAGCCUUGCACAUUCCUAGUUGCUAUUCCUCUGACAGAAUUUGAACCCUGAAUAGUUCACUAAGACCUUUUUGGAUGCAGAAAUAGUAGCUGUGCUGGAGAAGACAUGUUUGAAUGUGAAAUACGUGUAUAAGUAUGCUUCUUUGAAGAAAUAUAAGUGUCUUGGGGCUGGCUGUCACUGAGGAAUUGUGUUAGCACUAACAAAGAGAAUUAAUUUUGCCUUUUCCCCCCUCCUAUACCAAGGCAUUAAUCCAGAAACUCAUGGGGAUAAAUUCUGCCCUGAUUUCUACCUGUGGAACCCCAGUGGAAACAGAGAGAGGUCAUAAAUGUUUGUCAAAGCAAAAAUUGUCCUAGUGUUAAAAUUUUGAGGAAGUAGAAACUGGUUGAUUGUUACCAGGGUCAGGGGUAUGAGGCUACAUAGAAGCUCUGCAUGGCAUCGUAUGCUUCCAAAAAUGUUCUUUUUAUUGUAUAUAUUAAGCAGAAAAAAAAAAAUCCAGUGAGUGAAAAGUUAUAACCAGGAGCACAGUGAUUAAUUGUUCUUAGUGUCCUCUGGGAGAAAGACCCGAAGAAAUCAGUUCAGUGAGCAGUGAAAAUUACCAAGGUACAUAUUAAGAACCAUGUUCUGCCUGUGUAGGCAGUAAAACCCUGGGACACACUACCUCUAGGUACUUUGGAAACAGGGGAAGUUUCUUUUUGAAGGAAUGGGUUGGAAAACUACCUCAGUAGUGUGCCGUAAGACGGGGCGAGAUGAGUUUUGUUAUUCUCUUGCAUUUCUCUGAUUCAGCAUACCAUUUGGAAAUGUUGGUAUGUGGCUAGUACAUUCCUGAUUAAUAAAGCUUAAUGUUCCCAAAAGAUCCCUAGGGUUCUCAUUUUUCCAUCCUCUCAUAACUAAAACCGUACUGUCUCUUCAAAGAUUUCAGUGGGCUGCCAGUGUUCUGUUCUGACCCUUCUUUAUUUUAAGAGAAAAGACAGGGGAGGGUAUCAUACACACGCCAAAGGACAGAUGUUUGGUUGUUGUGCAUCUGUAUGGUUUCUUGACAGGCAGUGUAUUAAUCCUGAUUAGAUUCAGUUCCUGUUUUUGAAAAUUUGGAUGAAUUGAAACAGUCCAGGUAUAGUCUGGUACAAAGGCCCAUGACAAAGAUUAUGGAGAUAGUUUAAAGGUGCAAGUAUGUAAUGGGACUGGAGUAAAGCUUUGUGCAAAAAGCAGUUUCUCAGGAGAUAAUGAGCUUUCAGUUUUCUGAAUUUUCAUGCAAACAUUCUUGAAAAAUAUUUUCACUUUAUGAAACUGCCAACCUCAGAGUGCAGUUGGCCAGCCUGAUAACAUUUCUAGUUCUCAGGUUGGUUUUAAUCAGUCCUGUUCACAAUGUAGCGUAGAGAAGAGUUGGGAAUGAUUGUCAGUCAAGUCUAUCACCUUUUUUGUUGUUAUUUUGCAAAAACACUGGGGUCGUGCUUUUUCUAGUUCUGUAUGUUGAGACCAUCAAUUGUAGUGUACAGAAGAAUAGAACUCUGACUUUUAUUGCAUGUGGCAGCUCUUGGUUUUGCAGAAUAGUGGCCACAAUAGAUAAAGAUAGGAAAAUGGCUUUCUAAUGUGUGGUUGUUUUGGUAUAUAAAGGAGUAUGGUUGUGAGUUACUCAUAUUAAAAAGACAUGGGAAUAUCAGCACUGAUUCCCUGAGUAGCACUACUGGAGUAAGUUGUAAAACACUUCAGUAUUUCAGUACCUGAAGAUGUAGGAGUGGAAAAUCUCUAACUCCAUUUAUCGAAGAACUUGCUGAUAUAACUUCAAGACAAAGGAGAGACCACAGAUCAUUGAGCACAUAUCAAGAUUAUAAAGACACUAUUAUAAAUAUUAUAAAGACCAAAGAUAAAAAGAGCAACACAGGCCUGGCCUUUUCUGGUUCCUGGUACUCUUAUUUUCUUCUAUCCAAAAUGAGAUUCUUCAGCUAAAUCAGUAUAUAACGGGAGGAACUCCACAGAAAAGCAUUGUGGUUAUUCCAUAUUUACAUCAGUGCCCUUGGGGAGACUCUCACUGAAUCAUUUUAAAUUCCAGCAUCUGAUGUAGGACAGUCUGAUGAAUGUAAGAUACCAAAAAAUUCUGAUCUGUUUUCUUCAUUAGUGUAAGUGGUCUAGCUCUGAAUUUUACGAUCGAGUAUCUAGUUCUUCUUAUUGCCCUCUUUCCCGUCAUUGCCCCUGCAUCUAAAUAAUAGAUUAGAACAGAUUUUAAUUUCAGUUGUGUCAAAAUUGAUCUAUUGUUUUCAACAGUUUCCACUGGCACAGAAGAGAUCAGAAUAUUUUUAAUUUAUUAUUUUAUUUAUUUAAAUAAAUCAUCUGCAGAACUGCACUGCUAACAUGUUCAUUGCUUUGGUGCCAAUGCAUGCUCUGGAGGGUCUGCAAAAUUCUGACAGGACGUGCUGUGAUUCCAUAUGUGUUUUAGCAGUUCUGUGUUUCCUCAUGACAAAAGAAUCAUUUGUUUUGUGCAUGUGAUCAUCCUAUAGCAUUCUGGUGAUUAUGUGACUUAAAAGGACCUAGUUCUUGCUCCCUCCCUGUUCUUUUUGUACCUCUCUCCUUCAGAAGCAUUCAGGAGAUGGCAGCAAGAUAGCCAGGUUGUAGGUAACAAGCAUGUGACAGGGAAAUCUAUGCUUUUAAAGGCCAUUGGAAAAAUAUCUGGUUUCACAAUAUGCUUGUGUUAGUAAUACUGAUGGCAUCUCUGAGUCAAAGAUACGUUUAUGAACCCACUGGUUUCCUUGGCAGUUGGUUUUGGUUGGUUUUUGUUGUUGGUUUUUUUUUUUUUUUUUUGAGUCUUCUUCAUAGUGUUUCUAAAGAAUUUAUUUCAGCUUAUGUGCUGUUAACAUGGGAAUUUUGGAUAAUGAAAAUAUUUAGUAAAGUGGAAGACUUACUUCACCUCCUUUAAGACUGGUAAUAAGUGAUAAGAGUCCCGUGACUCUUAAGAGAAGAAAUUUUUCAUGGAAUUGCAUGUGUAUUUCCCAGGAUGACUGGAUUUGUGCAAGCAGAUCACUGCAUAUCCUCUCUCAAUAUGAACCAGUUUAGAUAUUGAAGUCCCAGUUUAUGUUGGCUAUAGUGACACAGUCCCCAUGAAUGGAGGGUGCAAGAUCAGACCUCCAGUAGGAAAAUCUGCCAAACACCGUUGUCAGAGCCUGAGCCAGAGACAGAUGAACUCUUGUCUCUUCUCAGUUUCCUUUUCCUUUCAGUAAGUUUUUCUAGUGUGCAAGACAGCAUGUUUUGUCAUGUCUCUUACCAUGUUUUAAUACACAUCUAACUGUUAUGUAUGAACAACUUUCCAGAACAAAUGGUACUAGAUUCUUGAAGCAAACAACUAUAACAUGAUUACUGUUUGGGAAGACUUAAAUGUGCAAAUGACAUCUGUUGUCUAGAUGUAUUCAUCAACUAGAGGGAAUUUCUAAUGGACAACAUCACACAAACCUGAGGAAUGCAGAGAGAGGACGCUGAGGAGCCAAGAAAUCAAGUGAUCAAGAGGGUUUGGAUUUACAUUAAUGUGUCAUCCUGAUGGAAAAUACAACUUGAUUAGAAAUGAGAAAUCCUUGACUCAACAGGUAGGGCUCCUGCCCAUACUGAUUUACGCUCACAAAUGGCACUGGAAUGUGCUGUUGAAUUUGUUAUGGUGCUUCAUGGCUAUAUGAUACUGACCCCAAGAAUGAUGCUAUUUACUCUUUCUUCUUGUGGUGCAACUUGGCAUGUUAGUAAUUCUUGGCCUUUCUUUUCCUUGUGUGCACAGUUAAGGAAAUACUGUUCUACAUGGCUACCUCUGCCCUUACUCUGAUCAUGCUUGCAAUUCAAGAAGAUGUUUGUUUGCUAUUAUAUACAGGUCUACCAUAGGAUCUUUAAAGCUAGCUGUAGUAAUGUUUAGAUGCUUGGCUCUAAGGGGAUUUGAAAGCUCAGAGGUAGCAUCUUUGUCUAGUGCUUGGGAAGUGCUGAGGGCAAAGGGAAGAACUGCUGGGUGGAGUGCUGCUUAGAGGAUAAAGCUUGGUGAUCUUUCCAUGGGUGCAGUUUCUUACCAGCAAUUAUACUGAAACAGGAAGGAUCUUGUCCUCGUUUCAAUCCUUGGUGUCCUGGAGAAUUUCAGAUGUGUUAGGUAAAUUUUACUCUAUGAAAUUAUCAGCUGUUAAAACACAUUUUACAUCUCCAAUCCUUUCAGUAGCGGGAGAAAGACAUAGAUUUCCCCUGGCUUCUGAUAGUGGAAAACAUUUCUGAUGUCCCCGCAUUGUCAGACUGUCAGGGGCACCGCUAUGUGAUUAUCGUUAUUGUGAUUUAAUUACAUUUAAAAGCAUUUACUUUCUAAAAAUCUUUUACACUCUCUCUGUCAUAAUGUUUAGAAUGUAUCUAUACCAUACAGUAGUUAUUCUUUAAGGCUUCUUAUGCCUAGAAAAUCUUGUAAAAGAAAUAUUCUGUGCAGUAAAGUAGACAUUAUUUAAUGCUGAACUAAUAUUUCGAGCUGCAUUGUGAUUACACAUGGAGGCAUUUGUGGAAGUCUAGAAGGUAUGAUGGACUUUUUCUCCUGACUUUUCCCUGAUGAGAUUGUAGGGAUCACAAAUAUCUGUCUUGCAAUACACUGAGUUUUGCUGCCAUGGCUCCUUGACCUUUAUCCCACUGUCUAAAUGGGGUAGGACUUUACCUGUAACUCAGUCCCUACUGCUACCCAGAGACCGUGGUAGGUGAGUGAAAUCUGGGGUGGCACCCCAUGUGAAACCUGAGAAGUUAUGCAAGCACGAAAUCUUAAGAACUCUGCACACCAUUUCUUUAGUGAGUACAAACAUUUUCAGAUCUCUGGUCUUACAGAUGAAGUAAAACCCUCACCCCAGUAAAGUUGGGAUUUUUCUAGAUUCCUUUCAGCAUAGCCAGGUUACAUUGCAAAUGUAUGUGCUUGAGCUGCCCAACUCCAUAGGGUAGGUUCUGGUAAGCCUCAUGCGUUGCACGCACAGAUUUUCCCACCUCUCCAGCCAUGCUGCCUGGAUGGACAGGUGCUUACUCUGCUGUGUUGUUGGCCUUGAGAUAAAGGAGAAAAUGCAGAUAUUUACCUAGUUGAUGCAGAGAAAGAGUUCACAGCAGAAAAAUAUGUGAUGCCUUCUUUAGAAAUAAGUUGGGUUGUUGGUUUUUUUUUUUUUGGUGUUGUUUUUUUGUUGUUUUGGAAACGAGUAUAUUUAGAUGUUGUUUAAUAAUAAAAGAAACAUAAAAAUUGUCAUAUACAUGUUUUAGCCCAGUAGUGGUCAAAUGAAGGUUUGUUUUAUUUUUAAUGUCAUAAUUUUACAUUGUUUGGAAUUCUUUUGUGAAGGUUCCUAAGACUAUAUCGGUUAGAAAUUAUUCCCCUUUCUCACCUUAUCCAUCUUUAUUAUCUAAUGAAACAGUUUUCUUCUGUGGAGCUGAGGAGCAACUGGCAAAUUCCAUGCGUAGUUCAGACAAACUGGUCCUCUGCGAGGCUGGGCUGUGCUCCCACUUGUGAUGAAACCAGGUGUAAAAUCCCAGUCCCUGCCUCAGUCUGUUUUUUCUGCUCCUCUUAGCACUGAUCUGCAAAUGGAGACUCCCGUGCUGAUAAUUUCAGUGUGGAGUUUUCAAAACUGAGUGAGUGUGUGCUGGCCUGUCUUUGUUUAAAUUUAGAAGAAUUGACGGAGCUCAUUCCUAGAGUCUGUAAUCCCAGUCUUCAUGCUUAAAACUAGCUCAAGCAUUCUGUGUAUUUGCAAGUCUAGUGCUAAUUUGUGUGCUUCUACUGACAAUAAAGAUGGAUGGUUUCUAUUGUCCUUUCAGUAGGGCCUCUCAUUACUUCAGUGGGAUUUUUGCUAUUGGUCCAUUUCUGUGUUUUUGUCCAGUUCACUACUAUCUCUUCAAUGUUAAGCUUCUUCCAUAGUUCAUUCCUUACUGGCCACUUCCUGAAGAACUUUAGGUUAUGGUAGGACUGCAGUUGGACAGAAAGCAAUAAACUGUAAGAAGCUAAACAGAAAAUGUUAAUGCAAAUCUUACCUAGUGCAAAUUACAGGGACUGCUGUUGCACACAGCUUCCUCUACUGCUGGGCUAACCAUCACUGAUAGUUUGCUAGUCCAGGCUAAAAUGAGCCCUUCGCUGCCCUGUAGAUCUCUACCAGAAGAGAAGAAAACAAAUUGUGUCCUCUUGCCUCUCUGCUCUCCCUACUUCAUAACUACAACCCCAACUAUCUUGUCAAAGAGAAGUUUUUUUUGUUUUUUUUUUUGUCUGGGAAAAGGGUAACAUAUCACUACAAUAUCUUCCGAACAUAUCUCUUUCCUGAGGAUUUGGUAUAGCACGGAAGGUCAUGUUUUACCUUCAGGCCCUGUACAAAUAGAAGUAGCUUGCACAGUGAGAUAGCAAGAUGUGAAAUUAAAGAGGGGCAAAUGUACAUUUACUUUAUAUAUAGUCACUUUAUUCAGGCAUAUUGUUUUUCUUUGGACUGUAAAAAUAAAAGUUGUAUCAAUUUAAAAUUUGUGAAGAGAAAAUCAGAGGUUUUGUUUGUUUGUUUUGUUUUCUAUCUAUUGUGUGGUCUUGUUAUUUUUUGCUUAAUUUCAUUACCUACAAAUAGUAGUGAUGCAUGACACUGCAUGGUAAUCUGUUUCUUGGACUGGAAGGGGCACGAGUUUAAGAAAGGUAAAGGUUCAGUGGGUACUAAAGUAAUGCUUAGUGGCUGUGCUUCAGUGAUACAGAACAGUCUUUCUACAGGGACAAGUAAUAAUGCAAAUACAAAAAUAUAGAACAAUAUGAAGGCUUACAUCGAAACCUUGAUGGAUUCAUUUCUGACUUCUCAAUUCUGUGGAAAAGCUCAGUGUUGCUUCUUUUUGAAUUCUGACUUCGAAAGGAAAUGAGAAGUCAAACUUUCUGAUUUUACUUGUAUCUCUAAAAUGCAACAAAAGGCUCAUUAGCUUACUAGCAGAAGGAAAGGAAUGUCCAAACUUUAAACCUCCAGGCUCAUUAAAAAAAAAAAAAAGAAAAAAAAAGAAAAGAAAAUAUCUGGGAUCUGUUGCAUGUUUAAAUGCUGUAAGUAUGAAUUUUGCCAUGCUACAAGCUGCAUCUCUCUCUGGUUUUCCGACAAUGUUUUUGUAUCCAGGUACAUCUGAUUUUCUGUAUUCUGUUGGAUGUUGGAUUUCAAACAGAAUUAAGGUGAUCACCUCUCUUUUUGCUGACAAAGGCUACUAUAAUAGAUAGAUGAGUAUUUGUUGUGAGUGCCAGGAGGAAUGACUGUUUUGCGGACAGAUAUUGUAGUAGACGGAAGUAUUGAUUGGGUUUCAUUGUAGUAAACAUCGCCAGAUGUUAUCUCAGUGUGUACUGUUUAUGUUAGUAAAUAAAUAAAUCCUCCAGAGCACAAUUAUUCUCUAUAAUGUUUUUUCAAAAGUUUACUAUUUUCUCCUUCUGUAUGUCUAAGUGAACUUCCUCUGCUCUCUGUGCAGCUUGAGAAACCAAUUAGAACAUGUGAAACUGAUUGUAAAAUACAAAUCCUGAUCUAGACUCAGAUAUUAUGUCAAGGCUGGGUCUGGGAUCUGUAUAUGCCAGCAUCUUGUCUUCGGGUACUCUUUCUUCAUCUGAAACGUUCUCUCGUAGGAAAUAUAUGAACUUCCCCCCUCCCUACUGUUUAUGUUAUCAACCAUGCUGGUAAACACCUUGUCAUGGUUAACACCUGUGUUCUCUGACUCUUGGCAGACUCUCAAAGCUGAUGGGUCACUUGCUAUACAAAAUGAUGAGGUUCCAACAUGGGUGUAGUCACUGAAGAAAGCUGUUAAAUCCCAGUGCUUAUAAGCUCAGUGUGUUAGUUAUUAAAUAAGUUAAACCAGCUCUCAGAAGAGAUCUCAGCUUUCUCAGAGGUUAAGACUCAUGAGAGCCCAGAUUUACUCUUCAGACUGCAGAUGGACAGUGUCACAUUGCAUAGUAGUUCAAUGUGAGAGAUGCACAGAACUCCUGCUUCUGUGCUUUUCUAGCACUACCUUUUUUCUUGCAAGUGGCAUGGCAGAUUGAAGCAUACUUAGAUUUUGCAUUCUCUUGAUCACUGGUAUAAUCUGCUCUCCCAGUAACACCAAGCAAGUUCACAAGAGGUUUUUGAAGUGUAGUUAGUACCCAUAAAACUUCGUGUUAAAUGAGAGCUGAAGUUAUCUACUGGGUAUUCUGAGAGUGAUCUCUUUUUGUUUUUGGUAAAAUUCUAUCUGUUGGGCUGAAGUACUGUUUCCAUGCUUCAGUAGAUUUAGCCAUCUUGUAAUUUAUGGCUUCAAGUAAUGUGUAUUUCCACAGACAUCCAAGUUCCCUUGGCAAAUUGGUUCGCUCUGGAGAUUCCCCAAAACAGACUUCAAACAGCUUCUGUAGGUUUAAAAAGAUGCAGUGUGUAUAUGAAUUCUCUGCUGUGGACCAGCAUUAAUAACCUAACAUCUCCUAAGUAAAAUAAUCUCUCUCUAUAUCAGAUCUUAAGUUUAAAUUCAUAUAGAAGAUGUGCUUUCCCCCACAAGUAAUUAAUAGCAUUGUUGGCUGUUGUUUCUGUUUCUUCCAGUUUAUCAGCUGAAUUUAGUUGUACUUAUUCUCUGUAUUUAGAUACCUUUAGAAUUCUUUCAUUGAUUUUACUAGAGCUCCUGUGAUGGAAGCAUAAACAAGUUGUAUGUUUGUUUAUGUAUUCACAGGUAUCCUUAUAAAACUUUGGCUAUUCCUUUUAAAAUAUUUUGUGAUUGUGGAAAAAGACAUCAAACCCACAUUUGUUCAAUUAGAAAAAAUGAAUAGAUAGCAAAAGAAAAGGAAAAUGUCUCAACUUCUCACCUAUUAUUUCACAUUGUAUCUAUGAAUACUUCAAGUGAUGUCUCUGAAAACAUUGAAGAGAGCUACUUGUUUCUCCAAGUCCCUGUGUAGCAUGUGGAAUAUUUGUCCAUUUAAAAUGCAGUUCUGUUCCUCAUCUUGCUUCCCUUUGCAUAAAGUGCACGUCCAAGCAGCAUCCACUGAAGGAACAAUUUCAAGCUGCAUGCAAACGUCUCAUCAGCUGUGCAUUUUUCCUGUUUCUAAGGAAUAAAGAUCAUAAGUGUGAAAUGAAACAUAACAGGGAGGCACUGGAGUGCAGAUCUGAAGGUAGAAUUUGCAUUGGCUACACUUCAGCACAGAUGGUAGGAAAUCUUAAAUCUACUCGAGUCCUGAGACCUUUAGCCCCUCAGGUUAGCAAACGUAUCUAAGGGAGGAAACUGGUGUAAGUAGUUCCUGAGGGACUCUGAUGAUUUAUGCUCCCUAGAAGAAAGAGCCACGGGGAAUAUGCCUGAGCAUCACUGUUUUGUUGGCUGUAGUAGGAUUUUUGUUUAGUGCAACAGCUUUCCUAAUCAUCAGUUAACCAGUCAUGUCCAUAAUAAAGUAAAAGGUGCAACACAACCCUCCUCAGGGUUAGUAUUCUGCAAAAUCAAAUGCCUCAGUUGUUCCUCCCAUCUAGGCAGGAGAAGUAGACCAGAGAAUAACCAAAGCUUGUGGUUACUGUCUGUGCCCCCUUUGAUUUUAAGGGGUGAGGAAUGCAUAAGCUUGCUGCACAUCCUCCUCAGUAAUUGUGAUAGAAAACAUUUGUGUAAUUCUCCUGUCCUCUGCUCUUGGCUCUGAAGUGAAACAGGGACUUCCUAUCAAACCAGAAGCUUUGAAGAAAAUUUAGGACUCCUGAUCUCUUGGAGAAACAGUUCACAUUUCAGGUAAAUGGUGCAUCUCUUAGUUGAUUUGACUACAGGGGGGCUGGUUUGUUUCCUGUUUGAUAUAGAGAGAGAGCUGUACUUCUCUGUUCAUGCUGCACAUUUGUAUGCACCAACCCUGUCUUUUAAUGGAAAGUUCCCACAAUAAAGUGGGAACUCUUUGUCAUGGACCAGUUUAGUUUUUUGGCAUCUCCCUACGUUACUGUGUGCAGUGAUGCUAGUUAAUGCUCAUUGAGGCAGUGGGUUUGUGAUGCUGGUUUUUGGCCUAAAGUGGAUUGAGAUUCAUAAAAAAAUAAUCUCAAAUCACAAAGCCACCAUGGGAUUUUUAUAGCUUCUGUGACUAUCUCACUUGGGCUAGAUUUGAAUCAGCAAUCAGAGGUGAACGGUUUUGUUCUUAUCCCACUACCAAUUUCCUGAGCUAACAUAAUCUAUAUGUAUGUGUGUGUUACAAAAUUUUAUUUUCCAAUUGAAUGCGUCCAUCUUUUGAAAAUAGGUUAAAAAACAAAAGACAAAAUGUAAAGGAAAUUUACCUUCCAAAAAAUACAGAGCAGUUAUCAGGACUUUAAAAUAUAUGUAAACAUCAGUUCCUGCCAAGUUAGUCAUUACUAAGAGUUAACAACACGGGGGAUUGAUUGAGAGAAUGAUUGUUGCUGUAGAAUGAUGAUUUAAUAAGAGAAUAUCUGAUAGAUUUGACAUGCUACAUAAAAUGUGCAGAACGGUUAUUCUUUGGUAAAUUGCAACUUUCGUUUGUACCCCUUACAGCCAUGUUUGUUCUGUGCCUUGCCACAUUUACCUUCUUCCCUGUUAUUCUCUUUCAUUUCUAUAAAUCAUUAGUAUUCACCAUUGUUAGACAUGUCAGAAAAAAGGCACACACCAUUUCCCUUCCCCUUCUUGCCUUCUUUUACACCUUCACCCGGUUUGUUUUCCCAUAGUCACCUACCAGCUCUGUUGUUCAGGAGGGCACUGCCAGAUGUCUUGCUCUCCAUUUUGAAAAGAUGGCUACUGAGAACUCAAUUUUAUUGCCUCAUGCUACUGCUUUUUUUUUUCAUGCACACCCAUUUCUCACUGUUCUGGCUGAUUACUAUCUAUCCAUUGCUUAGUCCUAGCAACACGCUUGGUGCUUUAUAAGUCAGAAAAUGAAGGCUGUCUUGGCUCUAAGUUGUUGUUUUACAGGACGAAUAGAUGAAAAAGCCCUUCUAUUGUUCCCAUCUUUAUGGAGGAGCCGGGCUCUGUCCUAUUUUUCAGCAAUAAUUUAUGAGAGGUUACUUUUUCUGAAAUGCCCACUACCUCUGUGAAGAUCCUAUUGCAAGUGUUGCCAGCAUGCUUAGUCUUUCGUAAAGCCUGGUGGUGUGUGCAGGCCAUGCUCAGGUAAUAGGAAUCACCUUGAGGUAAGCUUUUAUACCCUUUUCCAGCAUAUAGGGUAUGCUGAAGUCAGAGUCUGGGCUAAAAAGGGUCUUCUACUUGCUUCAGAAAAAUGUGGGGCUAUCCUUGCUGCUUGUACUGUAUGAACAAUAAUAAUUAAAAAAAAAUAAUCCUAGAGUCUGACUACAACAAAUAAAUUCCAAAACACCCUCUGCACUAUUUCUGUUGUUGUGCCAAAGAGCAUAACAUAAAAUGACUGAGAAUAACAUCAAUUCAAAACAACAGCACACAAUAGUGUAAUUUGACCCUAAGCACAUUAAAAAAAAAAAAAAAAGGCUUAAAAGAAACAGGAGGAAAAAGGCAAAAAUGGGACUGUGGACUGGCAUUACAAACAGUGUCAUGAAACUACAGCCAGAGGUAUAAGCCUAGUAGAAAGAAAAAGAGAAGGGGGUUGGGGGGCGAGUUACUUAUGAAUCAGUACAACUGUGCUUUGUUCUGCAUGAGUGUUUUAAUAGAGCAAGUGUAAUAUAAGGAUCAGGUGGGCUCAUGGGAAUGGAACAAAAGGUUUUGUAAAAUUAAAGCAAAAUAAUUAUAGCUCUAGGUGUAGAGUGAGCACACUCCAGCAGUUGAUAGCAGGAACCUGUUCAGAAUGGAGAAGGGAGGAGGGAGAAAGAUGCAGUUAGAAAGCUGUUUUUUUUUUUUUCCUUUUUAGUAUUUUUGUAAAUAUACAUACACAAACAUACCUAAAAUAAACAAAUGUAUAUAUGUAUGUUAGCGAAGACUUUUAAUCUGUGGCAGUUGCAAACAACUUUAGAAGUGAUUAAUAAUACCCUCACACAAAAAUGCAUUAAAAUGAAAAUUUAAGGAAUAGUCUCAAAUGAAUUAAUUAGCAAAAAAAGAAAAAAUAAUCUCAGCAGAUCACUCUUUUUAGUGGAAUAGAGGACUAGAACCUAAAACAGGUGUGAUCCUAUGACAUGAGAUUCAAGUAUGUUCUCCCUGUAAAAGCCCAACAAGGAAUAUAUAGAAAGUGCUAAGUGCACCAAUUAAUUAAGCUCAAUGAUACAGAAGUGGAUGUGAUCUUCUGGGUGCCACAGGAAGGAUUUCAGCAAUACAUUGUGUUAAAGGAUUUCCCACAUUUGGGCAAAGCAUUCUUGCAGCUCUCUUGCAGGAGAGCUGUUUCCUACCUGAAUUUAAGAGCAGUUUUACCUGUAAGAUGGCAGCUAGGUUGAUCCUAAGGUAGCCUCAACGUGUCUGGAUUUUUGCUUUUACUUUCCUUUGCCGUCUGUGUACGUAUGUAUGUAUGUAGUAAGGAUGCUGUGUAAAGGUAACUCUCUCACCAAAAGAACUUCUGCCCCAUAAUCACAGCCCUUUUCGAGUUGUUGGCUGUCUUCAAUGAUGUGACAAAAGAAAUACUGGGAAGGCACUACAGGUGUGCAUGUUUCUCUUUCUAGGUAAGUCGUGUUAGGUUCAAAAUGUCUGGAAUCUGUCCCGGUUGUGGGCAGUGACUUCCAAACAAAUACCUUACUUUUCUUUGUGUGUAUAUGAAAAGAAUUAAUGAACACCAGUUGCCUUGAUUCUACAUGGCACCUGUGGGUGAGGAUGGGCUCCUUCCUUCCUGUGUGCUGUUAUGUAGAGUGCUACAAGGAAAGCAAGUGUAAAUCGGUGCAUAUGUCCUGUGGAAAGGAUCUGGUUUUGUCACAGAGCCACAACAGCUUCCCCCUGUGGUGGAAGGCUUGUGAUGGGCACAGCUAUUCCCACCUGUCCGCACCGUGAGAGGCAGGCAGGCUGCAGCAGGGAGGUUGUGAGGCGGCCACGAGCUGUGGUAGCAGGCCCAGCUACUACAGAUGGCUGGCGCGUGAGAUAAGGCCCUGGCAAGGAAGGGGGCCGAUCAGCCCACCUCCCACCACAUUUCCACUUCUUCUGUCAUCAGAUUUCCCUUAUUCAGAGUUUGCUCAGGAUAAUUGUUCACAGACAAUAUAUUUUGUGCUCACGCUGUAAUCAGAGGCUGUUGUCAGUUGGAGCAGAGCGCAUCUCUUAGGUGGUGCUUUCUGCCAGAACGUGGAGGCUGAGAUCAGAGUGAAGCUUUACGAGCUCCAUUUGGUGCUUUUUACUUCCGUCUUGUUUCUCUCUCUGCAGGGGAUGUGAAACUAGAUUUGUCCUGUUUCCACAGCAGGGUUUUGGUUUAUUUUGUUUUUCCAUAGCAUUUCAUUCAGUGGCGCAAAUCCAGAGGAGACUGUGUUGCAGAGAUGGAUUUGAAUGUCAGACAGAAAGAGUUGUGUUUAAUAAACUCUUUGUUGUAAAUUAUAGAAACUAGAGAGCAGGAGGCCUGUGUUUAAUACAAACAUUCUGUGGUUAAAUUAUCACUUUAGACGUUUACCCCAUAACAUAAAGAGCGAUGAAAAAAGGAAACUUUGCUAGAGGGGUUUCUUAAGGGUAUGAAGCUGAAGACUGAAAUUCCUUAGUUAUGGGCAGUCAUCUUUAACUCCCUCUGCCUUCUGUCUUUUAUUUCCUCUGAAACCUAAAUUGAUUAUCAUAUAAUCCACCCUGAAAUUGAGUUCCUAAAUCUCCUCUUUGUUCCUAUAAGAGGUCUGUGGCAAUAGGAAAGAUCGGGAGUGUUAAAGAGUAACCAAAAAUCCCAUUUACCCCCUGAUUGUUCAGUAUUGUGUCCCACUUGUAUUCCUUCUUCUGUCUUUCAUCUUAGAGGUGGCAGCCUAACAAAAUUUGAGUGACAGUAUGGGACUACUUAAAAGAAAAAGGCAAAAAAAAUAAACAAACCCCAAAACUGUAGUAGGCUUUCAGGAAAAAAAUAAAAUAAAAGGUGCUUUAGCAUUAUAAUAUGGUAUUUGAAGAUGACAGCCCAACACGCAAACAGUUGAAUGUGCAUCUCCCCUUAUACAUAAUGACUUCUGCUUAUCUCCCGUGCUCACCAGCUUUUGAAAGCUCCUUUCUGUUUCUUAUAGCAUGAGUUACGUAUCUGUGUUGAUAUCAUUUCAGAGUGAUUUGUCAACAUGAACCUAUUGUGAAAUUAAAGGUCAGUAGCAGGCCAGGCAUUUGACAGGGUAGGCAAUGCUCACUGGAAAGGAAGAGAUCAAGAAUAACACAUCAAAUCCCAAAUCUUCAGAUGUGCCUCAUGACUAGUGCAUUUUGCUGUUUAGGAACAGAGAAGCUUCAGAGUAGAGCUCUCAUUCACAGCGAGACAAUAUGCCAGUAUCUGUCACAGUCUAAGUCCUUGCAACACUAUUGAAGUAAGAGAAUUCGAGUCCCAGAUUCUUCAAUUCUUUUAAUUUUCCUUCUUGUUAUUUGAGUAAAUCCAGCAUACAUACAUGCACAAACAUACACACACAGAUGUACUGGUUUUUGUUUUCCAGAGCAUGGACAUAAAAGUAAUAAAAAUAAAGCAGAAUCAUGGUUUUUUUUUUGCUUUUUUUUUUCCCCUUUGUCCUUUUAUUUUCUGGCAAAAGGUACUUCAUAAGUAGUUUAUUUUCCAGCUUCAUUUUCUUCCAUUUACUCUCUGCUAGGAAAAAAGUCUAAAGGAUUAAGACAGAAACAACCCCGUAUUAUAUAAGUCAAUAAAUAAGCAAAAAGUGUUCCAAAUUGCACUCAAAAAAACAAACAAACAAACAAACAAAAAAACAUUCUACUUCUCCUCAGAAAGAACUGAUGCAAUGCUAUUCACAUUUCCCUGCUUUCCUUCCAUCUAUUUUGGAAUUCAAUGAACAGUAACGUACAGACAGCAGUAAAGACUGCUAUCCUUUUCUUUGUUCUUUCAUCUGAUUCUCCUGCUCCCAGUCUGUAGGAGAAUGAAUCUAGUCUGGCUAGAGAAUUUGCACCUUGCUUUUCUCAUAAGGAAGAUGAAGUUUUUUAGAUAACAGUAGGGACAAUUUCUGGUCUCAUUGAAGUCAUUGGCAGUUUUCCAGAUGAUUUGUUAUGAGAUUUGGCCUUGAGAAAAAGGAUCAGUCACACUCAUCUCCUUUUUAUUCUGAACUAGAAUGACCCAUAUCACUACCCAGUGAUGGCUGCCUAGGAUACUAGCAGUGAAUUUUUGGAAAAUGAUCAAAAGUUCAAAUAUAUGCAAGAAUGCAUGAAACCCACUGUCUAAGCAACCAGAGAGAAUGCAGUUGGCCUCAGCAAAAUACAUGAUUAAAUAGAACCAAAUAAAGCUGGAAGCUUGUUAUGAAAGAUCAUCUAUAUCCAUUUUAUUAUUUGUCUGUAGAAAUUGUGUUAGGAUGAGGCCUGGAACAGUCAUUUCAAACCUAAAUGUAAGUAUGCAUCUUCCUGCAUUCUCUAAAAUUUUUUGGUUGCAGAGCACUAUAAAUGGUGCAAAACAAAGUCUCUUUUCCAAGCUCCCUACAGUGAACAACUUAAGAACAUUUAGUUUUAGCCGGUUUUAGGACUUUAUGUCCUCAGAGAAUAAAUACUGCCCCUUUGAUCUCCAGAUAUAAAAGUCACUAUUUCCCAGGAGCUGGAGAAGAUCUGGGGCCCAGGAGCAGAGACAGAGACAAAAAAUGGGAGCCUGGCAGCUCUGGUCCAUUCCCAGUAUUGCUGCUGACUCCAGUAAUUGGAAAAAAAGCUAUCAGUGAUCCCCAGUAAUCCCUAUUUCUGAAAUGAAUUUAAGAGUACUCAUCUGUUUUAGCAACAUUCAUUAAGGAAGGAAACAAAGUAAUGUCAAAUAAAUAGUCAGUACUCUCUGACCUUACCAUUAACUUCUUUCACAUUUUUAUGAAAGCAGGUAGUUUGCAAAGUAAAUUCACAAGCACCUGAUUUUGUGCGUCUCUGUCCUUUGCGGUGCCCUUUCCUAUGGGAGAGGGGAAGAUGAAAAACGAGACUUGAAUCCAACAGUUUUCCUUGUGUAUUGGAGGGGAGACGCGGAAUGCGGGAUGGCAGGUCAAAGAGAAUAUAAGAUUGCAUUACAAUACAGCUGUGUCUGCAUUUGAAAGCAUUUCACUAACAUGUUGUUAUCCAGAGUUUUCCCUUUCAACAUUUCUUGUAGGAGGUGAAUUUUCCAGUUGGUUUGGCUUUGCUGUCAAAAAAGUCAAGCUAAUUUUUUUCUUUCUUCUGAUUAAGUGAAUAAAAUGCUAAGAGUAAUUAAGCCAAGGAUCUGUUUUUUUUUUUUUCCUCUUUAAUUUCUAACCUAAUAAACAAACUGCUUGUAUCCAUCUUUAUAGAGAGAUUUUAAAACCACUACUGAAAGUAUGCUGUAAAAACACCCUUUCUCACUUGAGAGACAAAAUCGCUUUGAUGACCCUCAAACCUUGUGUGUUAAACUCACAAGUAGAAAUCAUGUUUUUCAUUAUUCCUGUUACCUCAAGGUUACUUCAGGGCUAAGGUUUCCUGUGAAGAUCAAACAAGAGUUGUGGGUUUUUUUUCAUCCUGUCUUGCACAUCCUCACUUAUGUCCAGAUUAUGCCCUCUGAAAGUACUAAGCGGCAGUCUCUGUGGCCUUGGAGCUGGAGGGAGGAUUGUUUGGUGUUUUAAAGGCUCUGAUCAGCAGACCAAGAGAAAUCUGUUUUUUUUCUUGUUUCUGGCUCUGUAACCUUGGAAAAGUCAGUAUGUCUGUGACUAUGUUCCCCAGCUGCAAAGGGCAGGGGGAUGCUAUUUCCUUGCUGCAUAGAUCCUUUGAAGAUAAACCUGCUCUUGGAAAUCAGUUGUAAGCACCAGAAAAUACAUAUGUUAGUCAGGUUUCCUGCAUGUGCCCCGAGUGAGGAUGUUUCUCUCCCAUUGCCCAGUCCUGGAGAUCUACCAUGCUUGAAGGCACUCUGUGCUCAUUCCUGAGUGUGCCUUGUCAGCAGCUACUUUAGGAAACAUCUGCUUCUCCCAACACUGUUUCCCCCGCUGUUGAAUAGGGCUGUUGACAUACAAGAGAGGUCUGCAUGCUCCUCUCAUGCUUGAAGGUGGUUUGCCCAACCUGACUUAGUACUUGGGAGUUUUUGAUCCCCUUUGUAGGGAGAAAGGAGUUGUUUUAGAGCUCUAAUGGAACAUUUUUUCCAUUAUUUAUUUUCUGCAAAUGUUCAUGUUCCCGAUGAACUUCUUUUUGAAAUGUUUUGCUGGAGCCUUAUCCACAUAGGCUGAUCAUAUGUGCCCCAGAUAUAAACAGGAAGAAAAGGUUUCCAGUUCCAUCUGCUGCAGUCUAGAACAAUUUUAUCCACCAUUUGCUGAGAGAAAGCAAUUCUGAUUUAAAGGGCAUGUAAGCUGUGUUAUUAGUCUGAUAGGAUAAUGUAUUACAUUCUUUUUUCCUAGUGAAUUUUUAAACCUGAGCUGAAAAUAAGUGCAAUUCAUGAGCUGUAAGUAAAGAUGUAAAAAAACCGGAGGAAGAAAAAGAAAUUGGAAUUUACAUUAAUAGCAUAAACUGAGCACCUGGACAGUUGGUUAAAACCCCUCCAGAAAGAAUCUUCGACCAAACACCCAGCCAGCUCUUUUCCAGCAACUUUCAGCAGAGGUAAAUGGGAAACCCCACCAAACAAAGAAACAACAACAACAACAAACAGCCAAUUUGUGGAUGCAACUGCUUCACCAGGGCUCUGAAUUCCUUUACCUCUUGGUAACAGUGUAGACCACCCAGGUGGCUCCUACUGCUCACCAACCAGCUGAAGCUCUCCCUCCUCAAGCUGGGCUGCUGACAGACCCACCCUUGUAAAUUUGGUGUUGGUAGUAGUGGAUUCUGGCAGAAGGAGCUCAGGUUUGUGUCAGGGUCAGCAGCUGGCCUGUGGAUUUCAGUAGGUGUUUACUGGAUAAAGGCACAGCAUCUAGCACCUGAAUUUUAAUUCUCCUGAGCCCGCUGAAUCCUUUGUUACUCACUUACCAUUCCUAAACAUGGAUGGCAUUUGCUGGAUGUGCUUGCCUUUUCCUCAAAAUUAGCAUUUUCUUUUAAGUUUCCUAUUUUGAGUUCUGUUUUACUCUUUUGUAGCAGCUGGAAGAGCCCAGCUAUAGCUGGCACGUGGUGGUGACCCAUUGCGUGUAGUGCUGAGAGGCAGAACUGUGAGGAGAUGGCUUGGAGGUGCCGGUACCGCCAAGCUUUGUGGCCCCCCCAGAAAGCACCAAGGCGUGCUGCGAGGCAUGCUGAGAGAGAUGUUUCUUGCAAGAAACCACCAGAGGAAGUCUGUCUAGUUUCAGAAAAUUAAAGUAUCUUUGAAACUGAAAGCAAACAGGAGCUUCCACGGGAGAGAAAACCAAAAGUGCAUUUAAAAAGUUACAGUCAUUGCGUAUCCAUUUGUCCAUCCGUUCCAAAUUCAGUAGUAGUUUCUUGCCAAAAAGCAAGAAAAAGCACCCAAAAAGAGGCAGGGCCGCACAGAGCUCUGCUGCCAAAGCACAAUGCCAGGCAGCGAGGAGGGGAGGCCGUGCUCCGCUGUCAUCCCCCGAGGGACGGCUGUGAAGGAAGGAAGCAGAUCACAGUGUGUGAAGUCUGAGAAGUGACAGCGUUUUGCACUCAAGGCAACUGCACGAGGUUACCUGAGGACAGUGUCUGGCUCUACUAGCUGAUUGCUUUGAGCCUUCAAAAAUCCAGUUAAUGGGGGCACCUCUGAAGCAAACCAGAUAUCCCUUUUACCGCGCAGUCCCUGUUGAGAAGAGUAUAAUUUUACAUUAAUUACACUGGAUAAGUAAGAAUUUGUUAUGUUCCAACUUGAUCCAGUAAAUUCCCAUUUAACCCAGUUGUCCCUAUUAAGUGUGUCAGCUCUCCUUUCAAAAGCUCCGCUAUGCAAAGACAAAUUAGUGUAUUAAUGUGAAAAUACGUACUUUAAGGCAACAAAAAUUAGGAAACCCUUAUCCUUUUUUUUCAGAAAGAAUUAUUUAUUAUGGAAUAUUACAACGAACUCUGAUUGCUUACAGUUGUUUAUAAAAAUCAAAUUUAUUUUUCUUCAUGCUUUUUAUUUUCUCACUUCUAAGCCUUAACAGAAUUCCACUUGUCACUUUCGUUUUCAUUAAUGUACUUUCAUUCUCUCUAAUGUACUUUCAUUUUGUUUAAAGUUGAUUUAAAGUUUCGUUUUCAGAUUCUCACGUAAAUAUUGAAAAAAAAUUGACCUGAAAGUACCUCCUAAGACUCAUCUAUUCUUUUCUGCUCUCCUUAAAUUAUAUAUAGUGUAUACUAGACAAUAGCCAGAUCUAAUUCUGAACUACUUUGUCAGUUGAAGUUAAAGCCUAGGGGAAAACCAUCAGUUUAUCUUGCACGUAGUUAGUACGUAACUCCAUUCAACCAAAGUUGAGUGUGUUUUCCAAGACCUUCCCAUUGGAGCACAGGUUCACUGUCAUCCUAUUGAUACCAAGGAGAACUGUCUGUCUUCUGCCUGUGGAUAAGUGAUGGGUCCUAAGUGGACGCCUAAAAGUUUUCCUGUUUUUAGGAGUAUUAACCAUCAAGUGGAUUUUAUGUGUUUAGAAUUUUCACAGGAAAGUCAGGCUUAAGGAAGAAUGGAGCAGUGGGGUUUUAGUGUUUUGUGUGUGUGUUUAUUUUUGAUCUUUCACACGCUAUUUGUUUUGUCAUCCCAUUUCACUUCUGUUAAAUGGUGUCUUGUGUGCAGAAGGUGGUCUCGGAGCUCAAAGAUCUCCUUACAGUUAGGCAGGUGGGUUUGGAGAGGAGAGUUAAAUAAUUUCUGAUGUGAAAUAACAAUCAAUUUGGGCAUAUGGCGCUUUGAGAUAUGUGUACAAUAAUCUCAGAUAUGUCUGGAUUGCUUAAGCUCAUUAUUCACUUGUUGCUCUUUAGCAUCUGAUACAUGGGAUACGCACAAAAUAAAUGCAUUUUAUUAAGAAUGUUUGAUAGCUCUGGUGCUGUUCAUGCUCAGAAUGUGAUAUUUUAGAGUGCAUGUUUGUAUACAAGGAAUUAUUGUUGCAUUUUAUCAUCCCAUGGUUUGAAUGUGUGGAAAAUGUUUUGCUGCAAUAUCACUGCAUCAUAUAAAACACACGUGGUAAUUCUAAAUGUAGUAGUGUCCAUGACAUGAUGUUAAUCGUCAGCCUUUGGCCCACCAGUUGUUUUCACUCUUGUAAGAAGUAACCAGACCCAAAGUGACUUUGAAAGGUGAUCCAUUUCUAUCCUAAUAUGGAUUUAAAUGGAAUAUUUCUCAUGCCGUUCAGUCCCAAGUGGGUCAUUUCUUCUUCUGCUGUUCCCUAUAAGCGUCUUCUUGUUUUGUAUUUCAGAACCUGGAUUUUCAUUUAGCAAUUAAUGUGGGUGAUUCAAGUCACUCCUUCUGUAUUUUAUUAAUUUUUGCCAAAUAUAGUAUUUCUCAGCCUACUAUUGAUUGAGCAGAAUGGGGCUUGCCUACACAAAAUUUCUUAGGAAAUACAAUUUGCACAUCCAGAUUUUUAACUACACCCACUCUCCCCAUUAUUGCAAGGUGUAAUCUAGUUGUAUGAUGCUGCCUGCACAGAUGCAUACCUUCUUUAAAAAUAGGUUAUGUGCCUAAAUCCUUGAGAGAGCUUGAAUACGGGAUUUUUCUAGGCCUUGGUGCUCACCGAAUAUUUAGCUCUUGUGGUUACCGUAACAGUUUUUGUGAAGGCUUUUCCGUGCUUUUAAAAGGUGCUUUUAGUAAUUAGUUUAAUCCUAAAGUGCAGCUGAGUUCUUUUGCAGCAAAAGCAACUACUAAUUUUAAAAGUAAUUUUAAAUUUACACGUAUCCAUUUUAACAGUACGUUUGACUUGAGUACUUCUUUUCCAGAAAUCUACCCUGGAGAAAAUGUUUUUAAUCAGGUUAAAAUGGAGGCAAGAUAGAAAAAAAAAUGUUUGCUGUGGCUUGACUGCAGCAGUGCUAAUGAGCUCUGCUCUAAUACAUGGAGGAACAUAUGGCCCCCAUCUGAAUACAAACUGGACACAAAGCAGUAAUUCAGCUGAGAUGUCCUGAAUAUUGUAAACUGGGUGAAUGUGGUUGAAGGUGUUUAUAAACGGUGGCUGAAUCCCACACACUGACUCACUGCCUUCUAAUGUCCGGGGCUCAAGGUGCUGUUUGUAAGAGUAUAGAAAAUGACCCGGAGAGGGAAUUCUUAAUUAAUGCUAACAAAAUAGCUAACUGAAGUGUUAUGUUAUGAAGAAAAGACUUCUUGUGCUCAUGACGCAGCAAGAGACGGAUUAUGGAGAGGGCGAGUUAGGAGAAGAAAAAUCACAGGACAAGCAAAUUGAGUAUUUACUGGCAAAUAAUUGCUCUCUUAAGCUGUGGCUCUCUUCCUAAAUUCUUGGCAUUCCUGAGCACUAGAACUGUGUUUUUAAAAAUGCAUCGUUACAGAGUAGAUGCAAAAAAACCCCUCAAAGGCUGAUAUUACAGGCUUGUGCAGGUAAGACUGUGUGUUACUGCCUAUAUUUCUUCUGAAGCUUUAGACUGACCGUUGCUUAUGGGCGGAAUACUGUUUUUUUCUGUGUCUAAGGAACUGAUAUUUUGCUUUCACAGCUAUAUUCCGUCUGAAAGUUAGGGAAAUGGAGAUAGUCCUCUGAGUUGUAGUGCAUGCUUUUGUGUCAGCUCAGAUAUGCCGAUGUACAUGAAAUCAAAACAAGCUUUUAGGAGUCCAAUUUUAUUUAGUUUAAUUGGGUUCUGGCUUUUCUAGAAGUGCCUCUACUUAAAAAAUCUAUACAGCAAUUGCGUGUGGGCAGAAACAUGCCUCGAUGUGCUUGCAUUUUGAUACGGUUUGAUUUCCACAAAGGAGGGCUUAGGAGAUUGUACAGUGACAGAACUUUUCCCAAAUAACUCUGAGUCUGCCCACAUCCAUAUGUAUUCCCUUGGUGUGGCUCCCCAAGGAAGUGAGAUUUCUGGAAACCCCUCUGUUUGCGUACCUGUCUCCGAUUCCUUUAAUCUUUUGAAUCUAGCUACUUUCAGCCAACUUUGAUGGGUAAAAGUGUCCAAGAUACCAAAGCUUCCACAUGUUUUGUGGAAGCGGGCAGCUCUUUAAAGGAGAAAAACUCUUUUAAUGACACCACUGAGGGAAAGACUGCCUCACCAUUUUACCCAAAAUUAUGCAUCAAAGACCCCACAUGGACAGAAAUCCAUAAGACAGCAGGUACUUUUGGCUACCUGAGAAUUGGCUCAACUUCACGGAGAAUUUGAUUUUUUUGUUUAUUCCACAUGUAAACUUCAUUUUGCAGUACUGAAAGGAUCUGUUAGCCUGUGGAGAUCUGUAGUUGGUUAAGAAUACUCUGUCUUAAAUGGCUCUUUUUCACAUCUUAAUCACCAAAUAACAAAACAGUAUCUUAGCAUUUUUGUCAUGCCUACAAACUGUUCUUCCUUUCUGCCCCCACUUCAUGAUGCACAUUAAAAGGAAUGGCCAAAAUCAUCUCACUUUCCACAAGUAAAUAAAAAUAAUGUGUACCCAUGAAGAGCAGAAAUGUAUUCUAUUUUACAGAGAUUGGAUUUUGGUUGUACCAGCCCUAUCGUAUGGGGUAUCCCAGCUGAACACGUGACUGAUGAGCUUUCAGACACCACUCUAGAAAGUCAUGCAGUAAGCAUUACAGAGCCCAGUAUCAGGUCCUUCAAGAACAAAUUGCUAAGUUCCUAGUGAUGAGUAAUAGUGAUUUAACCUUUCCCACGGUUGCGGUUUCUCCUUAGAAUGUAUCAAACUGAAGUUGGCUUAUGUCUUCAAACACAGGCAGUUUUCAGUCCUCAUACUUUAGUGUACCACAGUUGUGGAUAUUCUGUUUAUUGACUACUAUGCCAAUUAUUUCUGUAAUUAUGUUUAUCGUUAUUGUAAUUGUUCUUUAUUAUUGUUAUUAAUAUUAUGGCAAUAAUUAGUCCUUUUUAAACUCUCAAAACCUCUUGGCCCUUGUGAUGUCUUGGUGCAGAGUCCUGCAAGUUAAUUAUAUAGUAUGUGGAUAAAAAAUAAUAAUCCUUUUAUUGGUUUUAAUGUUCUGUCUUUUAGUUUUAAUGACUGUCCCCUCUUUUCUUGGGAGGUCAGAUUUAUUUUAUUUUCUCUGUGCAGUUACAUUUAUAUCCCAUCUCCUAUGUUCAGCCUUUUUCAUUUUCUCUGUCAGUUUGAAGCUAUCUAAAGUUUUUGCAUAUGGAAAGCUCUUGGGGGUUUUAAUGAAUCUUUUUACUCUCUGAACCCCUUUUGUUUCUUUUACAUGAUAUUUGAGGCAAGGUGAUAAGGGUUGACAGCAAAAUCCGGAGGGAUGGCAUAACACUAACUUAUAAACCUAUCAGCAUUUAUAGGUAUUCUUGAAAGAUUUUCCUUUGGAGCACCAGUCUGCAUGAGGUGCUGAGUGAUCCCCAAAAUUUCUGUUUCCUAUGUCUGAGCGCUGUGAACUCAUCAUGUGUUAUGAAAUGAAAGCAGUGUGAGUUGUUUCUUUAUCUCCAGUAUUAGGAAAGGCUAACUACAGAAUCCUGUGAAAAGUUUUUCAAAGUCAAAAGAGAGAUCUAUGGAGAAGGAUCAUUGUACCUUGUGUAUUGUAAACUGGAAGAAUUCCACAAGAUGGUGAUGGCUGACAUCAAAAGGAAGUACAGCUUGUUCUGUGGCUUCUAGACCAUCUGCAACUGACGUGGAAGAGAUGAGAGGAUGCCAAACAAUAGCACAAUUGUGAUAUAGUGGAAGUAUGAAUCAGGCAUUGGUCUACCCUUCCUGGAAAACACAGUCGAAGCCUGGGACUGUUCCUAGGAAGGCACGCAGAGUCUUCAUUUGUUUGAAAGAGAUAAAUUUCAGGCACUAAUUCAAGACCAGCAAUUGCAUUAAAAUGUCUGGAUCAAGCUUUUUCCAGUUUGGAUUGUCAAAUUUUAUCUUUUUAUUUCUGCAGAUAUAUAGAGGCAUGUUAUAGAAAUAUGUAUUAAGAAGUCCCUGAGUCCUAGGAGAACAUAUCAAGUUGACUCUGGCUAGAAGCAAGUGAGUUUUAUUCCCAUUCCUUUCAGUUCAUUCACCCCUUUUCCAUUCUCUUCUUGUCAUCUCCUGUCUUUCACCUGAUUUUUUUUUCCUUAUUAAAAAUUCUGAGUGACCUGGUACAUUUUAAUAUGAUAUAGGUGAUCAUAUUCAUCAUGAAGGUGAUAAAGCGUACUUCAAUGCCUUCUCGCUUGUCCAAGGGAUAACAUAGGUUUCAAAAAGCAGAUGGCUGACUAGAGAGCCCUGAGAUAUCACAGAGCUAACAGGUGCAGCUAUCAAUUCAGCUUCUGCAAUGCAAAGAAUUCAUAUUUCCCAUAAAAAUCAGAAAAAAAAAGGGGAAACAGUGAAAGAGUGAACUCAAAGACUCCAAAUACAUACAUUUGAAAAUUUUAUUAUGGUAGAUGAUGCAGGGACAGCAUUUGUAUGCCAAAAGUAGCAAUCCAUUGCUAAGGAAGUAAGCUUCAUGGCUAAAGCAGAGUGCUGAAAGGUAGAGACUGCACUGAAUUCUUGUGGUCAUUGAACAGCUGAGUAAUUUGCACAACACUCCUAAGGUCUGUUUCCCACACCAAAGCAAAGCUUUGUAUAGGAAAAGAUAAAAAAAGGAAAGGUGUAUUGCUGCUGAAAUGCUAGAUACUGAAGUGGCUCAAAAUGUGUUUCCAAAAUGCAUUUAGUGCAUCAAGAAAAACAACACGUAAAGGUCAUUAGGAGAAAUCACACUACUAACAGUACCUCUUUCUAGUCCUCUUCCCCCUUUCUUACAAGUUUAAUAUGGGAUUAUAAAAAAAUAUAGCCAGCAUACAAGUGGUUAAGGAGCCAUGUCCACACUUUUUCAGUUCUUUAUAUUUUGACAGUAGUGGGCUUCUAUGAGCUAUUGAUAACUUCAGAUGCAAUUUAAUUGCAUUUUUGUUCGUACUACCUUAAAACCCAGUUUGGAAUGAAAAUGGUUGAGGCAUCUAAAUAUGUCAUUACUAAUAUCAUUAAUAAGGUUGUUAGGCUUUAAUUUUGUGCUGCCCAACUGAAAUCUGUGGUGUGUGCUUACUGAAUCAGUGCCAUAGCACAGGACUGGGACUCCUUCAUUGUCACAGCUGGACCAGAGGACUUUGAAGUGGUGUUGCCUUUCCCUAGACAUCAGUAGAAUUAUCCUUGCAAAAGCAAGUAGUUUUUACAAGUUGACAAAAUGACUCUUACGUUACUGGUAGCGGAAAAGAUAAAGAUCUUAACUGCUGACUUUCUGGUAUAAGUACAAGAAAAUAAGGUCUUUUAAUUCACAGCAAAAUUAAGGUAACCAAGGGAAACCAAGAGGAUAACUAUUCAGAAUUUUAACUAGUAAUGAGAAAUUAGGAUAGGGCAAAUAAUGAACACGAUCCUUACUGCCCAGACACUGAAGUCUUUAAAUUUUAGAUUGCAGUGAAAGUGUUUCUAUAUUUGGUCUACUAGGAAAAAAAUCACCGUAAUUCCAAUCACAUUUCUAAAAGCUAUGAAUACAGGUAUGAGAGAGUAUUACAGAUAAAUUAUCCGAUUCAGAAGUUUUUCCUAGAGUUGCAAAAUCUGUUAUGUCAUAUUCACAGUUUUUCCAUAAAAAGACUUUUCCAUUAGUCAUCAGGUUGGAACAGCACUUAUAGAAGUUGGAAAAACAAGUCAUAAUACCUAUAAAACGUUUUGAAAAGUUAAAGUGAAAACUUCCUGAGCAGUUGAUAGAAAGGAAAGUAAUGGGGAGAUUUUUUUCUGCUUUUGUGUAAAAGGUGGGAGUUUUGACUGGAGAAUGCUAUAGCCAACUGCAAAUAUAUGAAACUGUUAGAGAAAAGAUUUCUCUCCUGUCCUAUUUUCAGACAAAUUACCUUCGUGGUCCUGGUCCUUUGGUUCCACACAAUUAUCAACUAAGCUGAAGGAGAUCUCCCUAUAGCUGUGAGUAGUAAUGAGGCUUUAGCAUUUCUUUUCACAUUGCUGCUAGAGAGUGACCCCUCUCUCUAGAAGGCUCACCUUUUCAUUACAAAGGUGUUACUUCUUUUCUGCAUAUUUAAAGCACCCCUUGUGUUACUGUGCAAUCCCUUCACUGUGGAGUAACAGAAAAUUCAAGCUGACAUAAGUUCCAGCAAGCUUCUUUAACCUUGGAAGUGAAAAGUGGCCAGUGACAGGCAGGAGCUUUGAAAGACAGCGAAAGAAUAGAUUCAUUUUGGAUUGUACUCAGAAUGUUGUAUAAAUGAUGCAAGAAACUCAGAGAGAUGCCACAAACACCCUACUAGGGAGAUACCAGUGACAGAAUGAGAGCUACUGCCCGAAACUGCUUGAGUUUUGACAGCAUUAUGUGAUGACAUCUGAGAUGUAAGUAGAUGCCAGGCAGCUAUAGUGUCUUUUGAUGAAGUCAUUUAUUGAUUUGACACUGACUUUUUCCCUUGUACCAGUGCAUGUACUCUCCUGUGACACAGAAUUGAGGUGAUCUCGUGAAAUUACAAGAAAAGCAGAAAUUGGGUAGACAAAAUGGAUGCUACUACCAAGGAAACUCUACUCAGUACUCUUAGAAGUAAAGGAUACUGUGAUGUGAGUCAGUCCUCACAACACAGCACUUCAAGGGAAAUGGAUAAAUGGUGGUUGGGCACAACUCACAGCUCUAAGUGCUGUGAGGAGGUGAUACCAUGUGGCAGAUUUACCUGGGAUUUUUGUGCUGGCAGAGAGACAGGGAAGGAAAUCUUUUUAUGAUCAAGCAGUAUAGCUCAAAGCAGCAUUGGUUUUAUGAAUGUGAAUGAUAAACAGUGGUGAAUCGGAGUACAGCUGAAUCCUAAACCAAGUGAUUGUGAUGGGGCAAAUUAUAGAGGAAUUUAUGCAAGGUUCUCUGUUGCUAUAGCUCAAAUGAUUCGUCUGUGCUGUUUUUUCCUCACCCUUUUCCAAGUUUAUUUUGUGUUGUAUAUCAUUCCUGUAAUUGUGUUCUUUGUUGUUUUUCUCCUGACAUGUUAAAUCCCACAACACAGUCUAGUCUUGAUGUUUUCCUUCUCUUUCAAAGAGUCCCAAGAGAGAGAAGCAGGGAAGGUAGAUGUAUUUGACUUUGGAAAAUGAGUUUAUGCCAGUUGCAAAGGAAAUAAAAUAUAUCAUAGGGGUCUGCUAAGGGGAGGGGAAUGAAAAUAUUGCUCGUUUGUGACAAAAGAUUGCCUUGAAGACUGCUUCAGCUUGAUCAGUCUGAAGUCCAUGUCUCACUGUUUCCAUUACAAAGGCUUUAAUGUUCCUGUUUCUUUUGGAAAAGGACUUCAUCUAUUUUGAAAUAAGUCCAAGGCUCCCCAAAUGUACUAUUUGCUUUCAGGCUGAAAACAUGAGACCUGUGCAUUGGCAUCUCAUUCUAGAGGGGCUAGAAAAUAUUACGUGGUUUAGGUCAUGGGCCAGGAUAGCCAAGGAGUCAGCAUGUGAGCAUCUCCAUGACAGCUGAGGAUCAUAGAGUCCACAGCCUUAUGCUGAUACAGUGAGCACUACUUCUGCAAGGACUUUGGGUAUGGAGAUAUUUCAGCACAGAAUGGGGCCAUGGCUUCCUCAUGCUCUGGGCAAUGGAUGCAAGCAAUAUGCCUAGCAGACAGGAGAACAAGCUGUCAAGCUAUGCCUGGCACAGGGACCACAGGAUGGGUGAGGAACUGAAGCACUCUGCUGUGCAGGGUGUCUGUACUGUGGUGGGUCACUACAGGGCUGUAAUUAGAUAACGAAAUCUCAGCCAGAAUGAGUGAAAUCUGGUAGAUCUUUGUUUUACAUACCAUUUGUCUGGUUUGCAUGUAGGAGGCAGGACUUCAGGACCUGUAUUAUGAAGGCAGAAUACUAUUCGUAUGAUACCUUCUUGGUAUCAAGCCUGUAAGCCGAUACAGUUCAUUCCUUCAGAGGAUCCCAGUCCGGAUUUGUUCACUGGGGGUGAUCAUUACAGAGCCGUAGUACAUUAAUUCAAGUCCUUAGCAAACAGUGGCUCACUAUCCUCUGCAAGCCUCCCACGGCUUCCUAUUGUGAGAACAUAGCUUUCUGCUGUUUUUCCUUUAUCUGCUCCUGAGAUGUCCCUAAUCUCUUCUGAGCAUCAGCCCCCAUUUUUCUGUUCGCAGCAGAGAACUUUUUCGGUGCACACCUGUGGAGCUCAUUCCUAACCUGUCGUUUUCAUAGUAGCAGUUUUACCGGGUGUUAAAAUACAGCUACCAUCCUGAUACGUGCGUACAGAGGAAGAAAAUAAAUGCGCUCUCUGGAAAGAGAUGAUAUGAUCUCUAAAUUAGUGGCAGCCAUCCCUCAUAGUGUGUGGUAUGUUUUAAAGUUCAAGGUCAUUUUUUUUUUUUUUUCCCUUUCUUAGUAUGUGCAACUGUUAGCAUCAACUGCUGAUGCAUUUACCUUGGGCUUUUUUCUUUAGAAAUCUUACAGCCUUUUUGGAAAUUUCCACUCCUCCUCCACUCAGCUUUUAAAAGAAAUUUUUGUUUUUAUGAAAAGUGAAAGCAACUUUCAUGUAAGAUGAGCACAAGUGAGUUGCCAGAAGGUAAAUUCUCUGUGCUGUGAGCAGGCUUCUGUUUUACAUGGGAUAGCCACUGUGAAAUGCAACAACUCUGAACAACAGUUCGUGAGUCCAGAAAAAUACAAAUGAAGUGACAGCAGUGUUUACACUGCUAAGUCACUUAUAUGAGAAGAUACCUUAUUUUGAAGUGACUACUGUCCUCCUUUGUUAACUUGAAACCAUCUGGUUUUAAGCAUGUUUGACAGAAGGAUAGGGGCUACACAGAGACUGAAUCCUACCAGUUUUAUGACAAUCAGAAACAGGAAAGAGGCCAAAGUUCCUCCUGCCCUGGAGGAGAGCCUGCAGCAUGCACUCAAGAUACAUGCAAGGGUUGUCCAGCCAGCAGGGUGGACAUCUCUCACAAAACGGCCUGGCAGCUGGCAGAUGUGCUCCUCAGCAUGUGUUCUGGGUUUCCUGCCACUAGCGAAGGAGGGAGGGAGCUGGAGGUGCUGCAGAUGAUGGCCAGAGGGAAGCACAAAGAACUCUGGAGGGAGCAGUCCUAGCCAAGAUGUUCUGGAGGGGGAGAACACAAAGCAGAAGGGAGCCAAUGUUGCUUGUGGCAUGACUUGUCUAAUUCAGGUACACUCUGAUCUGUCACCAGAUCCAGAGGUAUUUCAACAGUGAAGCAUUGCUUUACGGUUUAAGACUUCAACUAAAGGGGGGAAGACAGAAGUUCUGUUCUUCAGCUAGGAGGUGUGAACUUGAUGAACCGAUUGUAACAUCUGUGUCUCGUAUUCUUUCUCUCUGAGAAAAGGAUAGAAAUACAUGUGUGCUUCAGAGGGGAGCUGAGGUGCUUCAUCCGUUUGGAAAUGAUUUUUCUCCGUUAGGAGACAGAUGCUUUACCUUUUGCAUGAAAAGCUGUAAAUGUUUCAGAAACAAUUAAAGCAGCUUCCUGACAUCCUCUUGGGUGAGGAAAUAUGAUUGCUGUGGGAAAACUGAGGCAAAAAAUCUGUCAUGUGAAUAUUUUAUUUUAAUAGUUAAUGAACAGGGAAAAAGAAAGCAUUACUAUAAAACACAUGAGCAAGAUUGUGGAAAACUUUGGCAGAGAAAGGGACUGAGAUAAAUUCUGUCUUGAUUGACAUCUCCUGAAGGUCAAAGUAUCUACCCACUGUAUGAGGCAGUGUUAAAUUUGCUCAUGGUGUAUAUAUAUAAUCAGAAGACUUUGCCUCUUAGUAUACUUUAUUUCAGAAUGCGUGUACUGCGUAAGGCUGGCUGGUAGAGUAGAAGUAAAUAUUAUGAAAAGUGACUACAUAAAAAGAUAAGCCUUUGGUUUCACAUCAGCAAUAAUAUUAUUAUUUUUUACAUGAAAACCUCAAAUUAUUUUCUGAACAAUACCUAAUGGCCAGACAGUAUGCCACUUCAGGAGAUCUCCAAAGGUCUUGAUCAAAAUAUACCACACCAUUUUAGGGUGUUUGUGAAUAAUAGCAUUUCCUAUUUGGGGAUUUGGAAAUAAAGGCACAGAGAAAUUAAGUAGGUCACACACCAAAUGAGUGGCAAUUGAGGAAGAAAAAGCAGAUGUCAUGACCUUUUCCUCUUUCUUUAACUCAGAAGAUCAGUAGUCUUGCAAGCCUGCACAUCUGUUUUCAGUUUAAGCUGAUUCUUGUUCUUGCAGGAUGUGUGAUGCUGCAGACGAUCCAGUUGUUUUGACUCCCUCAUCCCAAGAGCUAAGGCAUCAAAUCAGUUACUCUAGGUUAGUGUCAAUUCUCUGCUAGGACAAGCCUCCUUUUUCAAAGAAGGGCAACAAAGCUGUGAGGGGUCUGGAGCACAGGCCUUAUGAGGAGCAGCUGAAGGAGCUGGGAUUGUUCAGUCUGGAGAAGAAGCUCUGGGGAGACCUUAUUGUUCUCUGUAACUACCUGAAGGGAGGUUGUAGUGAGGUGGAGGUCAGCCUCUUCUCUCGUGUGACUAGUGAUAGGACUAGAGGGAAUGGCUUCAAGCUGAGCCAGGGAAGGUUCAGGCUGGACGUUAGGAAAUACUACUUCUCUGAAAGGGUGGUCAGGCACUGGAAUGGGCUGCCCAGGGAGGUAAUGGAGUCACUGACCCUGGAGGUGUUGAAGGAACGUUUGGAUGUUUUGUUGAGGGACAUGGUUUAGUGAGAGCUAUUGGUGAUGGGUGGAUGGUUGGACUGGGUGAUCCUGUGGGUCUUUUCCAACCUUGGUGAUUCUAUGAUUCUAUGAUCUCUAGUAGAUUACAGACUGAACACAUACCAAGUAGCAUUUUAAACUGUAUUCACAUUGUGGCAGAUUGUAACUAUGUGUAUACUUAAGUACCAGUAUAAAUUGAACAGUUAACUCUAAUACCUGCGGCAGUUGCUUUCCCCCACUAGACCUCUGUACAUUUAUAUCAUUGUAUAAAUGCUUCUGUAUGUCAAGCAUUCUAUGAAAGAAAAAGAGAAACUUCAGCUGGUAGGAGAUUAAAAAUUUAUGGUGAGAAAAGACAGGGCCACCCAUAAGUAUCAGGUAUACACUGACACUAAGUGAUUAUUUUAGAUUUGUUUGCAUGUUUGUUUUUAGCUCAAGCUUUGGAAAUUGACAAUGCCUUUAUUUAAUUCCACUGAACUCAAUGUGAGGUUUACCAUACAUUUAAGCUGAACUAUACCAGUACUGAAUAUUGUGAAAAUCUCACUCCUACACAUACCCACUUUCACUUUUGUGUUCUUGAAUCAGAUUUGGCAAGUAAAUGAACAGAAAUGGGCAUUAUUACAUAUCCCAGGAGAGCUAGUGCUUUCCAGAAUGCUGUCUGUAUUUCAGAAUUGCUGUGCUUUUAAUUGUCUUGCAGCCCAGUUUGUCUUUGAUGGGUUCUCUCUCAAUGGGUUCUCUCUCUGGCCUUGUAAAAUCCAUAAAUUUGUGAAGUAUACCAGACAAGAACCCUUUGCUCUUGCUUGUGCCAUUCCUAACUUGUGACACAAAUGGAAACAAGGCUAAUUCUGUAAGAUUCUCCUGAGAGGAAGAUAUGUGAGGACAACACUGUCUAGCCUUCUGAAGUCUUAGGCUUGUUUCUUGGAUUUAAUUCCUUAACUGUGUCACAAGUUUUGGACUGCUCGAUUCCUCUCCCUGGGCCAUGUACUCCAAUUCUGAAAUCAUCUAGAUUCUCUGUGUUAAAUGUCUAUGGUUUUCUUUGUCACUUAGAGUCUGAAUUGUCCCUUAUUUUGUAGAAGGGGAAUUCACUUCCUAGUGGUGUCAACAGCAGAAAUAUGUGAACUGUCCACUUGUGUUAUGGUCACGAUGAGGUCUAGAUUCACCGCUAACUAUAUCAGAAGGAGGCCUAAGAUGGAAAGUAUCUGACUACCAACUGCCCUUUACUCCUAAGAAAUAGGCAUUUGCAUUCUUUGUAUCCUGGAAAGGAGAAUCACCAUUCUGAAUGCCAUGCUUAUUCUCAGCAUGAUGUGUGUGAUGAAGAAGGCACUCAAAGAAAGAAUCAAAGCUAGGAUGACAUCAAAACAAAUGCUUCCAUUUUUAUUCUCCCUUCCAUGGUGGAUUAGUUACAACAGAAUGAAACACCAGAUAACUUGAAAAUAAAAGCCCGUGUGUGUAAGUAGACUAUGGCAGUUUAUUCUAAAAGUAAAUUCUUCUCUCACUUCUCAAACUACAGCUCCAACAACAUAAUCCCCUACUUUGCUUUCUUUGACACACCUUCUCAAAUUCGCUGGCCAGCCCAUAUGGUUGCUUUGAGAUUUUUGCUGUUCUGUGUCACUUGCUUGUCUUUCAGAGCUGUUAUAGAUAAUUGCUGGACCUAGUAUCUACUGAUAUGACAUUGUGCUUGGCAUGUGAUAUGAAGGGAUGUUACUUCAGUGCUCCAAACCCUUCAGUAGACUUUGAGAUAAAAAGUUCAAACAGUGUCCCAGCUGAGCACUCAACACACAUAGUGGUGAAAACCAUAGGAAAUGGGAAGAGGGAGCUUUUCAAGCAGGAGUCUAAGGAGACAACGUCAGUCUGGGUUCUCCUUUAAAUGGACAGUACCCUAUACAUCAAAAAAAGAAGGAAAGGAAAGAAAAGGAAAGGAAGGGGGAGAGAAGAGGAGAAAAGAAGAGAAACAGAAGGGAAGGAAAAGAAGAGAAAAGAAAAGAGAAAAGAAGAGAAAAAAGGAAGUGUGACUAAUCUUUUUUUCCUUCAUUUUAUAUGUUAUUUUAUCUUACAAUGACUUACCCUGUGUGGUGCUGUUCAGCAUGCAAACAUUGCAGAUGAAUACAAUCCCAAGCUCCAACAAACUGUUCCCUCAGCCAGAUAGUGCUGACUUCUGCCUCAGGACACAGUAGAACAGUCACAACACUGAAUUGCAUUCAUCUGGUGAAACUAUUGGGGAAAAUAAGAGUUCUAGAGAGUAAGUAGAUGAGUUCUCAAGUAGCAAUCAAAGUAAAAUGUGUGCAUAAAAGGAAUGUAGGACUCAUUUCCCAAGCAUGUAAUGUGGAAGCCAAUUUGUAAUCAAUGGCUUUCUUUUCACAUGUUCAGUGAGGAAAUACUUGUUUUCCCAGCUUUAUGAUCAUGAAGCAAGGUGGACUGUUGUUUGAAGCAUACUUUGUGCUAGUGACUUUUUCUCUAGUCUUGAGCAAGUUAGUAAUUUUGUGUGGUUUUUGAUAGCUGGAAACAGUGGUACUGAUUUCUGCCAUAAACAGCUUGUAAAAAUGUUGAUAUAUUAGGGGACCAGAACACAGUGAUCUGAGUAAUACAUUUGUCUGGUACAUUAGUAACAUCUCUGUGAGCUCUACUUGUUUUCUUUCCCAAAGAAAAUGUACUUGCAUACAAACAAAACUACACUUUCAACUUUUAUUUCAGUACAUGAACAUGAAGACAGAAGAAAGACAUGCAGUUGCAUGGUUGUGCUAAAUAUGUCCUCCAUUAUUUGUGACAAAAUUAGUUUUUGGACUCUACUGAUUAGAACAAGACACAGAGUUAUUACAGAAAAUAUCAGCCAUAGGAGAGAAACAUUCUCUGAGCUUUAUACCACACUUCCCAUUCUUUUGUCAGCUUACAUUAUAAAUAAAUAACAAAGCAAUUUGACACAUGCCCAUUGAUUAAAAAUAAAAGUUGUCAGAGUGAGAGGAGAAAGACAAAAAUAUGAAUUAUUAAUAACAAUAUUAAGCAAUGCAAAAAAGAUGCUUAACAUGCAGGAAAGUCUCUGAAAAGUCACUUAGUGAAGGGGAAGGAAAGGACAGCUACAGAGACCUUGCCUCCACUACUUUGUGGCCACUUCCUCACUACCUAGUCUAGCAACUUGAUCCUUGAAGGUCAGGGUGGCCAUACAAGAAGGAAGGGUGAUUCUGUUGAUUUCUGUUAUCCUGUUUACUUCACCUCUAUUGUUUCUAGCAUGCACUACCAGCAAGCAUGAAGACAUCAUGUAAGGUAUGGAGUAAAUUUAAAUCAAUCAUGUUCAUGAUUGAAUUGGCCAUUUUGUGUUUCUGAGCAAUCUUCUUGCCGGUGAGAUUUGAACAACAGAUUGAUAAAAUGGACACUUCUGUGGCAGAAGGGAGGCUAAUUUAAACUCUUUCUAAUUUGGUAUAUCACAGGUACCUGGGAUUUAGUAAAGGGAUAUUAAGGUGUGCAAAAAUAUCGUUACUGCUAGUUGUAGUCUGUGUUCUGUGUACAGUGUAUUGCCCCAGUUGAUGUGCCAAACACUAGCUGGAGUAAUUAUGCAUUUCUUUUCCCACCUUCUGUUGCUUAUUUUGGUUGCAGCUAUUUCAAUGUUUUCAUUUACCAGGACAGUUUGAAUGGCUACUGGGUAUACUGACCAUCCUAGCAAUAUUUAAUUUUCUAUCCAUGGAGAUCAGAUUUCUUUUUUUUCCACUGAAGAGGAAAGGAAGAAAAAGUAUACUUGCAAAGAGUAAGAAAGGUAAUGACACAACUUCUCUGAAAACUGUAGAAUCUCACUUAGUGACUGUCCUGCUUGCUGAAAAAUGACUGCUCUGAGCAGAUAAUAAAGCGUGCUAUCACAAUAGAAGAGCUACUCAGAAAGUUUUCCUGAUCACGUAGAACCAAAGGUCCUAUUGUGGUUAAAAUGAUGGCGUUUGUAGAGGAGCAUUGUAUAUUUCACUUCUUCACGUCCAGUCUGAAGAUUGCAUUAUGUGUAACUGGAGAGAUAAUAUCAUAGAGAAAAUGACUGCAGGAGUCAGGAGUAGUAAAGCUGCUAGUCUAUGCUUAUGAUGUUAAUGUUUUGAAUUAACAAACUGUUAAUGAAUUCACAACAUGAUAUCCUAUUUAUUGUGCUUUAACUCUGGAAAGCUCCCUUUUAUGCAUCUUUGGUUCAAGUAAGGGCUAAGCACUUGUAGCUUUUAUGGGUUUCAUUAAGAGUCAGAAAUGCUCAGAGCUUCUGAAACUGAGGUCAAAUGAUCUUCUCUCUGGCAUUUAGUUGCAUAUGGUGUGGGUACCUCCAUCUUAUCUCCUUAUUUCAACUUCAGUUGCAGUUAGCUGGAGAAUAGUACGUACUUAGAGGUGUGAUUAAAUUUAUCACAAUGAAAGGCAUCUGAAAUACUCUUGUGUAAGUGCCCACUUCUGUUCACAGACUGUAAAGUCUGGAUGAAGCAGUUAAAAAGUUAACCAAGAUUCUUCUGUGUGUGUGCCUUGAGCUGAGUAACUGAAAUCAGGGAGUUGUUCUAGAAAUGUUAGACUUGGCUUUUCUGGUUCUGUCUGUGAAAUGGAGGCACUACUUUGUUUUGUACGUUGUGAGAAAAUUGCAGAAUUGCAAAAACAGUUUGGGCUGGAAAAGACUUUAAAGACCUUCCAGUUACAACCCACCUCCCACUAGAGCAGGUCACCCAAAGCCUCAUCUAGUCUGGCUUUGAACACCUCCAGGGAUGAGGCAUCCACAGCUUCCCUAGGCAUCCUAUGCCAGUGCCUCUCAACCCUCUGAGUAAAUAUUUUUUUCCUAACAUCUUAUUUAAAUCUGCCCUUUUAUUUUAAAGCCAUUACCCCUUGUCCUAUCACUGUACUCUCUGUUAAAGUAUCCCUCUACAGUUUCUUGUAGAACUACUUCAGGUACUGGAAGGAUGCAAGGAGGUCUCCCUAAGGCCUUCUCUUCUCCUGUCUGAACAAGCCCAGCCCCCUCACUUCACAGGAGAGGUGCUCCUGCCCUCUGAGCAUCUUCGUGGUCUCCUUUGGCCACUCUCCAACAGCUCCAUGCUGAGGGUCCUAGGGCAAGAUGCAGCACUGUAAGUGGAGCCUCAUGAGAGCAUAGUAGAGGGAAUCGCUUCCCUCUCCCUGCUAGCCACACUUCUUUUGGUGCAGCCCAGGAUACAGUUGGCUUUCUGGGCUGCAAGCACACACUGUCAGCUAAUAUCAAGCUUUUAAUCCACCAGUAUCCCUAGGUGUUUCUCUACAGGGCUAUUCUCAAUCCAUUGUUUCCCAGCCUGUAUUUGUGCUUGUGAUUGUCCCUACCCAGGAGCAGGACCUUGCACUUAGCCUUGCUGAACCUCAUAAGGCUCUCACAGGCCCACUUCAAGCCUACCGAGGUCUGUCUCGAUGGCAUUCCUUCCCUCCAUCAUCUCAAUUGCACCACUCAGCUUGCUGUCGUCUGCAGGCAUGCCGAGGGUGCACUCAGUUCCCCUGUUCAUGUCACCAACAAAGCUGCUAAACAGUACUGGUAAGAUAGACUUCUCUUAAUUAGUACACUGUGUAUAAGGGUAAGAGUUCUUGUUAACUCCUAGAUGGUUUGCAUUUACAUUUUGUGAGCUCUUUCUACUUUUACACGUAGUAUGAGUAAACAUUAGCACUGAAUGAUUGUGUCAGUUUGUCUCAGCAUGAGUACCAUACACUAUUGCUAAAUUUGGCUUUAUAUGAAUUAUUUGUCUCUCUUAAAUAAUUAGUACUUCUAAUCUACUAGAUCUGGUCCUUAGGGUUUUGGUGGACAUUAAUUUGUACAUUAAAAGACUGAUUUUAAGAUAACGUUAUUGGUUUGGAAAAGUUAUACAAACCAAUAUUUGCUUAGCAGAGCCCAAGCACAGAACAAACUGAAUGAAACAGAAUGGCUUCUGUGGCAGGAGUGAGGUGAUGGAGAAGGAAACAACUAUCCUUUAUCACAUGUACUCAGAACUGUAGCUGAAGUCAAAUAACGACAUGUAAAGAGAUACUAGCACGCUAUGCCUAGCUCUCCUGGGACUGGAAGGCAAUUGUUUCAUAAAUCUACUGGUACCAUAUUUAGCCUUAUUCUAAAAUCUUUUUCAAAUGUCUGCAAGGAAAUCUUCAGAUGUUUGAAGAAUUUUGUCCUCUGAUGAGGAGAUUCUUAAGAAAAUGAGUAGGCUUUAAAAUUAAGCAAAGAUUGUUAAGAGAACCUUUGAUAAGGAAUUUUAAGAAUCUGAGAGAAAGCACUUUAAUAAUACUGUUAGAGUAAUUUUCAUCAGUCUUACUACACCCAUGUGCAGUAUUUCUACUCUGUAAACUGGAGCAUAUUUAUUUAAAUGAUUUGCCAAAUAUCUUAUCAUGGGUAAGUGGCAAGCUGCAAAUGGAACCCAGGAGUCCUAAUUUGAUUUCUCGUUGAAUUCAAAGACAGUAUUCAAAGCCUCUGAAAGAAAAACACUCAAGAAUUCAACAGUAACACUGCGUGAGGAGUCUCCCAUUUCAAUAAAUGUGUGGUUAUGAUAUGCCUGUACUUCACUGACCAAGGUCCCUGAGGUUGCUUUCAAUCCAAACCCAUGUCUCCUUUGUGGGUGCACAUUGCACUACCAGAUCUUUCAGUGCUCUGAACCAAAAGUCUUGUUCUUAAUGGACAUACUGGGGAAAAUACAGCCAUCUAAAAACACCACCAUUGCCAGUGAAAAAAGCAAGUAUGGGUGAAAUAAAAUCUGUAGAUUCAUAUGAAGCAAGCUGCAGCUUGAAUGCUUCUAUCAGUGCUGGGUUUGUUUUGUUUUGUUUUGUUUUGUUUUAGAGAAGUGAAGAUCAGACAGCAGAGGAUAUUAUUUAUCUUAAAACUCUGUUCUAUCUAUUUGCCAUCUCUGUGAGAUCUUGAAUAAAUGUAGAUAAGUCUCAGUAUUUUUAAAUUUGUAUUUUGAAUUUGACAGCACACUGGAUGAGCUUUACAGAGAGGUAUUUCAGUGAGAGGUUUUUGAGAGAAGGCUCUUCCAGUCAGCUUGUCUUCCCAGUAUUUUUUGCAGUACGUGAUGACAAAAGGUGAGAGCAAGAGCAAACAAUAACCAUCUUAGGAAAUCUUGGUAAACAUUUGAAAUCAGUAGGUUAAGUUGGCUGGUGUAAAAGUGUUGUGUAGAUCUAGUCCAUAAAAUCCAAUCUCAUAAUCUUGAAAGGAAAAUUCAAGAGUCAGGGAAAAUGCAGUUCAACUUGAUUUGCACAGUCAGGACUUUUGUUUGUGAACUUCUGUCAGGACUGAUCUCAGUAUUUAUAUAAAAUAUAAAACUGAUGUUCUUCCUUAGAAUUCCAGUUUCUGCCAGAGUCAGAAGAAAUACUGUGUGUUACAGCCAGUUUACUUUGCAGAGAUAGAGUAUGAAUUUCCUCAGCCAAGACAUGGAGAGCAUAAAGAGGAAUUCUGCGAGCAGUUUCUCAUUAAUAUCUAAUUUUGUGUUUGUUUGGCCAGAAACAGAAGGAAUUUGAUUUUCUUACAUUUGUGCUGAAAAUAAGAAGGUCUGAAGAAUAGAUGGAGAGGUACAGCUUAAUACACAUGCACUAGCUGUCUGUACAGUAAGUACGCAGUGCUUUUGCUUAAACAUGGGUAUUUGGUACAACUUGAUACGCCUUCUGACCUCUUGCUGCUUUUCUCAGAAGCCAGGUAUCUCAGAAGUGGCCGGUCAUAUUUGCUAGCUGUGUCCAAAUAUGUUGAAGCUGUAAGGCUUUUGCAGUGGAACUUGAUAACUACGUUUAAGCAAAUGAUUUGAGCUCUAAAAAUAAAACUUUGCACAUUUGUAACCACCUCUGGCACAUAACUUAGUGAUGAUAAUGCUACCAUGGUUCAGGAGGAAUCCUUUUUCUAGCAGUUAUUAGAGGUGAGCAUACAGAUGAUAGAUGUAGACCAGAUGAUUUCAUUAAUGAUUACUUGAUUACACUGGUGAUCCUCUGGAAUUUUAGGUCAGCAUAUAGGCUGGGAUUUUUACCUAUAAAUAACCAUUCUGUGUGCAAUAUAUGCAGUGUGUGGGAUGGACAGUUAAGAAUAAUUAGUGUACAGUUUUAACUUAGCUGACACACUUAUGCUGAGUGAAUGAAUAUGACUUGAGUUCUCAGAUUGCCAUGCAUUCAUGCUUACUAUUAGUAGAAAAAAAAAUCUGUAAGUUAAAUUGUUGCAUUGUAACUUCUGUGUAACAGAUGUUUUUAAAAAGUGAGAAUUCAAGCCCAUGUUAUUGAAGUCUGUGCAAGUUAAGAAGAUGUAUUAAAUAUCUGCAGUUCAUUAAAUUCUCUAGCAUAAAGAAAAAAUACAUAUUAUCUGAAGUUACUCAAAGGAUUAUACUAUAUAUUUUAAAAUUCUAGGUAAUACGUAAUGCAUAUUGAUCUUGUCAUAAUUUUACAGGUGUCAUUAGUGGCAUUGUUUCUUUUUAGCUGAUAAUGCAAGGCUAUAUAUCAUGUCAGAUCAGUAAUUAUAUGAAGCCAUCAGUUUGGUUUUCUGAGCCCUUUUUUUAUUUUUGAAGAUACAAUCCUUAGUAGAAGCAAUGCUGUGAAGUAUGAAUCGUUUUCUUCUAUUUCCUGCAGUAGUACUCUUCUACAGCUAUUUUCUAUCAUGAAAAUAAGCAUAAUGACUUUCAGAAACUUUCUCCUCUGCCCUUAUUCCAGCAAACCUCCCAUUGACUUCUGUAAGUAGAGACCAAAUCAAGGGUUAGCAAGAUACUUCAGGAUUUUAUGCUCUAUUUAAAGGAACUUGGAAGGAUAGAUUUCUUUGGUGAUGAAAUCUGAGGAGCUCUUAAAUACUGCCAACUGUUUCUUAACCUUUUCCAGAAAGCAAGCUAUAGAUACUUUCUCAGAAACCUGUAUUUUGUUGAUGAUCAGGUCUGAAGGAUUUUGCUUUGUGAAACUUCACCUAGAACCGGACCUGGAGAAAAGAGAUUACCAGGAUCAGUUUGUUUAUUUUAUUCUCUGAUGUGUUAGUGUUCCAUACUGGACAGUUACAUUUGCUGCCUUUAAUACUUGUUUUCAUUUGGUCUACCUUGAUAAAGACAAAGUUUUAUGGUCUUUGCUUACACUGUGAAAUGUAUUUUGAUUGUACACAGUUUUCAGUGAAUUUGGUGAGGACUCUGUCCAUUAAUUUCAUGACUAAAUGAUUUAUUUUCUGUUCAAUAUUCAGGAGAGGAAAUAAGAAGACUGAGGUUCGCAUCCCCUGUUGUCCUUGGAUCAUGGUGUAGACUCUGGCCAACUAUUUCUGAUGCAGAGGGUUUAGUAACUUUGAUUAAUUCAUGAUCACAGAGUGCUUUGGGCUCCUGGGAUAAAAAGCAAAAUAGAAUUGCAAAGCGUUAUUAAUGGAAAGUAUGCUUGACAUGCUUAGUAUACUAUAUUAAAUAUCGUUUGGGGUUGAGUACAUUACAAGAGUGCGAGUAACUCAGCUGAAGGUAGUUAUGGUGAUGUCUCUAAUUGAGAGAAACAGAUUCUUAAUCAGUGUAUCACAAUUACAGCCUUCAUGGUAACUUCGUGGUUAGGUUUAUGGAUCAAUUUUAUUCAUCUGAAUAACAUAUGGCCUAGGAACUAGAUGCUGACAACAUCUUCUGAGUUUGGGGAACAUAUGCAGUUACUUCUGGUAUUGAUGUCUGGGAAUUUCUUUUCCUCUCUUAUCUGGACUUAACAAGCCUUCAGUUGCCAUUUAAUUUCAAAGAGCAACACCAUUCAAUGAAGCAUGUAUUCUCCCCUUCUCCUAGUCGUUGGUAGUAGAAAUUUCUGUUUCAUUAGGAACUCUGUAAAAUAUAAUGAAUUCUGGAUAUAUUUACACUGGGACAAAUCUUGCUUUGGCUUGUAGUAAUACAAGAUUUUCCACUGUGUCCCAAAGACAGGAUUCGGCAUUUUAGGGUCUGUUCCUAUGUUGUAGGAAGCAGUGAUGGAGCACUCUGUGAAAUCAUGGGUACGUUACAGCACCAACUUUUCUUCAGAGUAGCUCAGCUACAAAGCUCUCUUAGUGGAAUUUCAGUAUUUAUGCAUAAUGUGAGAACCAGAGGGAUGUGCACAUCUACAUUAAUAUUUUGCUUUGCUGGCAAUGGUUGCAGUUUUAAUGAAAGUGUCAUAAGACCUGGUGUUUUCCGUAAAAAAUCCACUCUUGAAGUAAACAGAUAAUGUCAAGAACCUCAGUUUUUGUUUGUAAAAGUUUCUAGUUCUCAUGAUUGGAAAGAAGACACUGAAUCAUGAUCAAAGCAUAACAGAGAGACUUAGAAAUGAGAAAAAAUAUAUAAAUAUAAAUAUAAAGCCUGGUACUUAUUAGAUUGCUUAAAAUUUUUUUAAAAACAUGUUUAGAAUUUUCAGGGGGGAAAUGGUGAAAGACGGAAGGGAAACAGUAUGAGAUCAGCAUUGGCGGAUCUCAUUUGCACUUCAUUUUGAGUUUGGUCUGAGAAAUAGUUUCAUGGUCUGAAUACCAGCUCUGAAAUUCCUUCAAGUUGAGUAUCAGCAGCAUAACCUGGAAUAAAAUUCACACCUUCACACCUCUAUAAAGAACUACAUUAGUGAGGUUUUAUUACAUAUUUUGCUAGCCAUUUAAACAAAGAUUGCUUAAACUAUGUACUGUCUGUGCCUGUGUCCAUUCACGGAAAUGUCUGUGUUACUUAUCAGUGUUUCUAUUAGUUGACCAAGAGGUGCACUCGUCGUUCAUUUGUGUGGUGUUUCUGCUUCUCUGCCUGUUUGCUUGGCUGGGUUUCCUUUUCUCUCCACGCUCACAAGUACUUGGGUAGUGAAAGUACUUUCACUAGUACUUGGGUACUAUUCCAAAAGCAUUAUUUUGUUACAUUGUGCUGGUUUAAUUCUUUAAAUUAAGACUGUAUGUAUUGGUACAAGGUAUCUACCCAUUCAGACUCUAGUUGUUAGGAUUGCUGUAGGAAUUACUGGAUGAAAAUCAGAGUCCUUUAUUGUAAGAGAACUGUACUGCAAGAUACUGAGGGUCUUCCGUGGCUUUGAAAGCAAUGAAAUAGCUUUCAAGAUUUAAAACAAGUGUUUAUGAAUAAUGUUUUUUUUCUCUCCGAAUUCCAUUACAAAAAUAACAAUAACAAUAAAACUGCAAAUAAAAUAGUUUGUUUGCCUAGGGAAUUGUUUAGUUUGUUAUUUGGAUUGUAGUGCUGCCCCAGUUCCCAAACAGAAUUAGGGUCUGUUUGUAGUAAAUGUUUGAGUAGAAAUUAAGAGAUUGCCCCUGCUUUAGAUCUUCAUAAUCUUCAUCAGAGAUUCAUACAAAUGAGAGGAGACAUUGCUAUAGGCAAAAUGUCAAAGGACAUUUUGGAGAUAAUCCUGUUGUAGAGAUGGGCCAAGCUAUUCCAAGGCAGAUUUGAAUCAUGCAGACUGUGGUAGGCACAGUACCUGUUCUGUGGAUGAAACAAAACAGUAUUAAGCGAGAUUCUUUCAUUUUUCCUUUUCCCUUUUCCUUUUUUUCCCUUCUCCUUUCUUCUUUCUCCUUUCCAGUUUUCCCUUUCUCCAUCCUUUCCUCUUUCCUGUUUCCCCUUUCUCCAUCCUUUCCCUCUUUUCCUCUUUCCUUUUCUUUUCAUUUUCCUUUCUCCUUCCCCUUUCCUUUUCCCCUUCCUUUCCCAUUCCAUUUCCUUCAUUCUUUCCUUCUUUCCUUUGGUUCUUUAUUUUUUAAAUGCUGAAGAUCUUAAAGAAUUCUGCUGAAAAAUUGACUGUCAGAGUGAAUAUUUCUGAUAUUCAGCUGACAGUUUUGCACUUAAAAAAAAAUUGUAAUGCUGUCAGUAAAAGGAUUUUUUGCAAAACAAAAAAAAACUCAUUCAGCUGCAAAUAGAUUGUAAUUGAAUUUUUCACACACACACACAUAUAUAUAUUUUAAUUAGCCUUUGUUGGGGAAAAAGUUGGAACCUAGUAAUAAUACCUGUGACUCACCGGUUUCUUUAACUGACAUGGCUUGAAAACUUGUUGAAAAGAACCUAAAAAUGCCUAUCAGUUUCUAAGGGCAAAUACAAGUCACCCACCAUACUCUUUUUCAAACUUUUGGCAUUCCUAUUGGAGACACCUAGAUCUAACCAGAAACAGUGCUUUCUGCAGCAGGCUACAGGUGGAGAUUAUGUCCAGAAUUUGAAGUCAGAUCCUAACUGUUCUGUAAGUUUUGUUUCUCUUACACGCGAUUUUUUCUGUUUCCUAAAUAGAACAGUUCCUUGCAGGAGAAAAUCCAAAGAGAGAUCCAGUUCUUUUCCCUGCCUUGCUUCCACCUGUAGAUAAUCUCCUGUGAGUAAAUUAGGGCCUAUGCCAGGAAUGCUGCUUCCCCAGCCAGCAGCAUAAGGAAAAUGUCUGGCUGUGCAGAGCCAGAUUUCCCAUCUCUGUGUUUAUUAAAGUUAGAAGGAGAAAUAAGAGCUUUGGAAACCUAAAAAAUAAAAUGAAAACAAACAAAUUAAAAAAUGCAUCAGCUGGCACUUGAUGCUAGAAAUUUUAUAUAAUGCUGACACAGAAAUGAGGUCUUCAGCUUAUGUUUUCAUCCAGUAAGUAUUAUAGCUCCCUGAAAACUCGAAACUCUUUAAACUUCAUUUGCUAGACCACCUUAGACCAGUUAUGAAGCUACUGUCUUUUUCCUAAAAUCAGGUGGAUGUUUUUGGACCCUGAGGGAUAACAGCGAAGCUACAGAGGAAAUAUACAGUCUGCCAGAUAGUUACGAUGCAGUUUAGGAUGAAGGGAGCUGUAUGCUAACAGAUCUUAAAUAAUAAUCUGCAUACUGCCACAGAAAGACACAGAAAAUUUAAAUCAAUCUGAAAUCCUUCCAGCUAAAAAUAAAAUAAAGGGAAUGGUGCAACUUGGUGAAUGUAUCUUGACCUCAUGCUAUUUUUACAAGUCAGACAGAUGUGCAGCCACUGAUAAGCUGGUACCCAGGACUAGCUAUCAAAUCAGAAAUCUGUGGACUCACUCUUCAAAUCCCAGCACUAAUCGCAAUGAUAAAGAGCUACCUUUCGAUUAAUCCUGCCCUGGACUUUAGACGAAAGAUACUGCAGUUUAAUUACUGAGCGAAAUCCACUUUGUCUGAUCUGCCAGUCUGCACUGUAAUGUCAUAAUAUAAUCAGCUUCACCCCUGUCUGAAGCUCCAGGGCUGUGAAGUCCAAGGACUUGUUUGAUUGGAAGAAAUAAAACGAUGUUCAAACAACCACCAGCCACAGUGCUGUAAUUAUCAAAAUCUUGUUUGCAUCUGUCUGUCAUUUUUGCCACUGUUUUUUUAUGACACUGAAAGGCAAGGAGAGAUUGUGGUGGAUAAGAACAGCGACCUGACAGAUGACAAAUAAGAUGUGGGAGGGUUUGCUUGGAGAAAAUAAUCAUUGUAAAAUAUUCAGGCUAAUUAAACUGGGUCUCUUUCUUAUAUAUUUCCCAUCGGCUUCAGUGACACAUGCAGGUUCAAGCAAAGCCAGCCAUUGGUACUGUCAUCUCAUAAUUAAAACCUGUAACUGAUCUGGGAGUGUCUCCAGCAGGGGUUCCAUUGAGGGGACAGAACAUGUCGGUGAGUGAGAAAUACAUUUUUACCCAUGUGAGAGCUGCAGCAGGGCUGCCAAUGUGUGCAGUGUCCCCUACCUCCAACAGCAGUGGGCACUGGCCAUGAUUUGAAGAGACCAUUUCUUCAGAUAGAGGAAUUGGUCCUGGCUGACUGGUAGGAAUCACCGAAUGAGUCUUGAACAGAUGUAGCUCUUGGCUCCCACAGCUCUAUGGGUCUGCAUAACAAGUUCCACUAGAAGCAAAGGGAGGGUUUAGGGUGCUUUUGCUCUCUUAGUGUCAUGCCUUUCGGUGUCUUUCUCCCCAACCUGCUUUGUUCAGAGUGCCUCCAAGGUGUGUCAGUAGCAAUGUCUUUUCAGUGGACCACACAGAAGUUCAUUACCUGCUUCAGACUUGUUUCACAGCACUGGCCAUAUACCAAUUGGGCAGCAGUAAUGUCCUGUUACCUCUAACCACAGCUGUACUGGGUCACUAAAAGAAGGUGAGAAGAUUUAAGUUUUCUAACACAUGCUUUGUUUGGAUAUCUUUGUGGUGAUUCAGGGAGGUUAUGACAGUGGUAUAGGAAGAAGCUGGCAAAGCUCUCAAAAAUAGUUUGCGUUCAUUUUAUUGCUAAGACAGAGAUGCUAAUGACCAGAGAAGGAAACAAAGCUUUCAUCUAGCUGCCCUUCAGGGAGGGCAUUCUAUCCUGUGCUGAUGAGGUAAAGUCUGACUGAUUUUCUUAGUGUCUUUUGACUGCUUAAGCUUUCUUCCCCCAGCCACCUUCAAGAACCUGAUAUAUCUCAACUUAUUUCUUAUUGUUCUACAUUCUUUGAUUUCUCUUUUAUAUCUGUCUUGGCUAUUUCUAGCUAGAUCUUCAUUUUCUCUCAUAAUGUAUUCCCUACAACCCAUGUCAUUUGAUUUGCAAUUAUUCUCUCUUCCACCCUUCUAGCAUGGAGAUCUCACCCUUUUACUCUUCUCCCAGCUCUACUCCCCUAAAAACACUUGCAAUUUCCAUCUCUAUCCAUCUGUUUCCAUAGAGUGAGCUACUUGACUAUCAGAAUGACAACUGCAGCUCGAUUAAGAUCCCUGUGCCACUUCCUCAUCAAAGGGCUGUCUUGUUCAGCACCUGUGACUAAAGAGGCCAAGCACAGGAUACCUCAAGGUAUUCUGGACUUAUAGCCUGUGGGUGGAUUUCUGUGCAAAGACCAGUUCUCUUCUGUACUGCAAAAUCAGAGCAGUGUCUUAGGGCAAAGACUGGGGAUGAGGAAGAAUAACAGACAGCGGUUGUUAGCUGUAUGUGUCUCUGUCUUAAACUUGCAAUGCAUUUACUUUCUUCCUCUUCCUUUUGUACCCUGUAGCUGACAGCGGUGCCUAGCAUCGCCUGUCAGCAGGGAUGGCAUACAGGGUGUUUUGCAAUGGAAAUCUGGCUUUAAACCUAACUGGGUUUGUCAUUAGUGUUUUAACUUCUGAAUAGUAUUUAAACAUUUCAGUCUAUGGACUGAGUUUCAGCAGGAUCUAUCCAGAAGAGGCUGUCUAGAGAAUCAUCUCUGAACCAGCUUUGACCAGCAGCAAUGACCCCAGUGCUCUAUUUGUACAGUACUUUUGCCCUCAGUCUAAUCCUUUACUUUAGAAAAAGAAAUGUCAGAAGGAAGAUGUGCACAGCUUCUUUUAAAUCUCAGGAGACUACUUUUCAGCAUGAAGGAGUCCAUCUACUUCCAAGGCCUUGCUAAUGCCAGCACACUGCACUGAUAUUCUUGCUUCCCAAGGGAAAAAUAGCAGGGGAACCUGAAAAAUAGUUGUAUGGGCAGUAACUACAGAAAUUAUUUCUUUUGCAAAUUAGAGGAUAGUGGAGAGCACAGGGUAGUGCAUAAUGGCACUUUAAAAGGAAGGAAGAAAUUAUUGUGUUUUGAUGAGAAUAUUCUUUCACAACUGGAGAAGGAUAUACGUGGGGGAGUGUAUGUAUAUAGUCAGGUGUUUGGUAUGCUUACAAGCAUGAAGAUGGGAAUUUUAACAUAUUGUCUGUCAUAUACUUUGGUGAGGUGUGUGAAGUUUUAUGUCUAUGAAACCAUACUGCAGCCUGGUUAAAACUUUGGGGCUUUUUGCAUAGAUAUGGCCUAGGUUAUGAGGGUAGCUUAGAGCUACCAACAUGUUAUUGCCAUUAGCACUUCUCAGAGUGCUGAGACUGCCAUUAGCACUUCUCAGAAGGCCUGACUUAGAGUAUUCCUUGCUGUAUACAUUGUUUGAGCCUCUUACCUGCUCUGGGAAAAUGAGUUUCUCUCCCUUUGCUCUCCAUCUCAGUGAUACUUGUAGGUCCCAGAUGUCUUAGAAUAAAUUCCCUGACAUCUUCCAAGAAACCAUGCUGCUAUUAGCUCUAGUACUGUGUGAAUUAAUGAGUGGGGUUUUUUGAUGUGCAAAAUCCAAGCAGUGAUGAUCUAUACUUAAAGGACAUAGCAGAGAUGGGAGACCAGGAGAAAUGGGAGAAGCAAGGAGAGGAGUAAUUUGAGGGUGGAUAGUAGAGAAAAAGGGGUAGACUCAUAUCCCAUCCUUCAUGGCCUAGUGAUGUCGUCAGUUCUGGUUCUUCAGUAUUUAUAUUCCUCAGCCCCCAAACCACUUGCUUAUCACAGAAAAAUAGAAUUGUUUGAGUUGGAAGGGACCUUUAAAGGUCAUCUGGUCCAUCUUCCCUGCAAUGAACAGGGACACCUACAGCUAGGUAAGAUUGCUCAGAGCCCCAUCUAGCCUGACCUUGAAUGCCUCCAGGGAUGGAGCAUCCAGCACCCUUUUGGGCAACCUCUGCCAGUGCUUCACUACCUUAUAACAAAAGACCUUUUCCUUAUACCCAGUCUAAAAGGCUUAUUCACAACCUUGUACUCAUAAGCCUUACCAUUUAGGAAUCCAUAUGCAUGUGGCUCACAAGAUCAUGUUUACGAGCACGUUUUCCCAGCUGAUCCUCAGUUCCAGCUACCCAAAUUCAUGUCCAGUUACCAAUAUAUCUUUUAUUCAUUCAGGAGCAUUUUAUUUCUGGAUAAAUGAAAGCAGAAUUUAAUUCAGAAAAAUGAUAAAUUUUGAAAAGAUUAGGUGAUGAAUUGAAAGAAUACAAAGUGCAAUCAGAUAUUGCUGGGCCCCAAAUGGCAUAAAAAACUUUAUUGAAAGUAGGGGAUAUUUGUAAAUAUCAGGAGCAAUUCCACUCAAAUAUGUGAAUCAAAUCUAACUCCUGGAGAACCAGGGGCAAGAGCUGGAUCUUAAGGCCACUCCUUGUCUGUGCAAGUUACUGGGAAAUAACUCAUUUUCUAAUUUAAAAUUGCAUCAUUGUGUUAUUGUUUUAGUUCUAGAGCUAUCGACAGGGUGUCAUUUCAUCACAAUAUCCUCUUUCUGCUUUACACAAAGACUUCGAUGAAGGGAAUUUUUUGUUCGCUUUUGAUGGCAGAGGUUGCCAUCUCUCCAGGGAGAGAUGCUGCUCAGAGAACAUAGGGAGGAGAGGAGCCACAUUCCCUGCUUAACAUACGGACCUGUGCAACAGCACAAGCUAGCUUCCCAUGAAGGCACUAAAGGGUUCCAUGACACAGUGGGGCCACCAGCUUUGGGAUUCACUAGAAAGCUCAUCUAGGUUCAUACUGCUUUCUAAAUGGAAGCUAAAGGGAGACUGAAUUUAAGCCCAUGACAUUCUGCAAGAGCAAGCAGAGAGUUAAUAUUUUUGGCCUUUGGUCCCUCCAAUGCUGCUAACAAUAUUUUAAGGGCAGAAGGACACUACUAAUUGUGAUGUAACUUGAAUGAUUUCAUCGCCCUACUCCUCUCACUCAGUUGGGACAUUCAUCAGCUUUCUGGUCACUGCUGACCUGGGAUGCCAGCAAUCUGGCAAUCCUAUAAAGCAGCUCAACCAACUUGGAGAUGAUUUAUCCACUCUGGUUCAUAUCUGUAGAUAUAUAUAUAUAUUUUAUCCGUGUAUGUGCGGAACACGCUCAUGCUUAUAAUUGUGUGGAGACUUUCAAUUUUGGUGUGCUUUAUAUGUAUAUAUACUUAACAAAAACAGAACAAAACCUGACUGAACUACAUCAUGUCAAAGAUGAGGAAAAAAUCUCAUUUUAACAUCUUGUUGCCAAUCCCCUAAUCUAUACAUUUUUCUCUAAGCCCACUGCUCUAGUAAAUAAUAAAAUAUCCUUUUGGGGAAUGUUAUCAGUGGUAGAAUCUUCCUCCCCUUUAGCAUGAAGAGCAGUUGAGAAACCAGAGGGGCAGCUUGCAUGGCUGCCAGAGCCUCAAUUGAAUUCAUCCACAGGUCUAAAGAGAUCAAAAUUGUUUGAAUUGAUCCUUUCUGUUGCUUCUGUGAAGAGAAAUCCCUUAAGCCUUUUGCUUUCUUGUCAUGUACAGUCUCCCUUUGUCAGUUCAUGUCCAAGGUCCCCGUUUUCAUUUUUUCUUAGGGAUAGCAGGAGCUCUAGCAAUAUCUGUCUUUAUAAUGUCUGCACUGAGAGAGUAAGAGACCGAGUGUGAGGCUGUGGGGAGAAGGAUAAAAUACACACGGUGAGCAUCUGACCCCUGAGAACCUUACACUGUCUCUGAGAACCGCAACCUUAUCAGGCAUCACAGUUGUGGCUUCUGUGGCAAAGGAUGACAACAAAAGCAACUUUGCCCACCACAAUUAUUAUUCAGAUUUGAGACCUGGGUUUUAAAACAAAUGCAUUUGGAGCAGAGAUGUGGAAAGAAAGAGAAACACGAGUGUUGCUUAUUGGGGGCCCUGCAGACAGAAAAUUAUUGUGUUUCUAACACUAUUGAUUUUGUGCAGCAGCUGAUAUUUCAAUCUGGGUGCAGCAUGUCUGAGAGUCUACGCACACUGUCAAGAAGAAAUAUGAUAGUGUCUUAAAAGAUUAAUAAUAUCGCUGGUCCUCAGGAGGCUUGUCUUAAUUCACUGGCCUGUUCCUUGGCAUGUACUGUAAUUUAUCUAGUCUGAUUUGAAUAGCAAAUGGCAAUCGGCUGCCAUUAGGGAAAUAGGCAUCAGUCUUAUUGAUCCAGGAUGGGCUGGAUUUUAUUUAAGGAGAGCUGCAAAAUGUUAUUAACUUCCGGAUGAGAGGCUGCAGGUGGAGAAUUUUUUUGCAGUGUUCCAAGGGAAGGAAAUUGCACUGAGUCUUGAAAGUCUUGAAAUAGAUAGGAAGAGGGGAGGAUGUGGGAAGUGGGGCAUCAACUGCUACCCAUUUGUUUCCAGAGAAACCCAUUAUUUCCAACACAAAUAUUUGUUUUUCAGGGCUCUUUGUAUGAUUUUGUCAGUGAGGGACUGAGUUAUCUAUGAGUGAAAGCAUUUGGUGAGAAGAAAGUGUGGUGGUUGAUAUUCCAUGUUGAUUGAGAUACAGCUGGAGCUGCGUAAAUGGUUUGUUUUCCAGUCCCCCUUACUGUGCUUAAUAAGAGCUACACAAUUAAUCUCCAGACAUCACGCGUAAUAUGUACUCCUUCUUACAGUCUGCUGUUUGUGUGUUUAGAGCUGCCACCAGUGCUACCUAAGGAGAGUGGCUGAUGUUACUGGGAGGGAGAUAUAACCCCACAGCUGUUGUUGAGGUUUGGUCAUGGUUUCCUGUUCAUACCAGUCCUUGUCUGAAAUAACUGUGAGGAAAAAAAGCCACCGUGUUUGGGUAAUCUUUCAGUGCUGCAAAUCUUCUAGGUAAUUUUUUCAGUGGAUGUUAUUGUUAAAUAUCAUGCUAGAGCCAUGAAUGUGAGGAAAGCAGAACUGGUGCAAUUCCAGACUCUAGAAAAAAAUAAAUUGUUUGGCAUGAUGAGGAUCCUGAAAACUAAGUUUAAAGAAGUAAAAUUGCACUGAAUACUUUGGAAAACUUCCAGUCUCAUGACAUGUCACAGUGAGAUAACCUCCCCAGGGAAGGGGAGAAUGCCCAGCUAUUUGACAUGCUUUGAAGUAAGACUAAGACGAACAUCAAAAAAAAAAAAAAAAAAAAAAAAUUAAAAAAAAAUAAAAGAAAGGAAUAUCCUAAAAGGAAUAAGGAAUACCCUUACUCAGGAGGGAGGAUGGAGGAAAUGAUUAAAUACCAUAGAUCUCUCCAACCUUAAUUGCUGUAAUUCUUUGAUACACCACACUCUCCCAGCAGGAAUCACCUGAAAGGAAGAUUCAGGAGUGCUGUCUAUUAAAAAGCUUAUAGAUACUUCAGUUCCAGCAGGAGGCACUUUAAGGAACAGUGGAGGAGUGUCGUGUGGAGGGACUUCAGACUGGUGUCCUGGGAGACCAGCACUCUGGGGAGUGGUGCAGGAAUGGCAGCUCCCAGCCCUUGUGCCAGGUUCUGCAGGAGGCACCAGGAAGGAAUCACUCUUUCAGGAGAUGGGAAGUACAUAAUGGAGAAAGGGUUGGGGUAGGGAGGAUGUCCACAGAUGGUCAGCGUUAGCUUUUGCCUUUCAGAAGCUUCUCGAGGCUCACAGGGCAAUCUCACAGCAUUUUCCACCAGCACUCACAACAAGGAGAAAAAGGUGUGGGAAUAUUUCAGAGAAUUAGCUUCUUGCUUCAUGCAUUUCUUUUGCACCUAAAAUAUGGGCAUAGGCAAUAAAGCACUACAGGAAAUGGCCAAGCACAAAAGCAAUAAAAUAAAUUGAAACUGACUGUGGUUUUUUUUUUUUUUUUUUUUUUUUGAGCAGCAGUAAUUGCUAUACAUUGUGAUGUUUGCAUAAGAAAUUAGUUAAUGUGUAGGAGAAUGACAUGUGAUACAUUUUAUUUGCCCGAUGACGGUAGUCUCUGAGUGAAUGACUUAUUAAGGUUAAUAAAAAAAAUUUUGCUUGUGACUUGUAAUAAUCCAAUUGCUAGAAUUUAACAUCCCCUCAUGCAUAGUUGCCUAAAGGAGGGAAACUAAAUUACACAUACGUUCUAAUGACCGACUGGCUAUGCUUUUAUUUAUUUCUUAAUGGCGAUUUGAGAACAAACAAUGUGUUCUAAAUUGUUGGUCUGUCUGUCUUUCUGCCUGCCUGGGCAGGAACGUUAUGGCUUUCUUAAUUCUCCUGUGUGAUUUAUCAUCUCCAAUUCAUUGUUUUGCAUAACUCUGCUCAAAAUGAAGAAAUGUCAUUAUUUUGCAGUGAAAAAGUUGUCAUUUGCAUAAUGCCUGCCAUUAAUUAUUGUGAGACUAAUGCAGUUGUUGAUAUUUUUAGGGCACAGUGGUACAUCCUGCACCUUGUAUAAUGUCAUUCUGAAAACAUUGGUAGUUAAUAGGUGCCACAACACUGCACAAGUGCAAGAAAAGAGGAGGCAAAAAAAAAAAAAAAGGAAGGGUAGAGAAUGGAACAGGCUGUGAUCUUUACUUAGCUUUUUCAUUUCCUGAAGUACAUGGUGGGAGACAGCUACAAACAGAAGCAAGAGAUAGGAAGCUGUGACCCCCAAGGGGAUGAGGGAAUGAAGAAAGUGAAAUGCUCCCUUCUACACGUUAGUUGAGAUGGACUAACUAAAACUGCCUCGUGCUGGUGAUCCCUGGAAUAUGAGAAAAUUCAUGGAGGUAGUUAGUGACUGUUAUCCCAUAUCUGGUGCUUUUCCCCCUCGGAGAAGCCUUCUGUUAUUUGUUUUAGUGGCUUAUUUAUUUUUACGUUGGAGUUAUUUUAUGAUUUCAUUUCAAACAUAUAAAGUGAAAAUCCCUGCAUAUACAUAACAAAUAUUAUUUUAUAAUGGCCUUUGCGUCUGUGAGGAGAGAACAAAACAAACAGAUCUGACCCCUAUUAACAAUUUAAUAAAUCUAGUUAUUGAAGUAUAGUUCUUGAUUUCAUCUUUGUGGAUGAAGUUCACUGCUAUUUGAAAGGGUCUCUUGAUGCCAGCCACCAGCAGCUGGAGAAAAAUAUCCCUUCCCAGUUAGAAUUGUACAUUGCCAGAGGAAAACAUCUUUUUCAUUACUUUUUCAUUGUAAAGUUAGCUGAUUUGGCCUACAGAUAUUGGAAGUGGGAAGAGAGAAGAGCAACAUUCUAGGGAUCUAUAAGUUCUGUACAUUGAGAACAUGAAGCUGGACUUUUUCCAGUGCUUUUCCCAAGAACUUCCAUUGCUCCUGAAGUACUUAAGAUGUCAUGUUUUCUGAAUAACGUGCAUAGUAAAUAUAAAUCAUAAUAAUCAAGUGAAGCAAACACUUGAGACACUUGAGUCUCAGGCUGGCAGAAGCUUUCCUACAUGUCUUGUUCAACUAGCACUGCUGCUGCAAGAUAGUUCAAAUGCAAUAGGCUUUCUUCUAUGCCUUUUUUUCCUUUUUGGCCCUUAAGCAGAGAAUGUUAGUGAGCAUGCUAAUGAAGAGAAGUUCGUUCAGAAGGCCUGUAUCAUCAUAACUAUGGCUUAGUGUAUAUUUAGCAGGAAAUAAAAAGCACUAGGAUCCUUCGCUAUUCUAUAAGAUUGCUAGGUCCUCUCUUUGUUUGCUGACGUGUCUUAAAAUGCCAGAAAGAGGAAAAAAUGGCGAUUUACUCCUCAGAUACUGCAUUUCACUGCCUCCAAAGGGAUGUUGUUUCUUCUCCCAUUUUCUGCUAUUAGAAUUAAAACAACAACAAAGAAAAUUAAACCACAAAAGUUCAAAUAAUGCUAAAGAGUCUAACUGAAUCCCACAAAGAGCAGGAAAUUCAUCUCCAAACAUUGCCAGUCUGUCCUCAGCUCACCCUAUUGUCACAGAGAACUGAAAGUUGUUCCUACAGUGGGUGAUCUUACCAACCACAAAUGCUGCAAUAUGUAGUCACAAUAGAAAACAAUAGAAGAACAGAGAUGGAGCUUUACUCUUGGUUUCUUGGCUUCAGUAAGCAUAAAAUGGACUCAUAGUGUACAUUAGGGUAGUUUUCUGUGUGUUUUAAUGUGCUUGGAGCACAAGUACAGUAUGAAGUGUAUUUCACAAGGUUGUAAUUCAUAGUCAUGAACUAAAUCCCAACAGUAAAUUGCAAUCUUUAACACUACAGAAAUAAUCCACGUGUCAGUUGUUAGUAUCUUAUACUCAUACAUACCACUGCCCAUGCUUUUUAGAAAAAUAUAAUAUAAAAUACCUCAUGUUGGUAAGAAUACUACAGAUAACCAAUCAGGAGGAGAAAUUUCUGCAAAACAUUAUAAAAACUAAGUACCAAAACUAAUAAUCUGAAUAUGUCCAAAGCCUUUGCAAAUCUAACAGCUUUUAACCCCUAGAGCAGCUUUUUCCACUUGGUCAGUGCCUGAUAUCCCUACCCUGUUGGAGAACUUCUCUGCUGUGGACAAACAGCAGGUCUGUUGGAAGAGCACGAAUCUUAAGAGUGCUUCUUCUGUAGGAUGAGUUCAAUAGUUGCUUGGCACUCUUUUGAAUGAGAAGAUCUAAAUUGCCUUCCUGUCUUUGAUAUACACUUCCUGUGUGGCCACAAAGAAGUCCCACCAUUUCUCUCAUAAUUUUCAUAAAUUAGGAAUUAUAAUCAUUCCAGACAUCUAAGGAUAGUGAGGAUUAAUUCAUGAAGAUUGUUGAGAUAUUCAGACAUUGUAGUGAUGAGUACCACAGAAAAGCCAGAAACAAAAAGCAUCUUAUUUCAUGAAAGACUUGGAUGCCACUCAGUAAACAAGGCUUGGGGCCACACACUGAACAGGGAGGAUAAAAAAAGAAUAUUUGAAUUAUUCUCAUUCCCUGGAUGCUAUCCAUUAUACAGAACACAAAAUGUAUAAUCGUAAUAUGUAAGACUGUACUGUAACAGUGCAGUUGUUGUGACAGACUUCAUCUUCAUAUUUUCUUACUUUUGAGUGCUUUUCUCUGUGACCUUAAUGUUUUAAGUUAGUUUUUAAAUGGUGUUUUUGGGUGUAUGAUGGGCAGUAGACUAACUGCAGAUCCUGGAGAAAUCAUUCCAUCAUCUGACUGUUGAAUACCCAUUAGAACCAAAGUAGCUAUCACUGGUGACUAAGGUAGAUGGUUUUUAACAGGAAUCAAUUCCACCAACUGGAUCACCAGCCAGCAAGGAAAACCUGCUGUAUCCAUAUCACAAGUUUCCCAAAAGAAUGCCUUGUUCUCUAAACAUUGCACUUACUGUUUCACUCUUAGGUCUUUGUUCUUAACAGAGAGUUUAGCUACCUGGGGAAGAUAUUAAUCAAUAUCCAGCGAGUUGACAAUGCGAUAGUAAAUCAUCACUUGCAACCCUAGUCCAUGUGCUCCAUAAAUUCAUUGUAAAGCCAGAAUCCCUGUGAUCUAUGUGUUAGCUAUCUUGAAGCUUAGCUGCUCUCUGAUAAAUUUGUCAGAUUGGUUCAUCCUGCUGUUUAGAAAGUGGCAGAAGAGCCUUCCAUUUCAUUGUGCAGAGUAAUGUGUUGUGCUUUUAGAUCUUUGUGUUUAAAAGCCCUGGUAGAUCUUACUGUUAAGAUUUUGUCCAAUUGUUUUUAGUAACCGUUUUUACUUUUGGCAUUGAACACAUCCCAUGCCAGUGAAUUCCACAAUUUAUUUACAUAUUGUGUGACAAAGCACUUGCUUUUGUUUGCCUUGAACCUAGUACUUGAGAACUUGUUUGGCUGCUUCCUAGAAAUAUGUAAUUAGAAUUUGGGAGCAGUUAUUAACUGUUCACCUUGUUCUUGUUUGUCAUGAUUUUAUAAAUCUCCUCUAUAUUUUCCUACAUAAUUUAUUUUCCAGGGCAAAGAACCCAACUCUUUUUCAUCUUUGUUUGUGCAGAAGUUUUCAAAAAAAUGUUUUGAACAUUUUUGCACUUUUCUCCAUUAUUUUAGGCUGCUUACAUCCUGUUUUGCAGUAGAAAUUCAAGCCUACAUAUAGUAUUCAGUAUGUGAAUCUAUUAUGGAUUUAUUUGAAGGGCGUAAUUAUCAAUUAAGUUUUAUUUUCUAUUUCUGUCUUAAUAUUUCCCAGCCUUAUCCUAAACCUUUACGAUCAACGCUGAGCAUUGAGCUGGUGCUUUCAUAGGCAUAUCCACAAGGAUUCCCUACUAUCUUUCCUAUGUAGUACCAGCUAAUUUGGAUUCUAUUGUGUUGCAUGAAUAUGUGGGGUCAUUUUCCGCACAGACAUUACUGUGCAUUAUUGAUAUUAAUUUUCAUUUUUCCCUUUGUUGUGUAGUUUCUAGGUGAUACCAGGUCUUUUUACAACAUUUCAGUUUUAGCUUUUGCCGUAUUUUUUUGUAUGAAGUGCAAAGUUUGUUGUGUCAGUAGUCCUGGUCUUUCCCCAGUCGUUUAAGAGCACGUUGAACACCACAGGUCUUAAUGCAAACUGUUGUGGGACUCUGAUAGUAGUUGUCUUCCAUUGCAAGAACUGAAUGUUUAUUGCUUCUAUUUGUUGUGCAUCUUUGAGACAGUUAUUAAUCUGUGAGGCUCUUUUCUCCUAUGUCAUGGUAACUCUCUUUUAGAGCCUUUUGUGAGGCUUUUCAAUUGUUUUUGCUUUUCUUUUUUUUUUAGCAAAUACCACUACUUGAAUCUCUUGCAGAUGUGCCUAUUGAGUCCUCAUGAAAACUCUGUAGAUUUGUGAAACAGGACUUCUUUCUGCAAAAAACUUAUGUUGUAUCUUCCCCCUUUUUUUUUUCUGCCCAAAUGUGUGUUAUUUAUUAUGUUUUCUACUGUUUCUAUGCUGUAGUUUAUAGACCUUCUGAACUAUGUGGGUCUUCCUAAAACCCUUUUUUAAGAUAGGCAUUAAAUCACCUUCUAUUCUUUUAGUGCCCACCCCAAUUAUGUGCAAGAGUUACGAGUUAAGUUCUUUCGUGUAUGACUUUCUUUAUAUCUGUUAGACUGGAACCAUUUUUUUCUUUCUGUUCCAUAUUUUCUCAGACUUUUCCUUUCAGAGAAAGGUUUUCACUUGCAAGCCUUUAUAAACUUUUCUGUAAUAAACACAAGUCCAACAAAUUUGAGCUUCUGUUCUGAGAACAUUUUUUUCACCUCAUUGUUGGCCUUACAGAUUCUGUGCAGGGCAUUUGGGAAAGUUGUUAAUGGUAUCUUCAGUAUUUUCUUGGGCCUACGUUAUUCUACAAAAGCUUUAUUAAAAAAUAAUAAUUUUAAAAAACACUCUUUAUUCAUUAAAUAUUACUUCUCCUCUUUGGAUGGUGUCUUUUUACUUCUAAUAAACCCUUUCAUUAGACUAAUUUAAAAAAAAAAAUUCCUAUUAGAGAUGUUCUUUCACAGGUGAUUAUGUAUUUGUUUUGUGAGUUUGAAGUAAUGACUGUAAAUGCUUUACCAUAGGGCAACUUUAAAAGUUCCUGCAUCUAAAGAUGUAUCAUGAUUCUCUCCUGGAGAUUUUUGCCCCCUUGCAAUGUAUUUUCAUCACAAGUGGCAAUCGAAUUAUGACAGUUUACAGCCUUGCAUAGUCAGGUAAAUCAAAAUGGUUUCUGGAUUUCUUUAGUACCUCAGGCUGUAAUUUGUUGUGCCUGCCAGACAAACUGCUGAGAUGUUCCUCAAACUGAUUGAGGCAGACAACUGGGGGUCAGGAUUAUUACAGCUAUUCUAAGGUAAGGCUUUCCUGUUACAUGUAAAAGACCUGAAUCUCGGGUAACACAUCUUUUGACAGUAACAUCUUAAAGCAUUUUUCUCCUAACUUCUUUUUAUUUUCCUUUUCACUACAUUCCUUACUUUAAAUGGAUUUUUUUUUUUCUGAAAUUACAUAUUGCCACAGUGGAUUUUGCUGUUAUUUUUUCAGUCCUAUAGAUAACUGAUUUUACUUGCAUUAUGACCAUAAUUGCAAGAUGGUUCUUUAAUAUGGAAAUUAAAGUAGGUUUAGUGUUCUUAGCACUGAAUUAAACUUGUUCCUUCUUUCAUAGGUUUUCUAACUAGCUGCUGCUUCUCAAAUCGUCCUUUUUACAUUUCAUGGUCACUGUCAACAUUUGGUGUAAUGUUGCAUAGUAAGAUUCUAACCCCUUCUUUUUUCUUUUUGGGCAUGGAAUUAAAAAACAAAGGAAUUUCUUUUUUCCUUUCUGUUUUAUUUAUAUACACUUUCUUUAAUUCAUAGCACCUGCACCUUAGCUGUGCAUUUUACUCAGUCAUUAUUACAAAGUGCAACGCACAAUGUCUGGAGCAUUACAAUCUCUCACAUAUUCUUUUUAAGCCUACUACAGUCGGAACCACUCAUCAUUUGUAAGAUCCCUCCCAUUUAAUGGAAUCUUCAGCUAGACUCCUUCUCCCUUGAAAGGAGAUCAACUGUAAAAAAGAGUCUAACACAAUAUCUGACUUGCUAGCAUCCUAUUCAGUCAGUCACUUACUCAAGCUAAUGUACUGCUGGAAUCAGAAACUGUCAGAUAGUGCUCAAGAAAUGUUUUUACAUUUGUUUUACAUAUUGGUUGACACACUUUCCUGUCUUUUGGCUUGUCAAGAGUCCUGUGUCCCUCAGCUCUGGGGAUACAUCUACCCCAGAGGAUGUACAAGACCUGGAAGCUCUCCCAGUAAUACAUUGUAAAAGAUGUUUUAAAUGGUUUUCAGAGUACAUCAGAAUCACAAUUAUCUGAAGAACAUGGGAAGAACACUGAAUAGAGCUCGAUAAUCGCGUUUACGAGUAACCAAAAUGCCCUGCAUGCCCAUAGAUCUGUGGAAAUAAUUAGUAAUAGAAGCAAUUUACCAUUUAAUUAAUAAAUGACAAGGGGCAAAACCUUGUCUGGGUUCACUGAAUUUGGAUAAUUGAAGCUCCACUGUAUUUUAGAAUCUGAAAUAUUAACCAUUAUUCUGUGUGCUUGAGAUAAUAAUCAUUUAAAAAAUGUGCAAAUAACAGAAUCUAAGUCUAGUUGUACUGUUUCUACAAAGAGUAAGAAUGUCGUAUAAUGCCCUGCAUGCGGGAAAAGUUUGUUGUAUUUGAUUGUUUUUCAAAGUGUCCGGAGUCUGUUUCCCUUAAUGUAUAGAUCUGUGUGAGCUUUGAACCUUUAACUACAUUACAGUGCCAGUGAAGGAUUUCACAGGGCAGUGAAUAACCUCUCACUGAAAGAAGAACGGGUGCAGCAGAACAUCUUGAAACUGGUUCUUAUUUCAGCAGCCCACAAAGCAAGAUUGAUGGAGAUAAAAUUUUGAGAUUGAUGGAGAUGAAUUUUUUUUAAUGAAAUAAGAAUGAGGUAAUAAUUGUGCUCUGUUAGAAAUAUCCAUUCAGAAUGUGCUGUAGCAAGUGGAAGGCUGGGACUGAAGAAAGACAGUCUUGGGCUAUAGUAUAUUCCAAUGGCCUUAACUGUCAUAAACCACUGGUUUGCUACCAAAUACAAGUCAUUGGAAAAGAGUUACAGACUUCUGCUUUCCUCUGCUUUGCCGGUGUCUCUUGCCACCUCACAUGUUUAGUAGCACCUAACUCUGAAGCGUUGUAGCAGUAUGGCUGAAGAACAAGGAUAGAACACCUAAAAGGCAGUAGCUUUAGUAUCAUUCUCAAGCUAUUAAAAUAGCUUUCCUUCUCUCCCUCAUAUUGUUUGUUGUAUUCUAUAUUUUUUAUCUCUCAAGUCUUCUUAAUUCUGGCAUCAUCCAGAGAUAUACUGGACAAGAAAAUAGGUGUGGCCAAAAAUGAGACCUCACAUUUCAAUCUGAAAGUAAGAACAAUGGGUUGAGUCUAAUCUGCAGUUGAGCUAUCUAUUGCUAGUAACCUGUUGCUGGAAACACUCUUUUGUACUCCGAAGACUUACCUUGAUUCAGUUCAGUUUGUACUAUCCUUUUCAAAUAUAUGAUAAUUGUCUGAGAGUAGGCAGUCCUUGCAGAAGCUUAAUCCCAACCCCACCUUGGUGUUUCAUUCACAAGGAAUUGGAGGAAUGUGCAAUUAAACUGCUAUGAAGUCCUAGCUGUGUAGGUUCUGUCUGCUGCUUCCAAAGAGGUAAAAAGAAAAUUGGUCAUUUCAUUCAAGUUUUUAUUGUGCUUGUGUCAGAAGUGCUGCAGAAUUUAGCAUGUACAGAGAUCUCUGCUUUUCAAGGGAUCCAUUAAUGGAAAAACUGGGAGUUUGUUGCAUCAGAAAUGUUGAGUUGGCAGCAUUCAUGGUGGUAAGGGAAGCUUGCUUAUGCAAUGAGCCACAUCCUGCUCUCCUAACUCUGUGAGUAACUCUAUUGAAGUCAAUGGUAAUUACAUCUAUUAAAAUCAGUGGAACUAUUUGCAUCAAUAAGAUAAGUAGGAUUUGGCCCAAAGGUUGUUUAAUAUCAAUGUUUUUAAUCUCUCAUUUUCAUAAAUGCUAUAUUCAUUCAGCAAUAUAAAGUGAGGUGAAUAAAGAACAUUCUGUGCUUUGAAUAGUUUGGCAUCAUAUGCAGACAGGGCAUGUGAUUAAUACCAUAUUGUUGGCUUUGUUCUUUGCUUUUCAGUUGUGGCUGGCAACGUCCUUUUCCUAACUGCUGGUAUCCCCAUGAGCCUAUAUAAUCACUCUCUACCAGUUUUCUACGAUGCCCUUAGAUAUUUUCUGUACUCAAUGCAACAUGUUUCUUUAUUCACUUAUCCUCCCAUCAGAACCUUCAAAUGUUUCUGAUGUACUACUCUGACAUGGUCAGACCUGACAAGGGACAAUGUGUUCACCUGACAAAGUUUCCAACCCAAACACUUUAUCUGUGUUUUCAUGGACACAACCAUCACACUACAAAGUCACGCUUUGUGGUUGUGUCUCUGGGAAAAUCUGCAGAACUGCAGCACACUGCUUCAGUUGGCAGUGUUAGAUAGGAAAUUGUGCUUGCAUUUGAGAUAGUGUACUUUACUUGGCUACCUGAGGCAGAAUUAGAGGUAAAUGAUAAAAAAUCCUGUUCUCUUCAUAGAUGUACAAGGAUAGAUGCUUUGUUGGAAACUGACAGUCUUGAUACCUUCUCCUGAAAAUGGCCAAUUUACGAUGCUAAUACUAAAGUAAAAUUUUGAUUCAUGUAGAAAUGUGACCCAGGAAUCAGAUCACUGAAGUUACCUUCUGGUUUCAGUGUUGUUAAAAUUACAUAAUUAAAGAUACAAGCCUAUUGAAAAGAAAAAAAUCAAAAAAGUUCAGUAGGUAACGUGUAGUCUGUUUCUUUUCCUCCAGUGAACUUCCUGAUAGUAUUUAACUUCUUGGAUGGCCAUUUAUUGUUACCAGGAAACUCCUUUUGUAAGGCAGACCAUAAGGACUGGUGGUUGUCUGUGCUAUUUAGCAUGUGUCAGUGAAGUGAAAGCCAUACCACAGUCAGAAAAGAUUCAUUAAUGUGCCAUGAAAUUCUGCACUGCCUUUUCACAAGAGAUUUCUGUUUUGUUAUGUUCUCACUUAUGUGACAUUCAAGACCAGAUUCUGCUUUCAAAGAGAUUUGAGGUCAUUUGAAUGACAUUAAAGGAUUUUUACUGAUUUAACAGCAGAAUACAUAAUUUAUGACUACAUAUGAAGUCAGAAAUACUGUCAAUAUUAUAAUUGUUACAUAGGUAAAACCUGCAUGCAUUCAUAGUAAUAAUCCAUUUAUUUAUUAGUGUUAAGUUUUCAAAGGAAACUAGAAAAUCCCCCUACAUAUGUAUACUCCAUGGGAGACUCAGUGGAAUUUCCUAUAAUUUGUAAAAAAUCUGACAGGGUUCAGCUCCCUACGUAUACUGCAGGAGUUGAAGGUCCAUAUGUCACUAUGGGUGCAAUCUAGUCUGUUUUCCUGGAUGUCUGAGAUAUCUGCAGGUACUGUGCAGGCAGGGAAGAUAAGGUUUGGAUCAGGAGCUGGGGGAUGUGAUGGAUUCAUCCUUGUGAAGACAGAAUACUCAAGUCUUUGCACAAUGAGGUAUUACAUGAGUUUACAGGUGCUAUAAGUAGUAGCUUCUUAGCAAGUUGUAUCUUGCACUGUUUAUUCAGCUACACUUAUGUUCAUGAUAUACUUCAUAAACAGUUUAUAAAAGCUAAUAUAUGAUCUAUCAAUAUUCUAAGAAUAUUUCUAUAUGGUUAGUACAUAUUAUACAUUUUGUAAGCACAUCACAGAUGGAUCUAUAGGCUACAAACAUCAAUUAGUUUGUUAAACUCAGUCCUUUUUAAAAGUUAGUAAGCUAUUUGUUGAAUCUUUCAUUGAUUACCUUCUAGUCAUGGUAGCAGUAUGAUCACCUGGCCAUGUAAGAAAUUUAAAGGUUCUGAGCUGAGAGUAGAAGAUGGGCAAUUCAAUGCAAAUUCUUCUUAACAAAGAAUUGGACAGAAAUAAUGAAAACUCUUACGAAUUACACUGUUAUUCAAACAUUUCUUCUAAUCAAUUGUUGUAGAGCAUGUCUUUUAGCAAUCAUAUCCAAAAAGAUUCUCACUUGUAUUUACCUGGAGAAAUCUCAAGAAGGCAAAUUAAUUUUAAUCCUGAACAGAUGAAAAUUCAGUAGCACUGAAUUCUAGUUAAAAGCCUGGAAAGAUUGUUAUGCCUGAGAAGACUGUCUUUCAAAAUAAGCAUCUUAUAGACUGGUGAGAAUCCAAAGGGUUCUGAUUCUGUUACAUUUACCCAUUAAUAGUUUUCCCCAUAUUUCUGAAAUUGGAUUUGUGAUCUCAGAAAUAUGAGAACCAAAGGUCAUUAGUGAGAAAUGAAACUGGGUUUUCUUGUGUUCCUGUCCAUUGCUUUGUCAUCCAUAACUAGUUUUAAUUCAAAUUAAAUUCUAGGUAGCUCUAUAUGCAACCAAUUGAAGCCAUCUAGAUUUAGGUUUUCUAGCUAAGAUUUCUAGUUUCUAGGCUUUGAAGCCUGAACAGAAUGACUAUUGCUUCAUUUCUUUCUGUGCUGAAAUUACUCUGACUUUACUGUGACUUUCUCUAGUUGUUGGAUUUUGGAUUUUGUUUGUUUGUGUUGUGUGUUUUUUUUUUUUUAAUACCAAACAAAGGGAAAGAAUGAAACAAUAUUUAAGAAUUUUAUUUCUAUUUUAUUUUAGCUUGUAAAUAACCACAUUUCAGAAUUUAGAAUGAGGGUAGGUAAAAGAACCUUCAUAUUAUUAAUUAAUUAAUUAUUAUUAAUGAUAUAAGUCAGUUGGGUAGGAUCCCUUCAUUCAUGCAUUAGUUUCAGAAGAGUCUGUUAGCCUAGAAAAAUGUAUAUGGUUGAAUGGCACAGAAGAUCAUUAUUUCUUUCCCAGAUUUAUUUCCACUAGAUGGAUGAAGGAGUGGUUAGGCUUUGUUGAAAUGCAGAAUGAAGAUUAGAUUUCAGUAAUGUUGAGGAAGGUGACAUGUCAAGAUAGGAAGAACUGAUCAUGUAUAUCUCAUGGUAACCCAACUAUCUGUCUCCAGCAGUUUUCAUAAACAAAGUACAUGAUAAAGGGUGUGACUUUAAUUCCUCACAGUAUGUUUUUGUGCAUACUGAAUCUUCUACCUGUUAAUUUUACAGGACUUAAAGGCAAGCUUUUUUUGUCUGAGCAAGACCAAGUCAAAUAAAGCUGUACAUGGGGAAAUAUUUCAGUACGUUUUGACGUAACUCCUAAAUUAAUAUCUGAUAACAAAAUUUGAUAGAACUGUUGAGGUUGGAAGGGAUCAUUGCUGAUUAUUUAUUCUAGUUCUCCUGCUCGAAGCAGCAUCACAAAGAUCACGUUGCUCAGUGCUUGUCUAAAUAUGUUCUGAAUAUCUCUGAGGAUGGAGACUCCACAGUCUCUUUGAGCAGCUGUCCAGUAUUUGACUAUCCUAACAGUCAAAAGCUUUUUCUUGUAUUCAAAGCAAAUUUCUUGCAUUUCAAUUUGUGUCUGUCUUCUGUUGUCCCUUCUCUGGGGAGCAUGGAGAAGAGCCUUGCUUUCCGUUUCCCACAUCAGGUUUUUUCUACAUGAGUAUGGUUCCCUUUCAGUCUUUAAGAUAAUUCCUCAAGAUUAUUAUCCACAAAAUCCUUUCUCCGUGUUUUUUCAGUGCUUAUUGCAGGGACAAAGAUACUUUUUCAUCAUUGUGAAAGGAGCAAGUGAUUUGUAACAUUUCUCCAGGUAAGCUGAGAUGAUCAUUUUAAGUUAAUAGUGAUAUAAUUAGUUUCCUAAGGUUUUUGCUAGCAUUCCAUUUGUUGAUGUCUUUCAUUAUUUUUGUGAAGAUGAUCCACGGAGCUAAACAUUUAUUUUUCCUUUUAUUUCAAGAACCUUUUUCUGCUGGUUUCCAAAGAGGAAUAAGGCUGUUUUCUGUGUUCAAAGAAUCACAGAAAUAUUUGAACGUAAUAAAAAACCUAGAAGCUCCUGAAAAGAUACAUCAAACUCAGUGCUAAAGCCCUGUAGCAUUGCCAUUUGGGAAGGCCCUUUAUAAAAUUUUGAAAUUCAUCUGUUGAUAUUUCAGUUUCAAGGGCUUAUUUUGCCCUUAAAUCAUUUGUAGUAUGUGGGGGUUUGAAAAAGAAAGAAGGAACUCUGUGCUGUGCUAAGCCAGGGAGGCAUUCCUGCAGCCUUCAAAUUUUAGAACAACUUUAAAGUUUUUCUUACUGAAUUUUCUAAGUCACAGUUCUACUCUUCUGCAGUGGUUAUGGGUUAAAUUGUUGAGAUAUUGUUGUAAUGGCACAUUUCAGAAAGCAUGCUGCCUACUCUUUUUCCAUCUUUUAUUUGGUGUUGGCUGUAUAGGAGAUCUUCUUUUGUGCAGAGAGAUGAUAAUGGUACCAGUUUGUAGUUGUAUAUCUUCCAUUUCAGUUUUUGUUUGUUAGAAAGCGCUAUUGAUUAGUUGUUGUCGAUGAGCUUUCAGCCUCUUCUAAGAUGAGUCUCUCGUCAGACUUGGUCGGUUUGCAGUAUGCAUGUCAUUCUUUGAGUUUGUCCCACAGGACAAAAUAAUUCAAUUUUAUAGCUUUCCUUACUGUUUGCCCAUUGAGAAAUCAAACAAUUAUUUUCUUUUCUUAAUCUUCAGAUAAGCAUUGAUGGUCUCUGAAAUUCUGAUUCUACUUGUUAGCGCAUGGCUUAUGUGUCUUGCUUCAAGUCUCAACAUGUUUAGGGCAGCUUCAGCUUUGUUGAGAUUAGUCAGGAAACAUGUAUUUACCACUUUGUCUUAGGUGGUUUCAGACAUCAACUAAAGCUUAGUAUGUGCAUAGAUUUUACACUAAAUAAUUGUUCUUAUUAAAUAGAUUGAUGUUUUUAAUGGAGUAAUUAUACUAGAUCAACUUCAUGCAUGGAUAUAGUUAUACUAAUAUAAGAUUGAGUUAUACACCCAUGCAGUUGCAAGAGCAUAAAACAACAUGACUGUUUUCUUGAGGCAAGGAUAGGGCUUAAGUUUUUAAAUUUUAAUUUAUUUGAAAGUAAAGGGUUACUUUAUCUAGUUUGAAUUUUAACAUACCAUUAAAUCUUCUCCAAGAAAUUAUGCAGUAUAUUAGUAAAUCUAAUAGAAGGAGUCCUAAGAAGGGAUAGAUGUAUGUCAGAUAUUAAGAUAGUUCGGCAGACAAUGUGCCAAGAAUUGAGAGGUAUUUAUGUGUUCACAUAACUGUUUCCUUCAAGCAGUAUAAGAUGUAUUAGGUGUUUGUCCCAGCAUAUAUUUUCUCAGUGCAUUGUACAUGGAGGAAGGUAGAUGCAUUUCUUCUACUCUGGUGACAUUCGCUCUCUUUGUCACAAGAAGGAGGGAUUUUGCAUUAAACAGAUCCCUUUUAUGUUCUACCUACAGAAUUUCAAAGAAUGCUGAACAAAUGAGGUAGGAGUAUAUACUUUUGUGCAUCAAAGAAAUGCUUAAGAAGUUUCUUAUAUGUCUAAAGGCACAAUGUAGGGCACAGUUUCUCAAAGAGAAACUAUAUUCUGUAAUCAGUAUGUUGUUACCUCAAUAAUUAAAUAAUACUUUUCACUUUGGAGAUGCUCUUAAACAUGCUAAAACUAUAAAAUAUCCUGCUGAGAAAUAAAAAUGAAUGGACACUGUCAAGAAUAGCAUAAAUGUAGACUCAUUACAGUCAUCACAAGGCUUACUUUUAGCAGUAUGUUAGUAUUUUCUUAAUAGACCCUUCCAGAUUGAGGGAGCCCAGAUAAUACAUAGGUUAACCUAAAAUUCUUUGUUUUCUUUUUCAAAUUGGUAUUUUAUUUCUAGAUACAUAAACUUUUCAAGUACUGUUGAUCUCAUGUUACUCCGUAUGUUGUGCAAUUAAAAAAUUAGCAAGCUAAAAGGAUGAAUGAUUUUUUUUAAAAAAAAAUUAAAAUAGUUGUAUCAGUCAUCAGUGGAUAAGAAGUAACCUUAACAGUGAAGAAAAUAUGAACAGAAUUUUGUUCAAUUGCUGCAGUUGAGUAUACUGAUAAAAAAAUGGGAAUAUGAAGACCAAAAGUAAAUCAAGUGAUGAUGUGUGGAAUAAUUGUCUGCAUAGAAAAUAUAUAUGCGUUAUAUUUAAAUGCCUUCUUGUCUGUAGAUUAUCUUAAAGCCUCUUCAGUUGGACCAUCAAAUAGCAAUUAAGCAUCAAAUUCAUACAGGUCCAGUUUCUCAGGAUGUUGAAGUGAAUGAAAGAGCAACUAUCCAGAAAUCUUUUAUUUCGGAAGUAGUAUUUCUGUUUUAGAUAGCCAACACAAUCUUGGCAUAAAAGGUCUUUAUAAGAGUGUUUUUUUUCUUCUUGAUUGUGAGUUAAAGGAUAUUUUAGAACUUCUCUGUGGUUUUUAAAUAUACCCUAUUCAUUUCUUUGUCCAUUAUAUAGUUAUAGUUAAUUUAUAAUGUUAAUAUAAUAUAAAUAGAUUUUAAUAAAUAGUUAAAUACAUUAGUUAAAUAUAUUUCAACAAUUUUAAUCAUAAAUAUUGAUAAGUAUUAGAAGUUAUACAUUAUAAGUAAUGAUGAUCAUAGUCAAUGUAUAAUAAUAGAGUACAUUAAAUAUAAUGCAAAUUAAAUAAAUAAAAAUAUACAUUUGUCCAGUUAUUGCCUGGAUUUCAGUGUAGACUGUCCUAGACUUGAGCACAGUUUUUCACUCCUGUAAAAAGAUGAGCUAUGUUGUAUGGCCAGUUUUGAUGUUUUGCAGGCUUGCUUAUAGGUGAGGCUACCUUUUUCAACAGCCCUUCAUACCCAGUGGAUUCUUUUUCUCUUUGUAUCUUAUGUCUUUUCCCUGUAUAUCCAAUAGUUCUUGGCUUAGGGGUUCCUAUUCCUUUCAGAGAGCCCAUGAGUGAUGUGUUGAAUCGGCAGUUCAUUUUCACUGCCUUAUGAACAACUGGAAAGCUGAAAUACAGCUUCUGCAAAGAAGGACACACAAACCUCCCAAGUGACUUUGUUGCUUAUAGCUUUGCUGUUAUCUUGUGGAACCUCCUCCUCCAACAUCCCUCUGAGCUGAUAGGAUGUGAAUGAAUAAAGCACUGAAUUAGGACAUUAAGAUCAUCCAGUGGAGACAUGCUAUAAUCUGUUUCCAUAACUGGCCUAAUGCAGGCUUUAUCACAUUACAACAUCACAGAGACCUUAGUAUCACAGCAUAAAGUUUAGUCAGUUUCUUUUGCAGUUCUAAUAGCCUUAGCAGAAGCCCAGCGAGCAAGAAAAAAAGGCUGAGACAGACCUGUCGCUGGCUGUGGUGAUGGGACAGAGCAGCUGGAAGCCUGCCUGGUGACGUGGGGAAGGGCGGCACGCUGCUUCUGCUAACAAGAAGGUGAAUACUCCUGUUUAUCCUCUGGUAAUGUGGGAAAAUGCUGUUUAUCCUUAAGGCCUAGGGACAUGCACGACUAACGCUUGGCCGUAAAAUUACCAGAUUGACCUGGAUCUGGAGUCGCACCUUGUUCGUUCCCUCUAGGGGUUUGUCUCCUGAACUGGCACAGGGUGGCUCAGCCCUGGCCUUUUUAAUGAAUAGCCUGAGGGAAGCUGCUAGUGGUACCAUCAGGGAACCAGGCUGCAGACAGGCUGGCAGUGAUUGCACAGCUGUGCCAAGCAAGCUUACACGGAAAAACUCCGGGCAAAAUAACAGUCAAAAUUGUUGCUGCCUGCGAAGCUACGGCAACAGAGGAAUGUAAGAGAAACUAAUUGUACACAGUCCUCUCUAGGCAGCCCACUGAAUAACAAACCUUCCUACAGCCAGCUAGGCGUAUUCAUGUAAUUGUUUGGUUUUCAGUGUGUAUCUGUCUUCAUUUAUGUUGUGUAUGCUGCAUAUGUUUAUAUUUAUACAAGCCUUACUGUUGAACAGAAGCCUACUGUAAGUAUGCAUAUUUUUGGAUAUACCCGUAUGUGUGUUUAUAUGUCUGUAUAUUUGUGUGCACGCACAUGUGUGCGUGUAUAUAUGUCUGUGUGUUUGAGAAACAGAUGCACUGUAGGCAGAUAAAGCAGAUAAAUAUAGAUUCAAAUAGAAGCAUAAGCCUAUAAAUAUAGGCACUAUAUAGAGUGAAAGCAAGCGGAUCAGCACACUUUCAUUAUUACUUUCGUUCAUAUAAUAAACGAGUAGCUGACAUUGAAAUUACUGAGGGGAUGACACUGUUGGCUUUCAGCAAACGUAGUGAAAAGCAGUGGUUGGCAGUUUUCCUCAACUUUGCAAGAGAGAGAGAGAGAGAUUUGGUUGGAAUGAAACCUUGCUCUUCGUGCAGUCUGCUUGAGAUGCAGCUUUGAAAGGUAUCAUCCCAUUUUCUGUCUUGAAACAAAAGACGAAAACCACUAACAGGUAGAAAUUUCAAUGCCAAACCACCUGUUAAUUCACUGCUGAAAAGCCCUUUGGCAAUUCGAUUUUCGCUGUAUCCACUUGGAACAUUUGUGUGGCAAACAACCACAGUAUCUGUCUGUACCCGUAAUUUUGGUAAAGGAGCUAAGUUGAUUGGGAAUGUUUGGAUUGAAAUUCAGGUUGUUAGACAGAUAAAUGCUUCUACUGUCUUGGUCUUGCUUUUUGACUGGAGUAGCAUUCAUCUCUCAUAUAAUUGAGACUAAUACUGAAAGUACCAAUCCUGCAGUAAUAUUCUGUACAUGGUAAUAUGAAAGGAGAUUCAUUUUAAGUUCUGUGUACGGAGGGUCCAGAUCUGCUUCAUAUCCUGGUGGUCAGAAGUGAGGUGUAUGGUGAAACUGUGAAAAUGAAAGCUGUGAAAUACUCUGUAAGUAAUAGUAAUACGUAUCUUUUGAGAGCACUACAAUUCAGAAAAUCAUUUCAAAUUCAGUUAAAAUGUUAUCCUUGGAGUGCUAUACAAAUGCUCCUUCUGAACCGUGCAUUGCAAAAGCAGCCACUGUUUGUUAAUAUGGCAUUAAAAUGUUGGACUCCACCCACAAAAAUUAAUAACAUUUUUGAAAUAAAAGUGAUGUAGGAUACUGACACAUUUAUGUCCAUAUGUUCUUGGACGUGUGUCCUCCAGUGCGUGAUAAAACUAGAAAUACCAGAUAUUCUUAUUUUUCUUAUUUCCUGUAAAGCCAUACUGAGAAAGUGGGAGAAUGUAAAUGAUGGCAGAUUGACAGGCUUUGGCCCAAGGAUAACUGUACAGCAGUACCAUAUUUUAUAUUUUUGUAUCCUCUUAUCUAUUCUGUUCUGCUAGUUGUACUAGUUGACUUCCAUGAAUUCACAUAAGUGUAAUUUAGAACUGACUUGGGCCACGUUAUUUAUAUUUGUGCAGAUUCCUCCAUGCUUGUGCAGCAGUUAUUUCCCAUGGAUCUGCAGUGUUGUCCAGUGUCAUGCAAUGCUUUCGUAUGUGUUUAUGACUGGUUAAAACAUGAAAAGUGUUUUGAAACAACAUGACAACAGUAGAAGCUGCAUAGUAACAGGGCUACCCUUGGCUGUCCAUAUUAUAUCCAAUUAAUGUGGUUACCGUGCUCUGAAGCCCUUCCAAAGCUGAAUAAGAAGUUCUGAAACCUGGUUAAAUACGUUUUUUUUUUCCAAUUUUUCUAAAGAUUUCCAUUACAGAUGCUACAAUGAUAAGAGGACACUGUAAUACAUAUCUUCAACAGCAGUAAUAAUGAAGGAUGUGAAGUAUAUCCCCAAAAUCUAAAGGUGUGAAUUCUAAUCAACAGUGAACUCUUUGAGAAUGCCAUGUGGUAAAACCUAAUUCUGUGCUGAAGGGGAACACUGUGAACAUCCAGCAUAAAAUAAAAGAUGUUCUGUUCUCUGCUGCACUAUCUUGAGCCAAACUUGGGAUCUAAAAGUGAAGCAGGGUUCUUUCAUCACCAGUCAUAAAGAUGCUGUAAGUCAGAUUGUUCCCCUAGGCAAUAUUUGACAAUGUAGUAAAUUGAGCUUUAGGAACUUCCUACAAGAUCGAGAACUCUGCCACCUCAAAACAUAAAGCAUAGAUCCAUUAUAAAUUCAUUCUUUCUGGUGCAGAUUUUGAAAAUGUUUUGAUGCUUUGACUUCGUACUAGCAAACUGCAUACCUUAUUCGGUAUCUUGUGUCCCCCACUGCUAUCAUUAAAACAUGGAAGGGCUGGCAGCAAUGUGAUCUCAUGCCCUCACAUGAUCCAGAUGAAAUCUGCACUUUGGAGUUAUCCACUAGUGCAUGGUAUGUUAAUGUCAACUAUGAUCAAGCACCACCAGCUGUUUGUUACUCCCCUGCAUUUUGUCAUCUUCCUAUUGCGUCCUUAUUACUCCAGUCUUCCCAGAACGUUGCGCAGGCUGCAGUAAGAGAAAAAUCUGAUCUGUGCUCAGAAUAGGAUCAGAAAAUACGCUAGAUUUUCUGUAUAUGUAUCAACACCUCCAAUUCAGUGAGCUGCGUUGAGACAAGUGAAAAAAGCUAAGUCUUGUUUCUUUCACUAAAUGAAGCUAGAGUGGCACUGGAAAAGUACAAGGGUAAAUUCUUUUUUAUAUAAACUCCAGAGAAACUCAUGGACAGACACAACUUCAGAGUUUUGAUUUUAGGAUGAGUUUGAGCGGAAUUAAAAUUCAUCUAUAAUUCUUAUUGUUUUUCUCUGCCUUCUUGCCCUUUGCUUUUCUGUGUUGUGUGAUGAAUGCUUCAUGCCCAGAUUUUGCAAUUGCAGCUUUGUGCUUAAAAGCCACACAGACGCAAUGAAUGUCUUCACUAAAUUAUAUUUCAGAACUCUUGCAGGGAGUUUAUAGUUUGGAAAGACAGAGCUGCAUGCAAAGCUCUUCACUUCAGAAAUGUUGUAUACUUGGACCCAUACAAUUUCCUUUAUCUUGGUAGGCAAAGAUGAUUCUCUGUCUGAUGAUUUUGGUGUCUGGGAAAGAAAAAGAGAGGCAGAGUAGGGAAGAACUUUCCAAUGAUAUUUUUGAUACAGCUAUCUUUAAAACCUAUUAUUUGGAAUUUGGAGAAGUUUUUGAUUUGUUUUCCUUCUCUCUCUGACCUAAUUAAUUUCACACGACCUCCCCAUGGACAUAAUUUAUAUGACAAAUGAAUUACAUUAAAAUUUGCUGUCAUGGUAUAAAACCUCUUGUUUAUGGUAAAUUUAAUAUGUUUUUGUUGAUUUCCCUCUAUAAAUACUGAGCUACCAGUGAUAGUUUGUUUUCUUUAUUUUUUAAAUAAUUUUGGCUAUAUAGCGACUUAUUGUCAGUAUUAAAAAUAUUUGAAAACAUAAAUAAUUAGGAGAAAUGUUGUAAUUCAACUGUGGUUAGCAAAUGCUUCUCAAGUGGCACUAGCUUUUCCUUUUGUAAAAAUAAAGAUUAUUGUAGAAAAGAGUCAAAUAAUAACUGGUAUACAAGUGUACUCACCAAUUCCUGCUUAUUCUAGAGUAAAAACAUUGUGUACCAAUGAGUGUGUUGUAGGAAGGAAAAGCAUAUACCAUUUUCCAUACCAUUUCAGGACUGCCCCAUCUGAAGCAUUAGCAUCAACCUUUUGAAGCCCGUGGAUCCUUUGUCUGGCUUCUUAUGCCACCCCAUUUUCGUAUCUACUCAGUCUACUGACUUCACUAAGAUAAUACACGCAUUAAAACAUCUCCCUUUUUCUUCCAAGGCUGUACUCACUUUUCUGAAGAGCAAAGGAGAUGUGAGAGUGUGCAGAUCCUUGUGAAAACAGCCGGCAAUUUACUAACAAGAGCAGAAGGUAGUCUGCUGUAAUUUAGGGCCAAAUACAAGUUUGGAACUUAUAUGGAUUUUAAGAAGUCUCCAGUAACACUGCAGUGAGGUACUUAUUCUUGAGCUUGGAAAAUGACAUUAAGUUUCCUUUUCCAUAGAGAAUAAAAUGCAGAAAAUAGUUUAAAUGGGGAUAAAAUUAUGCACAGUAAAUCUUUAAUAAUUUAUGUUAUGAUUAUAUAGAAUAAUCCAAGGAAGGGAACUCCUUUGGUAAAAAUGCACUAAAGGCAGCAAAAUAUCCUAAUGUUAAUUCAGCAGAGUAUUCAAACCAAUGCUUAAGGUUAAGGCUGUGCACCAGCACUGCACAGAUGAGGGACGUCUGUACCCCAUCAUGGGUUUUUGUCCAAAUGUGGCAGGGCUGCAGUGGGCAGCCAGCAUCCAGAGCAGGAUUCGAGGAACAUCCUCUGUUAACUGCGAGGAGCGGCAGAGCUGGUAAAUUUGCCUCAGGGGAUGAUAGCAGGGAAAGGCUAUUGUGCCUAGAAUGUAUUUUGAAACACUGGAUGCACUUUUUUUUAGUUUUCUAUUUCCAUCCCGCAUUCCCUGCUUUUAUAAAAGACUCCUAAGUAAUUUCCAAAUUAAAUUACCUCUCUAGCAGUUUUGUGACCCUCAUAAAUAUGAUAAAGACAGACUCUCUGUCUCACUUUUUUUCGUGGUACUUAACCAUCCCAUGGCAUGCUAAAAAUCUUCCUUCAGCAUCAAGACAGCAUAUUUCUUUGGUUAAAGUUCAGAGGCAAAUAUAAAAUAGUUAUUUAUGUUAGGUCUGCUCUAACUCUGACUUUUUUUGCGGUGAUAAUUUAUUUUCCUUUCCUCAGACGGAUUAUAGAGAACAUGGUGUUGUCCCACAGUCCCCAGCUUUAAUAUGAAAAUGGAUCAAGUUCAGGUUCUGACACACUUGGCAGAGCACCAUCGUUUCUCUACCCCUCCCUCAAUCUGAGCCAUAAUUGUGGAUAUCCUGUGGACGGCAGCCCAGAGACUGCCAGUACUGGGAGCAUAUGAAACGGAAGAGAUGAUGGCAAUAGCUGUGUCGCUUGACCUGACAUUUGCCUCUUUUCUCAGCCACAGAGUGUGUUGAAGGGAGCAGGGGGUCUAAUUUGAACUGCAUGUGAGAGGUCAUGGUGUGUAGGAACAGUUCCCCUCACCGAACUCAGAUAUUGUUACUAGGUGCUGUUUGUACUUUUUCUAUGUACAUACAAAUAAGGGCUAUUUUGCAUAAAGAGAAAAAAUGCAAAAAUAGGUGAAAUCGUACUCUAGGUAAUUCCACUGCUUACAGUGAAGUUGCACUGGAGAUAGAUGUUAACCCCAUAAAUCCCUGGGUCACAGACCACCUUACAAUAGACCCUGACAGCUUUGUGGAGACAGAUUAUAUCAAGCCCUCAAAUUUGGAAGUGUAGCAAUUCCUCUGUAGUAAGAUUGCAAAUGAACACCCAUUCGGAGAUUGCCAACAUUAUCACAGUUUGUCAGGGUGAUCUCACAGCCCACAAAGCGCCGUAAGAGAUUGCUUUACAAGUUCUGAAAGAUUAGAGUGUUGAAGUAUGUGACACCAGAAUGAUGCUUUGAUGCCUGGCUUUGUCAGUCAGCCAGACAAAUAAAUAAUAUCCACUGUUUUUAUUAGUGUAAAGCAUAACAGGUAAUGGAAAAGUAUAGAGAAACAUUUCCUUGUCAUGGCUACACAGAGCACUAAAAUAUAGGCUGAACAAAAAUUGGAUGCGUUAAUGUCAAAUCCUUAAAACAGGCAGUUGUGUACCUGCGUGGGUCAGUAACUGCAGAAUGGCAUUUAUGACUAUUUCAGCAGCUAGUAUUUUAAAGCAUUAGCAUUAUGGCAUGGCUAAACGAAACAGCAAAAAAACGGCAGUCUUGGGGUUUGGUCAUUUACUGAAGCAUGGAAACAUAUAUUGUAGUGAAUGAUGAAUGGAGUUCUGGCUAGCAAGGAGCAAAAGGUCUGGAGUAUGGAAGCCAUGGGUUCCACUCCCAGCCUUGGAAGAGGCAGCACAGCUGUGCAGCUACAGUGUGGCAUGGAAGUAAACAGCAGAAGGGUAUGAAAUUCAGCAUUUCUUUCCAUGUCAGGAGCUGUGGAAAUGCUUUGGUGUAACAUGGAGACAAAGCUUUGUUAUGAGUUUCAGGUAUUUAAAACUUUAGAGAUCAAAAUGAGAAUAAUCUCAAAGUAUAUAAUUGCCUUUGUUUGUUGGUUUGUUUGUUUUUAACUUUCUGCCAAAACUGAACUUAAUAGGAUAUCUUUCUUGUAGAUUUGUUCAACAUUCAGCCCAGGCUUCCCUAAAUGAUGCAUGGUCUGAAAACCAUUUGUGGAGCCUCAGAUGGGAACCAUUUAUGUUGUAAAAAGUUCCAAAGAAGCCAAAUUCGUCAGUCUUCGUGCUUUAAUUGAGACUACUGGUUUAUUUUUUUAUAUAUUGGAGUUCUUCCAAGGUUUAGCCAUAGAUCUGAUUUAUGCCAACUCAGCCUUUAAGUUUUGUGGAACAGAAGCUCUGAACUGUGCAUUUGUUGCAUUUGUUCAUUCUUAGGGUGCCAUUAUAUUGUAGGAACUCAGGAUCAGAUGCAAAUUUAUCUAUCACUGAUCCACCUACAGGUGGAAAACCAUCUCUCCUGCCUUGACACCAAAUCAUUAUUUAUCCUUGACCUUGGAGAGUUUUUGUGCCUAAUUCUCCAUCCCCGUGAGCAGCAGAGAACUUGCAAGGAGCCAAGCAUCAGUUAACAGUUGUUUACACAAACCUUGAGACGCUUGGAUGAAAGACCCUGUGCAAGGGCAUAGAAUUAUUAUGACUAUUAUUAACUGAAUGCCUAAACCUAGACAAUGUAUUUGCACAUGUAAGUAAUUAUGAUGCACUUCAAGGCAUUCUGUUUGUAAUGCUUUGUAAUGCUUUGCUCUCCAUUUCCUACAAAUCAAAUUACUGAGGGAUAGAUUUGAUUUCCACAUCAUUUUGAAAAUAUUUUCUUUUUCUUUUUUUAAUUUCCUUUGUAUUAAUUUUUUUCAAAGUUCAAAACACAACCAACUGUGACUAAAUGCAUAAAACCAAACAAAACCCCCUUAAAGUAUAACAAAAUUAAGACAGCCUAAAAUGAUAUGCAGCAAACAAUGUAAAUCAUACCUAACAAACAUGGUUGUAAUAAUAUACCUUAUCCAUGUCUGAUCCACUAAUAACAAAUACUUAUUCAGAGAACAAAUAACUCAUUCUUCUUCUUAGUGAGAGAGAGGCAAGCCCCAAAUUCAAAUUAUAUCUUGCAGUCUAAACAAAUAUGAAAAACCUGCCAAAUCUUCUUAUAGAAAUCCCAACAAUCUUCCAUUUUCAUUGUAUCUUUUGGGAACAAUGAGGUUGGGAAGAGGGGAAAAAAGAACAGUUUUUACUGGAAACGUGGGUCUUGGUCUUGUGCCUUUUCCACGAGAAGUCCUUACUGCCUUCUGUUGAAAGGUUUCUGUUGUGGGUACUGGGUUCAGGCCAAAACCAGAAGGCGUAGGCUUGCGUUGUUUUUAAGAAUUAGGGAUUUUUCCCCUCCCUCAUGAGAAACUUCUCCAGAAGUGUAGGCUCGACAAGAUGGUUAUGAGAAUAAAGAUUGCUACUAGACUAUAAUUAAUACUUUCCUCUCUGCAACAUGGCCAAAUAGAUUUCUGCCAUCUUCCCAUUUCCUUUCUGGUUGCAGAAAAGAUUAUUAUUUGUUUAACAGAACAGCAGCAUCCUCCCUGUCCUACAGUCAGAGUGCAUCACCUUCUUCUUCAGUUCCUGCUGCCCUUCCCUGAUCUGUAUUUGCUUCAGUGGAGUUCUGGUCACAUUGGUGGCAUGGGUACCUGAAAAAGGGGAAGAAAGCACAUUUUCAGGUAUCCUUCCAUCUGUAGUAUACCUUAUGUGUUAUGCACUGCCUAUUUAUCAUUUGUGACCAGGUCCUGACUUGUCUCUGAUGCCAGCAUAACUGUUUCCCCUUGCAAUUUUUGCGUCAUUAGCUUCCAGUGAGACCUCAUUUCUAAUAACAUUUUAAAAAACUCUAAGAAAGAUUUGUUCUGCCCUUUCCUUGGGGUAGAAAACACCUGUAUUUCUCAUAGCUUUUCUGUUGCCAUUUCAUGCUUUGUACUCACCACCCUUUCCCUGUGGGCCAAGGAUGCUGGCUUGGCCAGAAGCUCAUCUCUGUAUUUCUGCACCAGUGAAGCUGCUGCAGCUGCUGAGGCUCUGUGCAGGGAGAUGUAGCAGGGUACCUCUGUGUGUCUUUUUACUUUCCCCAAAGCCCUUUGUGCUUCAAGCCAGCCCCUUUGCCUCUUGCCAUCUCUCCCAUGUGUUCCCUUAGCUGUUGCUCUACCCAAAAUAACUCCAUGCCAUCCCUCACACAGGGUGUUUUCCCUGCAGAUGUGUGAGUUGGAGGUACCAUUGGGCUUAGCAGUGACUCAGUGGAGGAGAGAAGGCAGGGAGAUACAUGGUGUUGACUCAGCUGAGAUCACUGCUCCCACAGCUGCUUUUUAUUGGCUCUGUUCUCCUUCCCUAGCCCUGCUGCUUGUCCUCCACAACACAUGGUGAUGAAUGCUUUGUAGAGAAAAGGAAGAAGCUCUGCAAUGAUCAAUGUCAGAAUGACCUAAGUGCUUGAUUUGUGUUGGAGUUUUUCUCAUAUGUUCUCAAUAUAUGUGUAAAUACCAAAAUUAUUUGGAGAUCCUGCUGUUCUCCCUUCCUAGGGCAUUAUUUCAAACUAAAAGAGGGUAGAUUUAGGUUGGAAGUAAGGAAAAAGUCAGUCUUUUACAGAGAGGGCGGUGAGGCGCUGGAACAGAUUGCCCAGAGAGGUGGUGGAUGCCCCAUCCCUGGAGACUUCAAAGAUCAGGGUGGAUGGGGCUCUGAGCAACCUGAUCUAGCUGUGCGUGUCCACAUUCAUUGCAGUGGAGUUGGACUAGAUGACCUUUAAAGGUCCCUUCCAACUCUGAGGAUUCUGUGAUUCUAUUCUAUGAUUCUGUGGUAAUGAAUUGUAUAAUUUCCAAAUGAUUUCUCCUCUUACCAUUAUUAUUGCUUGCUUUAAAAAGUACCAUAGUUGCAUGGUGCACUGCAUCUAUCGAAAGAGUGUGGGCUGCUUUUUGCAGUCAGUACACACAGGUAACAUCAAUACGUAGUGUUACACCACUCUAGUGAUCCUGCUUGUGUCCCAUACAUUACAAAAGCAUUUUUUGUACUUCUUAUAUUAUGUUUUAUGUCUUGAACUUAAAUUAUAUAAACAUGUAUUUCCAUUUAAAACCAAAGCCACAGAAAUUUCUCAACUGCAUUGCAAGAAAUUUGUCUUUAAAACAUGACCCAAGCUGAGCUGUUAUAAUAUCAUGUCCCAGUGUUUAAGAAUCCAAAUUACUUAAAUUGUUUUUAUUAAGGAAUCCAAUUCUAUCAAAAUACGAUUUCCAAAAACGUGUUUUCCUUUCAUGCUUAAAAAAAAAAAAAAAGAAGAAGAAGAAAUUAGAAAAGGACCUUAUUAGCUAGAACGUAAAAUAUAAGAGAGAAAUGGCAGUAUCUACAGAAGCAGAAAUGCCAGCCUCAGAGAGCAAUCUCCUAGCAGUGGAAAAGCAGUCCUCACUCCCUUUUGAUUGCCAGGAAGAAAUUCUUAAUGUGCUUUGUGUAUGUUCUCUUUGAGAUUCUUAUUAAAUGUCAGAUACCUAGCCUCUUCCCCAUGCAUCUUUAUAAAGCCCUGACAGAGUAAAGAACACUUUCAGAAGGAUUUGGGAAAAUGUAAGGAUGUUUAUGGCAUAUGUUCUGUGAGGCUGCAGAAGGUGAAUUGACCUCCAUGGUGGGUGGACUUGGUGAGGAAGGAGAUGAAAAUGCAAAUUCAAGUAUAGGCAGAGCCUCACAGAUCAGAAGUUAGAAUUUGUCUUUAUGUUCUGACUUUCCAUUGCAAAAUUAUCUGCUUUCUGAAGCAAAAGCCUGGGUAAACCUACAGUGUUUUUGUAAGAAUGUCCUUUUUGUAAGAAUUCCCACUGACAAAGAGACAAAAUGCCCAGAAUAUGGUUUAGUGAAGGGUGAACUCAUAUCAUUUACAUCUCAGUUGUAUUUUCUUCCCUUUUUUAUUUUUUCUUUGCACCCAUAGACCAAGAUUCUUUGUGUUUAAGUGAAAAUUACUUAUUUUCUAUACUUCUGCGAUUCUUUGAUGAAGAGAGCUGGAGCUCUAGGCUUAAGCCUAUAGUGCCUGCCUUAGUCAAAAUGGCCAGAGCAUGAGAGACAAAGAGGCUCCUGGACUGAGCCUGCAGCAAAGCUGUGCUGCCCUACAAGAUGAGAACUGAGUCGCUCGCUGAAAACAUGGUUGAGAAAUUGAACUGAUGGCAUGCUGGCGCAGCGUGGUGUGAUCUAAGCUGCACUGACACCUGCAGUUAAUCUUUCCAAAUCAGGGUAGUAAUUUACAUGUCUCCAUUCACAUCCAGAGUCUUGUCUGGUGUUUAUCUCUCUCUCAGCUUGUCCAUAUUUUUGUUGCUUUAAUGGUCGUGGGUUUUCACCUUGUCGGAUCUUCCUUGUGAAAGCUCCAUUUAUUUAUUCGAUCAGAAUGAAGCUGGUGAGCCUGCUAGAGUCUGCCACGGUUUUUCACUUGUGUCUACUUCUUGAAUUCUUGCAGGGAAAUGGCUGCAUGUGUAGUCAGUGAUACAUUCCAUGGUAGCUGGAAGAGUUUGCUUAUGUGUUGUAGGACUGAGUUGAGACCUGAAGGUGCAAGACCUGCAGAGCAGCCCAAAUCCUGUAUUCUCCCCAGAAGGCAGCAGUAGCAGAUGUUUGUGAAUGGCAGCACCUAUCCUGCAGUGUGACCAAGAGAAUAAUUCUCAAUGGAAAUUUAACUUAAUUGUGCUGAAGUGAAGUACAGUUUAUUGAUACAACUGAAGAGUUUUACACUCUGUUGUGUUUUGGAUAUGGAAGAGUAGUAAAACAGUUUCCACUUACCACAUUAUCAGUACAGCCAUCAGUUCCUGGGAAUUCUCUCAUGCACAGUGCCUUCAAAACAGGGAAAGUAAACUUCUACAGUACUUAGCAUAGUCUUCAAACUCUCUGCACACAUAUCUAAGAUGCGCAACAAUUCCCUGAGUUAUGUUCUAGUGUAAAUGCAAGCAUAUACAACUGCUUCCUUUAAUCUUGCUGAUGGGCAGCUAGAAUGGAUGUACAAAAUCUUCAUAAGGCAUCAGAAUAAAUGUACAGAUGUUCUCCAUCUCUCUCUUCUUGCAGUCACCAUGUAUCACACAAUACACAUAUGGUAAUAGAUUGUAUGUCAGGGGAAAACACAGACUACACCCCAUGCAGCCAUCAGACCUUGAAAAUAGACAUAAAAUGGUAAGUUAAUAUGAAUACACAGCUCCUAACAGCCUAAUAGAAUAGAUCGCGCCACAGCCAGGUACAUCUGUUCUCAGCACUAACCAUUAUCAUUAGUUUAAAACACUUAAAAUCACUGAGCUUCCGCAGGUCUGGGGACAGAUUAUACCAGGAAGAAUCUGCUAAACAGAUUUAGCAAUGUAGCAAAGAGGGACCUUGGCUACAUUAAAACAGUACAUAUUACAUCUCGAAGGCUGUAGGCUGUUUUCAGAGGAGCAGUCUGAAUGAGGAAUGAUGCUAACACCAUAUAGCAAUUUCUUUAUCACCAUUUAAAUAUAGAGCUUGAAAGUCUUGGACAAACAAUUGUGCCAAACUGCAAAACAAUUUAUUUGUGAAAAAUCAGGCUUGCCUUCUCUAGGAAGCCAUCAGCUGUCCUUUAGCAAGUGUUCUCAUCAGACUAAUGCAUGAGAUCCAAAGAUCUAACUGUGACUGGACUAGAGUGUGAGUCUGACAGAAACAAUAAAUCUCUCUUAGGUAGGAGAAGAAACAGCGAAAGAGAAAAAAUAGCAAAUUUCUCCAUAUCUCUCUGUCUUCUCAGUCUGGUAUCUGACUGCUCUGAAGUGUGAGAUACAGGUUCUUGUACAGACAUUGAAGUCAGUCAAGUCAUGAAGGCUUCAGGGGAGACUUCAAAAACAAACAAAAAAGAAGUCUUGAUAUACAUGCAUCAAUGACUGCUGAGGUACUACACUAUUGCUUGUUUCAGACUGGCUGUAGAGAGGUUUUUGAAGGAACGUGUACGACUAAUUCAAUAGGAACAGAGAUGUCUGACUCUUCAAAAGAGGUGGAAGUGAAACUAGACAAAAUGGUGGUGAUAAAAAUAAAUGUAUGAAAUACUGGUUUUGGUAAUGAAAAAGGACUGAAACGUGGGAAAAAAUCCAUGUAUGUUUUGUGUGUUAGUGGAUAACAGGUCCAGGGAAAUAGAUAAAGCUUUAGCUUUUAUUGUUGUAGAUUUUGUCAGGGUAAUAAAGAAAAAUGUUUCAACUUUAUGAAUAACAGUGGGAGACAAAUGCAUGUAUCUUCUCCCAGACUCAGAAUUCCCCAAGAAUGCUCCUGCUAUUAGGAGAAAAAGCAAUUACAGAUAUGCGUGGAAGGACAUCCCAUUUUUUUUUCAAGCUCACUCCUUAAUGCAUCUUCAACAGAGGACUGAGAUCCACUGCUCAAACAGCAUCAUUUUUUUUCAUAUCCCUCUCAUUACUCAUACCGCAAUUAAAGAGGAGUAAAGGCUGUCCCAGCCAUCAGGUGUUCUGUAUUUCUCCACCACAGAGUGAGCUGGCUGUAAUGUCCAUUGUCAUCAUGAGAACCUAUCUUUGGUGUUUGCCAGUUUGACCUGAAGUUUAGUAAGGUGCUCUAAUUGUUUCUUAAAGGCCACCUUUCCCUUUCAAAGUCCUGAGAAUGAUUCUUGAUGAGGAACGUGCUGCACUGGGGACUUGGAAGGAUUCUUUUCUGUGAGUCUUCUUUGAGCAAGAGGAGUUUGAAGAGCCAUGAAUUUUUGAGGCAAGGUGAGCACCUUUGUGGAAAGAAGAUAAGCAAAUAUGCAAGAUGUAACUAAGCUCAAUCAGUUUCCAGAAAGUUCAGCAUUGUCUUUGUGCAGAACAUGCCUCUGGUACAGUACAAUAGCAGCACAUGUAAGCUUCUAUAUUCCUAGCUUUAUAUUCCAGCUGGCUUUGAAUUUUUGGAAUAGCAUUUCCUCUACUUACUCUUUACCAAAUCCUGGAAGUCCGUAGUGUAAAUAAAAAGGAAUUGGGUGUCAAAGGUGUGCAGUACAUAGUGUAGAUGUCUUUGUAGAGCAGAUCACACAAAACAUCAUAGGUACCACUUGCUAACAAAUUCUGGAUGCUAAAUAUAUCUAUCUCAUCUUAGUGGACAAUUCUUUCACCUUUGAGGUUCAUUCCUUCUCUGCUCAAGUACAGUAUAGUGUAAUUAGACAUGAAAAUUUUAGAACUUAGAAAACUCUGCCUAGAAAAACACCAGGUUGUGUGUGCUUGGAGCAUGGAUCGCAGUUAAAACAAAAACAAACAAACAAAAAAAACCAAAACAACCCACCACCACCAGCAAAGAAAAACCCUACUGGAUAUUAAUACUGCUUUCCUAUAUAGGUUACAUCAAAUCCUGCGCAUAAUGCAUGGAGUUCAGAAUAUUACUGUGACAACGCUGUUUCUUUGGUACAAUCAGUCUGUCCGUGCUAAAGGACAAUCUGUAAUUUUCUCAGGAGGCAGUCUGAGCCUGUACACUUCAUUCCUUGAGAAACUGGUGGUUAGCAUAUACCUCACCACUCUCUGGUUCCCGUGGGAAAGGUAUAUCUUUCAUCAUGUCUCCUUAAAUACAAAUUCAGGGCAUCAAGUGCAUUGAAAUGCCCUACCAGAUCAGGAAACCAUAUUGCACCCACUUCUAACUGUGGAGAAAGAAGAGGGGAAGAAAUAAUUCAUAGUAAAUGUGUGAGAUAACACACAGCAAUAUCUGGAUGGUGCUCUGGCAGCAUGGCAAUGAUCUGGGAAUCAAAAGUUGAAUAGAAUAGGUGAAAAGCACGAACUCUGGCAGGAGGGAAAGGCAGCUUGUGGCAAGAAAUAACCCACAGCAUACGCCUGUUCGUUCAGCCUAAGCAAGAGAAUAGGUGGGAUAUAAUCUUUGUCAGAAAAAAACAACUAAUAAAGUUGCCAAGAACAGAUAUUUUAUAAUCUGUGCUAAAUCUCUGCUGGAAAACAUGAACAGCAAUGAAACUGAGAAGACACUAAAAGAAAUUCGGGGCAAAGUGCCAGACGCCCAGACGGAAGCAGAAUGUGGACCAAAAAGCUUGCGACAAUUGGGUAAUUAUGGUUUAUGAAUUUCAGCUUUAAUCUGUAGUUCAGUGAGUCCUGAUUAAAUAUCUGUUAAACACAAUUAAAGUUUGUUUUUGUAUUUCACCGUCUUGAUCAGAAUAAUUAGAGACUGCGUGUUUCAUGUCAAAAGUAGCAAGAGGAAUUUUAGUGAAUGAACAUCGUUUUUAAAAGCCAUUUGUAGCACCAGCUGUUGGCAUUAUUUUAUAUUUUAGUGUUAUCAGCAUAAAGACGGGUCCUCUCAAUGCUGAAUGCUUUCCAGCAGGGCUAAGAUGCUGGGAGAGGCGUGAUACAGUAGGAACCGUGCCUGGCCAUAGGACUAUGCAGAGCACCUCAGAUGAAGCUCUCCAAGCUACAGCGUAAGACCAAGCACUGAAGUGACAGAGGGCAAGUGCUGUAAGCAGGUUGUGUAGCACCCAGCCUGUGCUUCUCUGUCGAAGAUGUUUCAGAUAGCAAGUGUGACGGGUGUUAGGAAAGACUGCUGGUUGGGGCAGAUAUCUGAUGAGCUGAAUUUGGUUUUUUUUCAUUGCAGGGUCUUAUCAGAAGCUCCAAGUGUCCCAAGGGUUAAAUGUUAGAGUGUUAACCCAGAAUGAUAAUUGUGGUAGCGUUACAAAUGCUCUUGGGAAGGAACCCAUAAACUGUGCCAGUAGUACCUUAGCAAAGGCAGCAGGCUGCAGGGAUGACCUAUGUGGAUACUGAAAAGGAUAGGUAUGCACGUUCCAGUUUCUGCAGGGACUUCCUAAGUGGAUUCAUCUCCAUUUAUAGCUGUUUCAAUUAAGUGAUGAGAGGAGAAAAGGUCCUUUAAGCUUUUUCUCUAAAGAAGAGGAAAUGAAAAGUGUUUAGUGGGAGGAAAGUGGGAUAGCUUUGAGUAAAGACACACUGAGAUGCAACUUCCAUAGAUAGAAUAUAUUUUUUCAGGAACCUGAAAUGUAUCCAAAUGCCACCUGAACAUGGUUAGGGCAUGUAAAUAAAUCCUGGGGAAUAUGUGUGUGCAUGUAUGGCUGACCUGUUUUUAGCCUUCAUCUGUCUCUUUAUCCCAGUGAAGAUGGAUCGUCAGUCACAUUUAGUGAUGCCUAGGGAGGAGGAGUAAAUCUCAAAUAGAAUAAGCUAAAAACUGAAAAUGCCUACUAAAGACACUUGAAAGACAACUCCAGUUUCUCCUCUUGAGUAAGUGUUCUACUGCCUGUGUGUCUAGUUUACUUCAAAUAAUGUAGUUCCUUUGACCUUUUCAGUUUCUGUCUUUUUGAUGAGUGUCAAAAGAAGAGGCAUGCAGCUCUCGUGCAUGGAGGAUUUUAUCUUCAAGCAUGGGACUGAGACAGCAGUCCUACUGCAGUCAUCCUUUAGUAACAGCUUUUGGUUAUCACUGACCUAGAGAAAGGGGUCUGUGUGGUUCAUUACCAUCAUGCAGAACUGUUUCAUUUGCUGGCAGUUUAAUAAUUCACUUGUCCAAUAAGCUUGAAAACACAAGCAAAAUAUUAGCUUGUUUAUGGCUUCAUUUUUUUCUAACACUGGUCAGCUUUUUAUACUUUUUCACCUACCUUUCCAAGUAAGAGGAGGGAAAAUAAUGCCAGAGAAAGAAGAAUUUCUAAAUCAGCCUUCCAAGGAAACUAUAGGUCUAUUAAUUCCUAAGUGAAAUCAAGGUUAGUGGUGAAAGAGUUGAACAGAACUUAAAAAUCAAAGAUACUUUGGAAGACAACAUCAAAAGCGUAUCAAAAAUAUGGUGGUCUUUUUAUAAGCUGCAAGCCCUGAAGAGAUGGUGCCCCUAAUAGAGCUGAGGGAGAAAGGAUCAAAGUGAUGAUCAUAUGCGUCUUUAAAGUAGAACGAAUAUCUGGAGUGAAUCUAUGAAGAGACAGGUUUUGGAUGAAACUUUCAUAGCACUGGGAUCGUUUAUCAAGUUUUUAUGCCCGGGUACAGUACAAAUGAUCAGAUUUCACCAGGGAAAGAGGGAAAGGAUAUUUGGCUCAGAAUAGGAAAAAUAAGACCAAUUGUUGUCUGUGGAAUGACAAUAUCUGUGUUUAAAUGCGUGUGUGUUUAUACAUACAUUACAACAAGUAUCUUUUUCAGAUGUGUAUUUUAUUAAUUUGAACCAUACCCUCUUUCUUCAAGAUAAAUUUAUUCUGGUGGAAAAAAAAAAAAAAAAAGACAUCCCUGGCAUUUGGUUAAGUAUGUGAUUUUUUUAUUUUCACUUCAUAAAGUUAGGAGGAGAAGGAAAAUGGAGUUAGGGCUUUUCUUUGUCUUCUCUUGCAUUUCUGAAUUACUCUGAUUUUCCCUCAGAACCAGCUGCUUAAGUAUAUCUCAUCAACUGCCUGAGCUUGUCCAAAUCCACUACCCUUAUGUCUGAGAUAAAUAAAAUCAGGACAGCAUGUAGGUCUCUAAUACAAGUUCCUUUAUAUGGGAAUGGGGAGGGAAAUGGAAAUCCUGACUUAGAAUUCUGUAGGUGUAGGACUUUCACAAUGUGUACAAGCCCAGUGGAGGAAAAAAAAAAAAGAAAAAGAACUAUUUCUUCUUUUGGCAAUGGUAUACAUAGUUCUUCCACAGAGUUUUAUACUAUGCCUGAGGGUCAUUUCUCUUUUAAAAGAAGCACUGACAGCUGUGAUGAAUGGCAUUACCUGGGAAGAGGGAAUAUCUAGAUGUUUAAACAGAUCAAGUUUCUCCUUAUAGCACAGUAAACAUUAGGUCACAAAUCAAGCUGUUCUACUUUCAUGGGCAAUCAGGAUCAAUUCUACGCUACUUAAAUGUGAACUGGAAAGACUUAAGUAUAGCCGCAUGCUGACAUUAACAGAGAAUGGUGGUUUAUAACCUGUGUACAUUGUCACAGCUAUCCUUUUACAUGAAGUCAUGGAUGAAUGCCAUGUGCCCAUGUAGAGUUGCCUCCUUGUCAGCAGGCAAGAUUGCCCGUCCAUCACUAUUAUCUGCAACGAGGCUCAUUACCUGCCAGCCAGUAAACAUCUCACUCUCACCAUCUGCAGUGAAUUACAAAGUGACUGGAAGAAUCAGGAUCAGUUUGCCUUGCAGAAUGAUUGUCAAGUUCAUUUUCAUCUUUGGAGGCCCUUUGGAAAUGGAAAAGAUGGUGACUUGGAUGGGAAAAAGGAUGAUGUCCAUUACCCUCAGGCAAACAAGCUGACUGAUGCUAUUCUUACAUACCUUCUAUUUUACCAAGUGCAGGUGGCUGGAAAUUUUCACAGCAUGCAGGUGAAAUAGUAUCUUUUCUUUUUGAAUGGCUGUAUCAUUUGUGGUGUGUAGCAGUGCCAUUUUCACAUGAGUGGUAAUGUCUGAUUCAGGAAAGUUUUUUUUAAUAAAAAUAUUAAUUGUACUCAGUACAAAGGCAUCUCCUGUUGACAAAGCUGAUGCCCAGCCCAUCAGGACCUACUUAGAAAGGAGGAUAGUGUACUACAGUAGUUUUUGCUGUUAUCAUUGUGCCUGUCAGUGUUGGUUUUUUUUAAGGCCACCAGGUAGCUUGAUAAUGAUUGUAAAUUCUAGCAUCGCUGCAUGGGCAUACAACUAAUUCUGAGCAUCUGCUCUAGGGAAGACAGAAUCUAUUUUGUAAGCCUUUCAAGGGAAAACAUAACCAGAGAGGCAAAUGAAGAGUGUGAUACAUUCUUGGUAAAGGAUCUGUUGGUGAUAGACAGAUAGAUUAGAGAUUCUGCUGUGGAUAGCAGGAAGGCAGGCAGAGAAAUGGGAGCAUUAGGGAGCAAAGAUUAUUCUUAUAGCUUCUCCCUCUCGCCUCCAUUACCCACAUAGGGUAGAACCUGGCCUUGGUCUUGGAUGUCUGUCCUUUCUCUUUGGCCUCUCUCCCAGAAAAAUGCAGAGUUAAAAAACAAAUAAAAUAAAAAAUGGAGUGAUAUGUGUUUGGUAUGUCAGCCAGUGGCCACAUGUGCAGUGAGGAAAUUUUCUCUGAGAGCUCCCAAAGCUCAUAAUCAUUGUGCAAGACAUAAUUAUACUCUUUAGAAAUCCAGAUCAGUCCAUAGUAAGGGGAGGACGGGAGGGAGUGUUGCAGACAGAUUUUAACAAGUGUAUGUGUCUCCUUUCUGCAACAAUUUUGGUCUUAAGUGCACUUGGCUAAAUUCUCAUUCUCCCCUGGGAGGGUUACUGGAGGGAUUUCCAGGCUUUUCUGUCUGCCUGCAGCAGGCUCAUGGGGAGCAAACACUAUGACUACCAGUCGUUGCACCUGCUUCAGAGAGGGGCAGCGCUUGCUCCCAGAUGCUUGCCUCAGGGUGCCAGCAGGAACAGGGGAGUAGGAAGAGGCUGGCACUGCUGGUUAAACAGACAGUGCUCCCUAUGGAGCGAUGGAGUGCCAGUGGGCACGCUAUAACCAGGUCUUUGGAGCUGAGCGAGUGCUAAUGGCAGCAUUUUGCCUGCUCCUCGCUAGAUAAAUAGAGAGGCUCAGAGGAUGAUGCUUUCCUGAGCGCGUGCUUCACUUUCACAGUUCUUCAGAGAUAGCUAGUGUUCCGUUCUCUGUAUGAAAAAAGCUCUGUGCUGCUUCUUCAGAGAGCAAAAUCAAAUUAAGCUGGAGAGCAACAGGAUUUCUGACUGUUUUUAACCAUGUUCUUAUCCAGCCUAAUCUUUGUUGUUAUGCUUUGUCUUUGAUCGCUAAGGUGGAGAACCUGUUUAGGUCUUGUGACUUCCUAAACAUCGCUAAAGAUUUACUGAGUGGUGAUUUGUUCAUAAAACGGGGCUUCAAAAUGGCCUACCAUUCUGCCUGUUUGUGGUACACAGACAUCUGACUGACUAAAGAUGUUUCAUCAUUCUCAGAUUUGCUAUAUUUUGCAACUGGAACAAAUGCUUUAAUAAAGCAAAUGAGCAGUGCCCUCUGAACUCUUGAAGUGAAUGUGGAUUUUGCCUGGGGCAGGUGUCUGGAGGUUCACAGACACCCUUGCAUUCUACUAAAGCAAAAUAGUUUGCACUUAGUUCUUGAGAACAGUGUUUUGUAUGCAGGGAUCAUCAGAUCCUUGAACCAAACAGAGGAUUGCCAUGUAUUAGUGUAACCUCUCUGGAUCACACCUCAGUAUUUGGGACAAGAGGUGAAUGUCAGCCACACAGUGUUUCCUAUGUUGGCUACAAAUGUUGUCACUUUUUCCAUUGACAGAGAUUCUGCAGUGGAGGGAUCUGGUUGUCAGAUGUCAGAUUAUCAAAACUGUGUAGGUGCUUAAAGGUGUGACUGAUUGCCUGAAGGUAUUUUCAAAGCCCCCUUAACCAGUUAAGGUAUGUUCUAUUCACGCUGGAUGUUGUUUCAAAUUCUGUUUGCUGCCUGCUGUUAUGUUGGAUUAUAGCAAUUUCUCUUAAGAUCUUUGUUAUCACUGCCAAGGCUUGCCGGCUCUCCCACCAGAGGAUUUUGGAAUGUCCCUUAGGCUUCUGUAGGUAGCAUGUUGGGGGUGAUGAUACGGCUCCAGUCUGCUGCUUUCAAACCAAAGUGGAGUGGCCUUUCAGCAGCUUUGGUUGAAGUUGAUGGGGGAGGGGAGAGGGACAUUGUGUUACAGCAGGGAUGAUUUAUUUCUCAGGAACAUACUGAAGAAACCUGGAUCACUGAGAUGUUGACUCUAGAAACUAGCCAGGAGGAAGACAGAAUACAAAUAUUGAGAGUUAGAGGGCAUAAAUAAGAGGAAAGCAAAAAAAUAUGAAAUUUCAACUGACUUUGUAAAGUGUAGAGAAAUCUUGUAGAAUGAGUGUUGCAAUGUAAGCCACAACAGCACAAAUACUGUCAUUAUGCCUGGUUUUCUGAGCAAGGAAUAGAUAAACCUGAAGGAUGGCAGGCUUGGUGGGCAUCUCAUUCACAAUGAAAUACUGAACGGACAAAUCAGCUGCAAGGGAGACUUCAGCCAUUUUGCAGUAAGCACAGCUUGGCUUGAUAAACAGCCUCUCAGAAGAAGAUGCUUACGUCAUGAGUCCAGGCUUAGAGAAAAGCUAGUGACUGCAGCUCUCCUUUAUGUUAUAUUUUGUCUAUUAUGUGCUUCCAAAUGGUACAUUUAGUAGAGAAAAGAUGACCGUAAGUAUCAAACAAGAAGGAAAUGAUAAAAAAGAAGCUGUAGAAAGAGUGUAUCAAGAAACCAGAAAGAAUGUCUGGCCACUUUUUUAGAUGCUGUAAAACCAGAAUGAUUGUUUGGAUCUUAGUUGAAGCAUACUAAAUUUACUUGCAAAAUAUCCAGCCCUUGGUUUGAGAUAAUUCAUGUAAGCAAGAGCUUUAUUCCUGUGCAGGUUAGUGUUUCUCUAGGGAUGUUGAUAUUCUAAAACAUAAAACACAGAUUUUUAAACUGAAUUCGAAUUAAUAACACUCCUAGCUAGAGGUGUCAGUCUUCAGGAGUUUUGAAUCGUGAAAAGAAGGACCUGAGAUAAACAUGAAUCUACAAAUUGUGAAAGCUCAGAUAUCCUAACUCCAGCAAGUCAAGCAUAAGGUACAGAGAUUGUCUAGCAGAACAGCUGUGCCAAAUAGGAGAAGUACUUGCAGUUCCACGAAGAGGAAUUCAACACACUUGAUAUGUUGUUAUAAUAAUUUAGGAAUUUUUGUAACUUGAGAAGUGUUUGGGAAGUGCUUUAGAUAGUACACUCUAAGAAGCAGAGAAAAAUUGAAAUGAGAAAUAUAUUGUGAUUUCAUAAAUAUCUUUUUACUUAAUGUCAUUUUUCAAAAGGUCCAGAUAAACACUCGUUAGAGGUGAUAGGGAAAUUCCCACUGAGUUCUGUGUGCCUUGAAUCAGAUUUUUGGCAAUUCAAUGCCCCGAAAACCAGCAGGGAAAAUGUUUUGGAAACCUUUGAUUUGGGAAAGUGUGAUCACAGCAUAAGCAUUAGAUUACUGUUCUUCCUUGUCAUUCUUUGACAGCUAGUCCAGUUCUCACAACUCUCCAUAAAACCUGUUCAGAAAGAGAUAGAGUGGAAUUUUAUACCAAGUGUAUGGUGGAAUUAAUUAUAUGAGGUGAAGUUUGUGGGAUUUUAGCUAGUGCAACACCUGCAAAAUGCUGCUUAGAUGUAGGAUUUGAGGAGGACCUUGAUUGAACUAAAGCUUUAUUGGUUUAAUGUUUAAAUAACUGUGGCACUGUUUGCAAUUGCAACACUCAUUAAGGCGAUUGUGGAUUAUUGUGUUGUUUGCUUCCUUUCCUUUUGUGCAAUGUACUUAGUUCAGCAGAAUGGGUAUAAAGAAAUGAUGAUCCAGUGUCCUUAAUAGCAUCUUUGUUGUGAAGACUGAGAUGGUACAAGGAUUCCAGUGAUGCGAUCUUCUCAUCUUUUCCUCAUUCACAUCUCUCACUGUCUAGAAAGCAUAAAUAUCAACUGUGAGACUGAGUUCUAAUUCCUUUUCAUUUGCAGUUUCACAAGUUGAACAACUUACUGUUCAUCAGAAUUGGGAAUACGUAUGAUUUUGAUAGUUUAUUUUGUUGGAAAACUUUAUGAAAUCCAGGCAGUUGAGGAAAAAACAACAUGCCCAUCAGUUGCCAAAUCCUCCUCAGGCAGUGCCUUAGGACAUGGUUGGCCAUGUUUUAAUUUACAUAUCAUGUUCCAGAGAUGAACCAAAAGGCCAUGCUGAAGUAUGGAUGUGGCUGGUUACCAGGGCAGAGUCAGUGGUCAUUUGGAAGCUUUUCUUGUCAUUUUCUGUCCACUUAUCUUGAGCCAAAAUUAUAUGAGAUUAGUUUUUUCUUAAGAUUUCUCCAUAGUAUUUUAUUUUUCAAGAUUGUUAGGGGAAAAUUCUAGUGGUAUCUCGAUGACACUAGAAAAUGUACACCUUCUGGUUAUUUAUAGGGGAAAUUUGAAUCCAGUUAUAAAUAAUUCUACUCCUUGCUAAAGAACUUUGGAGAAUGCAUCUGCAUGCAUAUAAACAGGGACUUGUGACUAUGUCACAGAUGAUGAAGGUAUUUGAAAGCAGUUUUGGUUUUUGAAAGUGGGGACGGUCUUAGUCUAGUAGGAGUAACUGGGCAGUCUUCAUCAUCCAGAAAUCUGUCUGAGCAUCAUAUGACAAAAGUUAUAACCUCCAAGACCAGUGUUCUUUUAUAUACAAACCAAGUAAUUAGAAACUUCCUUCUCUUUCUUAUUUGCCAUGUUAUCACAUGUACAUUUUGUUGGUUGUACAGUUCUAGAGCACAGAGACAUGAUGUGUAGAGAGAAUAAUGCUGCAGGUGUGUAAAUGUAUCCCAAAGUGUCUAAGAUAGAAGUUACCGGGCUGCCACACACAGAGUUGCCACUGUGAAUACGAUAUCUGGGUGUAUGAGCUUGUAGAUUGGCACACACUGAGCAUGGGAGGCUUUGGUAGAGAAAGAAGGUAGGAUCUUAUCACAAUUUCAGUUAGAGAUUACCAGUGUGGGUAAUUGUAUUAAUAUAUAAGCUUCGAUACAUCAUUAUUGUUUGCAGGCAUUGGAUACAACUGCCCUUAACAAAGGGAGAGGUUUUCUUCACUUUAAAAUGUAGCUAUGCUGCUUUGGGAUCCUGAGGUCCUUCACUGAAUCUUUUGCUGGGAAGAAUUCUCCAGAAAGCAGGAUAAUCCUUCAUGUGGCAUUUACUCACUCGAUUACCUUCCUGUAUUUCGUGCAGGCCACUUCAGGCUUUUCAAGUUUUAUUUGUUCUUGCCAGACCACAUUUAUUCAUUAGCUGUAUUUAUUGUAGUUAUGGUUGAGACAGCACUUCUAUCGUAAGGCCCCAGUCUUUGGUGGUUUUAUAACUUUCUGAAACAAUUACCUUUUUGGCUGAAAUUUCUCAAGCUUGUUCUAAGCUCAGAGGUGAAUAAUGUUUCAGUAAGUUUGAAAAAAAUCCAUUAAGCCAUUUAUGAGGACUAGACGUUCCAAUAAACGUAGGCGCAUUUAUUUUUUGAUGACCUACUUAUUCCAAUAAAGUACAUUAUUAUUCUGUUUUCUCCUGUUUUAAUUUAUGUUGUCUUUUAAAAGAGAAUUAGGACAUUUUAUACUGGAUUUUCAGACAGGCUUCAGCUGAGGUUUGUUGACAUGCAGUUCUGCACAGGAAAGUAUGCUUGCUGGCUGUGCUUAGCUCAGAAGCACGACUGUUUAUGGGUGCAAAGGGUUUUGGGUUUGGUGUCUUUUUCUUUACAGGAAAACAACUAGAUCCCUUGUGCUUGUAGUGGAUAUUUGACAGAGUGCAUAUGUAACUGUGCAUUGCAAGGCUAGAGGGACAAAAUGGGGCCAUCUUUGGAACUUGCGUCUUUGGUUGUGCAAUUAUGUUAACUCAGUGUGAUGUUUCAGAUAUUGCUUGUGCAAAAGUACAGUCAAUAUACUUCUGCUGUCUGGAAGGCGUGGGCUACAAUUUUUUGUGACAAUGUCCUGAACAGUGUGAACUAAUUUGACAAAUGAUGAAGUCUCGUGCGAUUGAAAAGACAGUGUUGUUGUGGGUUGUUUUUUUUUUUUUUCUUUUGCAAUGAACUUCUGCACAGACUGUAAUUAAAUUCCACGUGCUUUGUCUUGUGUCUACAGUAUUCUUUUCAAUACGCGUAUAGUGUUUUGUAUUGUAUGGCUUGUAUAUUGCAUUGCAUGUACUGAGAGGAAGUGGAAUCAACUUCUGCCUUCCUUAUGCUAGCAUGAUGCUAAUAGAAUUCUAGUUAAUAAAAGAAAGAUGCUCUAAGUUUAUGCCAGUGUAACUGAGAGCAGAAUUUGACCCAGUAUGAUUAAUUGUACUGAUGAACUUUGAUGCUAAACUCCAUGACCUUUGCACAAUUAAAGUCUCAACUUUAACAUUGCAUUAACCCAGCUUUUCAUUUAAUUAUACGUAUUUAGUUGAAAGCUCCAAAAAUGUUAAUAUUUUAAGUCUCUUCUCCUGUUUAUAAUUGAACUUUUUUGUGUGAUUGUUUUCUGCAGUAAUCAACAGGACAUUAGCAUGGACAGGAAAUGAAUCUGGAACUCUAGAGAUUAAUAUUAAUCUGCUAAUGUCCUGUCCUGAUGUUCUCAGGAAUCCUUUCUUCUCCAGCACAUUAUGGUACUUUAGUAAUCAGUAAUUAGGGUAAGGUUUUCUCAUGCCUGAACUAUGUCCUCGUAUAUUUUUCAUUUUCUGAUUGCUAUGGGAAUGAUGGUUCUUCCCCCCGCAGAAUCAGAGCAAAAUGUAAUGUUUCUUCUUCAGCAGCCACACUGCUUAGACAAAUGCAGGGUUUGAGGCAUAGCAUAUUAUCAGUGAGGAGAUUUGGGGGUUAGUGUCCUGGAAUUUAACCUCAGGUUAUAUUUCUGUAUGGCAUUUGCCAUGCCCCCAUGUUUUGAAAUACUGAUCUUAAUCCUCAUGCCAACUGCAUCAGUAAGCGUGUACUUUGUAGUAGUACUUUAGGAAACACAGAGCCAUCAAGUGCUGAUCCACAGCAGCACUUAGGAGCUUGGGCCAUGCUGAAAUGCGUGUCAUGAGGGACAUUCUCAUCCUUUGAUUAUGUAGUCCAGCAAGGUUUUUUUUUCAGAUCCAGUUUCUCAAUGUAGGGCAAUAAGUCAUAGGAACCAUGUAACCUUGAUGUAUCCAGCAGCUUCAGUAUCUCCCUUAAUGUUCAUCAUUUAUUCCCUUCUGCAAGAGACCUUGUUGUCCCUGCCCACAGACCGAUGCCACUGCAUUCAUUAUUUGUGGCCUUAGGACUACAGUGGACUCCACUGAUACUGCUUCCUUCUGUAUGCACGGGAGUUAGCCAGGAUAUCCUGGGUAGAAAACAGCUCACUAAGCCAUGUUACUUGUUCCUUGUCAUUUUCUCUUCUUACCACACCCCAGAUGGUCCUGGAACACUGUACCUUUGCAGCAGUUAGGAAAUGCAGACCUAUCUCCGUGAAUACCACUUCAUUUGCAUAACAAAGCUGAACUGAUUUUUAUUUCUUUUAGGAUGUAUGCAGAAGUGAGGUAAUUAGUUUUCAGGUUUUCAGAGGGUUGUAGGAUUUGGGGAGGGGGAAGACAAGAAGGGCAUGUUUGUUUUUUUGUUUUCCUUUUCUGGCAUAAGUGCCUGUGAUUUUGAUCCCACUGCUCCCCCCCAAAAUAAUAAUAAUUAAUUGAUAGUUCAUCAAAAGCUCACUGCAUUUGUUCUGACUUCUAUUUUUAUUUUUAUUUUUUAUUCUUUAAUUCCAUCUGAAUAAUAAAAACUCCUCUGAAAGGUGCGAUAUUGAGAUGCAGUAUUGACUUGAUUGUAGCAGAUCAUUCUACUUAAAAAAAAAUCAUUGAAAUUGUUGUGUUUUCAGUGUUUCACUUUUGAGAAAUCAGCAUCUUCCAAUGGCCAUAUGUUCUAUUGGAAAAAUCUCAAGUAGUCUUAGUUGUAGGCACCCAGAUGAUACUCCAUUUCAUGAUAUGUUCAAUCGUAUGGUAUUUAGUACAAAAAAAAAAAAAAAAAAGAAAGAAAAAAAAAGAAAAAGAAAACAAGAAAGUGAUAGUGGAAAUGACACCAAGGGCUGUUUUCAGAAUAACCAGUUUUGAGUCAAAGCAUGGCUUACAGCUUUAGUUUCUGCAAUAUUUAUUUUAGCGUAGGAAUCUUCCAUUUUAUCUCAGAUGGGGCCAUGUCCUUUAUGGCCUGUUUGUUCCCAUUAAGAAUUCCUACAUUAUCUGAGCCUUUGACUAGCCAAUUAGUUAUUAGUGGUUUUGCAUGAUAUUCUGGUAAAUGAGCUUCUGCUGUUCUAAGAAGAUGAAGUGGAUGAUAAAGUUGGUUUGAGUGGAACAAGUUGACACUCUUUAACAUAGCAGAAGAUUUAUGAAGAAAAUGGUCAACAGUUAGUGCAAGCAGGCAAUUUCUGGGAGGUCUUUCUGGAAUGUCACAGUCUCUUCCCCACCUUGUAGCCCAUAAGUAUAUACUCAGGUCUUAAGUCAGGAGCUGAGUUCAGCUAUUCUAUCAUUUUCCUCCUGCUUGACCAACUAGCAGGAGUAGAGGUUCCGUUUCAGCACCUAACUCCCAUUUUGGUGCUGAAUGUCUGUAGUAGUUACAAGGAAAUAAGAAUAAAAAUACGAUUUCAGACCUCAGCCAUAGUUUUUUUGUGCCACUGUUUCCCGCCUGUAUGUACAGCCCUCUAAUUUAUAAUGGGUACUUAAAAGAUACUUAGGGCAAGAACGGAGAACUGCUCAGUGUGGACAGUAAAAGUACUUAAAAAGAUAAAGGAAGUGAGCCCCAAAAUCUGUUGAGAGGGUCAGGGGGAAGCCCAGGUCCCUCUGGCUGUACAAUUUCUGCUAUGGCACUGAAGCUCAAAGGUGAGAAAUUAACUUCAGGUGAGCAGAAAACCCAAGAGUUUUGACUCAUGAGUGGGGACAGCUUGCUCUGGUGUGAUAAACAGUUAUCACUCCAAGCUAUUUGCUCUGUCCCAUCUCUUCGAACAUCUGAGCUUGUUCUGAACCAUCCCCUGAACCAUCACAUUUUAUUACCCAGCAUUUUAAAUAAUGCUUUUUUAGACUUCUUCAAUUUGCCUAGGAUAUAGUCUAGAAUUGUGAGCAAUAGCAUUUCAAAAAUCUGCUUCAUGAACAUCUCAGGCAUUUCUCUAGCAGUGGUGAAGAGCUGGGGCUGGCAGCAACACUAGAUAGCCCAGUACCCAGGACUGGUUCUAAGUUUUACCAAUUCCUUGUGCUUUAGCUUUGAGGCCAUGUUCCUUCUCCAUCUGUCUUCCAUCUGCUCAGCAGGAAUGUUGAUCUGAUGUUUUGUACCUAAUGCAGUGUGCCUACCUUAGUAUUAGAUUUGAAAAACACAAAAUGCUCUAAGGAAAUACGUAAUAUAUAUGUAUUUUUAAAAGCUUGGCUAGAAACAUUUAAACUUUAUGCUUCAAUCAGGGGAGUUGAAGCAAACAAGAUUUCUUUAAACUCCCUUUGGAGCCCUUGUUUUCAGUAUUGAUCCAGUUUUGCUUUUCCAAAGGAGUCCUGGCUCUCAGAAUUAUGAGCAGAAGAUAAAAGAAGCUCACUACAGGCACAGCCUUUAUGCUAAGACACUCAGUAUCUGCCUGAGAUAUUGAAGGUCUUGAGACCAAUGGAAUUUCAUCAUUUCUCCUCUCUUUGAACUGUCAUAGGGAUCCAGUAUCUUUCCUUUUGAUGAUGACAUAUUGUCUUUUAAGAACAGUUCAUUUUAUAGCUGAAGUUUUUCCUUGGUGGCAAAGGGAAACUGAGGCAGGGAAUGACUAGACAGUAUAAGGGAGCACAGAAUGACUUUGGUGAGACCAGACUUUCUGCAGAUAUUGCUAGACUCCUCAUCUGUUUUCUGUUCAUUUGACUUUCCUCUGAGUGCUAGUAGCUAAAGGACUAGGAAUAUCAGUUUGUCUAAGUAUCCAGAAUGGUAGAAACCCCUUUGGAUGUUUUUAAUUGCAAAACUCAAUUAGAAGUUUAAGGGCUGUGCUGAACAGAGUGUUUUUUCACUUAAUGUCAUAGGCUUAGCAACAUGCAUUGUACUUCUAAACGAUGUUGGGUUUUCUUUUUUUUCAGAAGUUCGUUGUGUGUAUCUAAUAAUGAAGAGCUGAAUAAUGCUGUCAAUGCUUUUCUAAAUUUGUAUAAAAUUCAAAGUCCAAAUGUGAAACAAUUCCCAUAACAAAGUGCCUGGUACCUUUGUUGUUUAUUCUCAAACUGGAAUCGUUAAAGGAUUAGUUACUCAGCAGCACUCUGGGUAAAGGAUCAGACUGGUUUGCAUUUUUUUCUAAGGCAACUCACCCUUCCCUGUGGCAGAAAAGGACAGUUGUAUUUAUACUGACAAGAACUGUAAAUCAGACUUGGAAUAAACGUUGACACUGGCUCUUUAUUAUUUCUGGGAGCUGGGAUCAGGUAUGCCUUACAUUAAUGUCUCAGCUCUAAAAGGCCACAGAGUACUUUCCAAAAACUAAACAAUACACAUGUCCAUUUUUUUGUGGGUUUCAGCUAUAGUACAUUGCAACCCACAGCUGAAACAUCUGUUAAAGGAAUGGGUCCAUUAAAAGAACACUGUGUUGCUGUGAUGUGGUGAUGCAUUUUAAUGGUCUCUUGCUGUACUUUUUCAUGCUUUUGUAGUUCUGUGAAAAACCAAGUUCUCCUCCAGCCUGUUAGCAGCGUUCACAUGAACUUACUUGCCAUGGGGUUACUGCUCAGGUAUUCUUUCUUAGCAUUGUGUUCUAAACAAGUCUUGCAAAGCCUCAGUUUUCUUCCAGAAGCAAGGGUGGAGGGGCUUUGCUGGGUUGUUAAUGGAGGGCUUAAAAGAUCUCUGUUUCCAGUGUUAUUCAUCACUCAGUAGUGUCACAUAGUCGUGGCAGGAUAACUGCUCUUACAUAGUUAUUUGCCUUGGGGCUAGUAGAAUUUCAUUAUAAUUUUUCAAAACCUCACUAGCCCCUUGACCAUGCUUUCUUCUCUACUUUUGCUUAGAGAUUUGAUUGUGACUAAAGUGCUUGCAUAUUUUAUUGCAAACCAUCUUGUUUUCUCAAGCAUUUAUAGUUUUGAGUCACAACUUUCCCAUUUCUGGCAGCAACUAAUGAUUUGCAAAUGGAAGACUGACCACUCCCUUGAUCAAAUUAAGAUAUUUUUUCUUUGUACAAUGCUCCAGCUGGAAAUUACUCCUUUUUGCCAGCAUAACCCUGCUCUUCUACCCAGAGAGAAGCUUCCAUAUGUGCUUAAAACUGAAGCUAGGGGAGUUGCACUGUUGCUUUAUUUAUUUAUUUAUUAAGCAAAAGUGUGAAUUUUGUUCCAUUUUUUACAGGUGAGGAUAGUUUCUGAAAUUCAAAGCCUAGAAGCUCAAAAUACUGACUCUUUCCACAUGAUAAGCUGCUGAGCACCCACAACUUUAGUAAGAGCUCUAUGGCCUCAUAAGGUCAGACAUCUAAGACCUUUAACUGUAAAUGAAGGCAUAUUUCAGCCUCUUGUCUUGCUAACGUUGUUAUAGCUAGUUGUAUACUGAAGGUUGAAUGUCCUAGUUCUCUUUUGGUAUUGAACAAAGCCCACAGGUGCUUUAUCUGAAGUACAAUAUUUAUAGAAGGUUAUGGAUGACUGAACAAUGAUUUGCCACAGUGUGUGUUUCCUGCUGUGGGAAGUCCCCAAGAAGGGGUUAAUUUUCCUUGUACAUUUUAUUUCAUCACCACUUUUUGUAUGUAUUCUCAAAAUAUUUUCAAGAUUUGGCCAAAACCAAGAGCUGGACUCAAAAACAAGUGCUGUAGCUUUGUGCUCCUGGUGCAGCUCCUCAAUUCAGGGAUGAUGACGGCAUAUUGCUUGGUCACUCCUAGAUUAAAGCUAUGGGCACAGAGGAAUAGUUAAGCUCAGACUGGGCUUUGCUAGGCUUAAAACAAAGGCUUUCACCAAACUGAACCCAACCUUUGCUUCCAUCAAAAUGGAGUGAA
ensembl:lncRNA